CAGAAACCCUACGAACCUUCCGAAUCAUAGAUAAUGAAGAUGCAUUUGAUCGAUCAACAAUGAAGACAAAUUUUUCUUGUUUUGCCUUUGAUAAACAAAGAUCUCUCAUCAGAUCAUGCAUCUGAAUCGUUUUGACCUUUAAGGUUGCCACAUCUCUUUCUCGUACUUGAAUCAUGCACCUUUCCACAAGUUCUAUUAAAUAAGAUUCCGCCACAUCUUCCGCAAUUUCCCCACCAUCUCUUUCAUCUUGCUCUGAUGACACAAUACCUUCAGCAACCCAUAAUUGAAUCAAUCUAUCCACAUCUAUCAUAUAAUCCUCUGAAAAAUGACUUAGAUAGAGGAAACAUGAUCUUAGAUAGGGAGGCAAAUCAUCAUAACUUAAUGCUAACACAUCCUCUGGUCUUUGAUUUUUGUCUUUCUUCAAGUAUGAUUUUACAUUGUCAGAUAUCUUUCGCCAUUCGUUUAAUGAAUUAUUCUUUGUAGCCAAAAUUCCUCCCAAUACAACUAUGGCUAAUGGAAGCCCUGCACAAUGUUUAACCAUGUUCUCUCCUAGCUCUUUCAUUUCCACAUCAAUUAUAUUUCCUAUAUAAAAAAUUAGGAAUAAUUUUUUAAAAAAUAAGGAAAAUUAAGAAAUAAUUUAAAUAGGUAAAAGAAAUGUAAAAGUAGAUGAACCCAAACUUAUAUUUUAUUAAUUUAUCAAAUAAUUUUUAAUAUAAAUUCAUCACUUAUAACGACACUUAAAAAAAAUCUAUUUGAAGACUUUGAAUACUUUAUGGAGCAGUCAAAUAAGAAACUUCACUCUAAUUAAUUUAAGAGGAGAUUCAAAUAAAUAUAUAAUUCAUUAUAUAAAAAGGACUAUUUAAUUUUAAAUUGGAUAUCGUGUUAGAUACAAAUGAGAUUAUAAAUAAGGGUCAGAAAAUUGUGUUGAUAGAAUUUGGAGAUAAAAUUUUAAGAUUUUACUUAUAUUGUACAAGUUAAGUAUACAAAACAAUUAAAUUAAUCUCUUUUUUUGUCGAUGAUUUUAAUGGGAUUUUCUAUCAUAAUUAUUGGGAAAUUAUUAAAAGGAUGUUUUGAAAGCUAUUAAGAGUUUUUUUAGGGAAGGGAAAUUUCCGAUGGGUUUAAACGAGAUUGAGAUAAUUUUAAUCCUGAAGACUAAAUGUCUUGAAUUAAUGACAUAAUUUAGGUCAAUUAAUCUUUGUAAUUUUAAGUAUUAAAUCAUAUCGAAGAUCAUGGUGAAUAUAUUGAAAGGAUUUUUAGGGGUAGUGGUUAUGAAUAAUAAAAGUGCUUUUGUGGUAGAUAGACAAAUACAUGAUAACAUCUUAAUUGCUCAAGAGGUUUCCAUCGUUUGAAUUUGAAGAAGUGGGGUAAAAGGUGUGAGGUUACUUGGAAGCUCAACAUGAAUAAAGCAUAUAACAAGAUAGAGUGAUGGUUUUUGGAAGCUAUUUAAAAAAAAAAGGGGUGUGAGGAAUGCUUCUUAUACUUUUGCUUAUUAAUAGUAAAUCUACUAGAAAAAUCUACCAAUCUAGAGGUCUUAGGCAAGGUGACCCUCUAUCACCUUAUCUCUUUCUUUUUUUUUCUUGUGGAUGUCCUCUGUCGUAUAAUUAUUAAUAGAGUCGAGUCUGGUUUUAUUUCUAGGAGUAGCCUUAAUAGUUAUUGUCCAAUAGUGUCACAUUUGUUAUUCACGGAGGAUUUUAAUUCUUUUUGGAAGCUAAUUCGUUAGAUUGUAGGAGAAUGAUUAACUUGAUUCAAGAAUAUUGUGCAGCUUUUGGAAAAAGGGUCAACUAUGAUAAAUCAAGCAAAGUUUUUAGUGUGAAUAUAUACUCCCGAAGAUAUUAAAAGGUUGAUUCAGAAAGAGACUAAUAUAACGGUGGCAACUAAUUCGGGCGUCUACUUGGGUGUCCCUUCUUUGUCUACUUGAAGCAUAUCAAAGAUAAGGUCUACCAAACUUACGGACUGGAAGUAGCAAACAUUAUCUUUAGGGGGAAGGCAGAUCUUAUUAAAGCUGUAGUACUCGUACCAAUGUAUAUGAUGUUUUGUUACAAAUUUCCUAAAAAUAAUUAUGCGAAAAUGAAUUUAGCCUUGGCUGAUUUUUGGUAGGGGAAGAAGGAAAAUGAGAGACGUAUUCAUUGGAAAGCAUAGAGGAAUCUUAUGACACCCAAAGAUGUAGGGGGCAUGGGUUUUAGAGAACUUGAAUUAUUUAACCUUGCUCUGCUUGCAAAACAGUCUUGAGUCUUGACUGUUAAUCUAGGAUCCUGAUGCUCUUUGGGCUAGGAUUUUAAAAAGACUUUAUUUCCAGAAUUCUAAUUUCCUUAAAGCUGAAAAGGGAAAUAUUGAGGGAUUCUAAAAGGACUUUAUUUAAUUCAUGGGUGUGGAGUAGUAUUCUUGAAGGGUGUUAGAAGAUGGCCUUCCAUGCCGCACAUGUAACUCAUGCAGCAAGGAGCACUACGUGCAGUCGAGUCAAUCUUGCAGCAGCUGAAACUUACUGAUGCUGUCCAAAUGCAACUUGUUUUGUUACUUCAAGUUCAUGUUUUGUAACUUAGUUUGAUUUGAACUUAGUUGGUAAAGAAUUUGAUGUAAUUAGGUAGUGAUUGAGCUGAUAAAUCAGCUUUGUUCAUGUGUACAAGUUAUUUUACCAAGUUUCCAUGUAAUUAGUGGUAUUAGGUAAGUAUUAGGUGAAACUAGCUUUGUUUUGCUCAGUAAAUGACUGAUAUAUGUAAUGGAAAUAUGCCAAUGCUUCUUCUUAAUGAAAAUAUCAAUUCUCCAUUCAUAUAUGCUCCUUUACUUUCUUGUUUUUCAAUUUUUUCUGUUCUUGUUUUCUUAGCAAAUUCUGCUUGUUUUUUCCACAAGCAACGAGCAUUGUUGCUUAAGACUCAAGUUAAUCAUUGUUGUUUUGUUUCUUAACAAGUUUUUAAAGGAGACUUUGAUUUGGCAGGUGCUAAAUGACGAAAGCAUCCACAUUUGGAAAGAUAUAAGACUGUUGGGAGUUAAAGAUGAGAAUCUAAAGCAUCAUGGAAAUAUUGAGGGAUCCUAAACAACAAGCGUUGCUAAGAUAAUUUGUUCAAAAAAACUUAAAUGGGAUCUCUCCAGUAUCUCGAUGUGGUUAGAAGAUAUUGAAAUUGUAAAAUUUUUGAAAGUUCCUCUUCAUGAAAUAGAUGAACAAGAUAGAUUGGUGUGGCCAUUUACAGUUGUUGGUCAAUAAUAUUCGAUAGGGUCUAUUUAGUAUUGCUUCUAAGAAGCAUUUCUGAGACAAAAGAAACUUUUUGAACAAAAAUAUUCCUAAACAAACUGCUUUUUGAGAGAAAAAGUGCUUCUCCCAAAAUAAAAAUUGGCCUACAAGUACUUUUUUUCAGAAGUUGAAAAUUUUAGCUUCCCCAAAAGUGUUUUCUUUUUUUCCUAAAAGUGCUAUUCCUAAAUUAGAGGGAAGUCUAAGGUAUAAGGAGUUGAGAAAGCACUAUAGAAAUGAGUCUUCUAUUGAAAGUUGGCAACAUACCAGCAGCAUGCAAAUGUCCAAGCAAAAAUGAAGCAAUAUGCAUGUAGCAUGAAAAUGUCCAUGGUAUAUUUCAGUCAUUUAACUUUGUAACAUAUGACUUGUGUUUGAUUUGAUGGCAACUUUUUGAUUUGCUAAGGUUAGCCAUGUACUUAGCAGUUUUUAGUAGGUUUUAGGUUAUCAUUAAGCUAAUUUUACAGCUUAGUUACUUGCACAAGCAAGAUUUAUUUUCUUUCAAUGUAAAAGAACCAUAUAUGUACAUGUUAUUUUGUUUAAUGAAGUAAUGAGAGAAGUCAACUUCUAUUCUCCUUCAAUAUUCAAUUUUUGCUUUUACUUUUCAUCUUUCAACACAAACUUUUAGUUCUUUUGAUCUUUGGUUUGAUUUAAAACUCAACAAAUGGUAUCAAGAGCCUGUCAUCUUUGAGUGCCUUAGUUGUGUGUUGGUUUGUGUUGAUUCUAUAAGUGAUUAGUGCUUGAAAGAAAAGAAACAGAAGCUAUCUUUGUUGGCUUGUUUAGUUUUUGCAAAAGGAUGAGUUUUUCACCACCACCACUACCUGUCUUUACUGGUAAGAACUACAACAUUUGGGCUGUGAAAAUGAAGACAUACCUGCAGGCUCAUGAUCUGUGGAAUGUUGUUCUAGCUGACACAGAGCCACCACCCUUGAGAGCUAAUCCGACUAUAGCUCAAAUUAGGCAGCAUAAUGAGGAUACUGCAAAAAAGUAUAAGGCUAUGUCAUGCCUUCAAAAUAGAGUUUCAGAUGUGAUCUUCACAAGGAUAAUGGCUUGUAACUCUCUAAAGCAGGCCUAGGACAGACUCAAGGAAGAGUUUCAAGGGUUAAACAAGACCAGGCAACAGUAGUUGAUCAAUUUGAGAAGGGACUUCGAGAAUCUGAUGAUGAAGGAGUCUGAAACCAUCAAGCAGUAUGCUAACAGGAUUAUGGCCAAAGUCAACAACAUAAGACUGCUUGGAGAUGAGUUUAGUGACAAGAGGAUAGUUGAGAAGGUUAUUACAACUCUACCAAAGAAGUAUGAAUCAAAAAACUCUUCUUUGGAAGACUCGAGGGACCUAUCAGUUAUACCCUUAACAAAACUGAUAAAUACUCUCUAUGCACAAGAGCAAAGAAGAGCAAACAGAAUUGAGGAGCACUCUGAAAAAGCAUUUCAGGCCAUAAGUAGAGAGAGCUCAAGCUCGAGCUCAAGUUACAAGGGCAAGAAGCCUUGGCUAGAAAAGAAAGAGAAAGGGAAUAAGGAUGCUGCCAAAAAGAAGUUUCCACCAUGCACUCAUUGCAAGAAGUCCACUCAUUUGGAAAAAUACUAUUGUUACAGGCCUAACAUUCAAUGUAGAAGUUGCAAGCAACUUGGCCACAUUGAGAAAGUUUGCAAGAACAAGGCAAAAGUACAACUUUAGCAGCAGAAUCAAGCUCAAGCUGCUAAGAAUAUCCAAGCUCAAGAGGAGCAAGUCUUUACUGCCUCCUGUUUUGCAAGCUCGAGUAAAGUCAAGAAAAAUUAGUUGAUUGAUAAUGGCUGCACUCAUCACAUGGCUUCAGACAAAGUCAUGUUCAGGGGGCGAGACACCAAAGUCAGAAUUGGGAAUGGUGAGUUCAUCGAAGCCAAAGGCAAGGGCAAGGCUGCUAUUUACACUCAGUCAGGUAACAAAACUAUCUCAGAAGUUCUUUUUGUACCUGACAUUGACUAGAAUUUGCUCAGUAUUGGUCAGUUGUUGGAGAAAGGCUACUCCCUUAAUUUUGAAGGAAAGACUUGUGUGAUCAAGGAUGUUUUUGAUCAAGUGCUUGUGACAGUAGCGAUGCAUGAUAGAUCCUUCAUUUUGGAUGUGAAUUAGUUAGAACCAAAGGCACAUACAGCUCAGAUUGAUGAAUCUUGUUUGUGGCACAAAAGGCUGGGGCAUGUGAACUAUAAGUCAUUUGGUUUGCUGCACAAAAUGAGUUUAGUUGAAGACAUGUCCAAGAUCGAGCCUAAGAAUGAUGUUUGUGAGGUUUGUCAGCUUGUCAAGCAGACCAGGCUGCCUUUUCCUAUCAACAAAGCUUGGAGAGCUCAAGAAAGGCUUCAACUGGUCCAUACAAACAUUUGUGGACCUAUGAAGACCUCCUCUUUGAAUGGCAGCAGAUACUUUGCAUUGUUUAUUGAUGAUUGCACCAGAUUCUAUUGGGUAAGCUUCUUGAAACAAAAGUCAGAUGUGGCUGACUACUUCACCAAAUUCAAGGAAUUGGCUUGAGGUCUGACAAUGGGACUGAGUAUGUGUCUCAAAGGUUACAAAAAAUUUGUAAUGAAGCUGGAAUUCAGCAUCAAUUAACCACCAUCUACACACCACAACAGAAUGGUGUUUAUGAAAGGAAGAACAUGACAGUUCUCGAUAUGGCCAGGUGCCUAUUAUUUGAAGGCAAAAUGCCUAAAAAUUUUUGGGCUGAGGCAGUAAAUACAUUUGUGUAUAUAACAGCUUGAUUUUGGGUCUAGUCAGAACAGCGGGUUCAGGACCACAAAUUUGACGUGCUCAAAUUUAUUUUUAUUAUAUUUUUAUGGUCUACAAUUUUAUGGAAUGAUUUUGUGAAAAUUUCAUUCAAAAAUUUUAACGUUUGGGCACUCAAUUUAGUCAAAAGGACUAAAUUAUAAAAAGGUGAAAAACUUAAGUUCUACUUGUUAAAGGUGUCCAAUUGCUAUGAUAUUUUAAAUUAGAGGUCCUUAGUUGGUAAUUAGACCAUUGGUUAAGUUGGAGGACAAAAAUGGACAUGAUUAGGUGAAAUUUCAAAGUUAUGCAUCAAGGGUAUUUUGGUUAUUUGGUAAUUAAGUGGAUUAAAAAGCAAAAAUCAAGCCAAAAUUCAUGUCCAUCUUCUCCCCCUUGUGCUGAAAAUUAUAAGGUCUCCAUAGCUAGGGUUUGGCCACUUUUCAAGCUUGAUUGUAAGUCUGUGCUAGCCUCGUUUUUAAUGCUCUUUACGUUUUUAAAGUUGUUAUCACUCGAUCUACCUAUUUCUACCACUAAUUUAAGAUAUGGUUGAGGUCUAGGGUUUGACCCAUGUUAAACAUGUGUGUGUUUUGAUGGAUAAUGGUAGAUUAUGCAUGUUCGAUGUGUGAUAAACAACUUUUACUAUGUGAUUUUUUAUGAAAAUGCAUAAAAAAGGACCUAUUUGUAAAAAGGUUUAAAAUGUGUAGUAAAUGUGUGAUUAAAUGAUAAAUGUAGACUUCUAUGAGCAUGCAUAAGAAUUGGCUAGGCUUGGGUUUUGAAGAAAAUGAACACAUUUUAUUUUACGAGCCUAGGGACUAAAGUGUAAAAAUGUCAAAGUUUAGGGGCAAAAAUGUAAUUUUUCCAUAAUAUGAUUUUUGGGCUAAGUUGAACAAUUUGAAUAUUAAAUAAGUUAAAUUUGCUAUUAUAGAUCAAGAAAAAUAAAGUUCGGACCUUGAUUGGGGGAAAGAACAAGGUGUUUGACGAUUAAGUCAUUUUCUACUAUUUUUGUACCGAGGUAAGUUCGUAUGUUAUAAUUAUAUUUUAUUGCUUUGAUAUUGCAUGAAUUGUUUAAUUGGCUCUAUGGAUACAUUUGACGAAAAUUCGACAAGUGAGAAAAUCUCAUUUGAACCUUAGGAAUAGAUUAGGAUACGAGUGACAUGUCACUAGGAACCCAAGUGAUAUAUGUGAUUAUGUGAUCCAAGUGUUGGUCUCAUACGUCUACCAGUGGCUGGGUAAUCCGACAUGUGUUGCGGAUACCUGAUAGCUUGUGUUAGCAGAACUGUGUAGUUUUGUCUUAACUGACAGCUUGUGUGAGCAAGCCUGUGAUUAGCUCGAGAGCGAGCCCUAUGUGUUAUGCGAUAUGAGGUAGCAUUGGCUACGUAUGUGGCACUUAUGUGCAAGAUUUUCCGUGUAUCCGAUUGUAUUCCAAGUGUUCAACGGGUAUGUCAAAGAUGUAAAGGAAUAUGACUAUGUUAUGAGAUGGCACAGGUAUGUACAUAAAACUCCAAAGUAAUGAGCUUGGUAUAUGAUGAUCAAUUGGUAAAAUUGUGAAUGAGUAAGUUAUGCUUAAGAGUUUUAAUGGUAUUAUGUUGACUUGUAAUUUAUUGAUUGUCUGGUUAAUGUUGGUUAAUGUUGCUUAUUAUUUGCAUAUGAAUUUACCAAGCUAUAAAGCUUACUCCCCUUUCCUUUCCCUUGUCUUAUAAUGUUACCAAGCCAGCUUGGGAUCGGUGAUCGUUAGAGAUCCAUUCACACUAUCUACAACAAUUAUUUUGGUACCAAUGAAUGCAAGUAUUUUGAGUUAUCGCAUAUAUAGGAGACUUAGUUAUUUUGUUAUGUGUCAUAAUUGAUUUGGUCAACUAUAUUGGUCUAUAAUGGUUAAUGAUUCGUUUUGUAAAGGCCAUUGAAGAUGGCUUAUAUUGGUUACAUUGAUCAUUGGUAUAUUCAUAAAUGUGAAAUUGGCAUGAAUGGAAAUGAAGUUAUGUGAUGUUUUUCCAUGAUGGAUGUUAGUAUGUGUAUAAUGUAUAAAUGUCUUGAUUGUAGUCAAUUUGGUUGUAUGAAUAUGUUUGGAUUAGUGUUAUUUGAGGUUGUAUAGGUUGGUGCAAGCAAGGGUGGCAAAAUGGAUUGGUAAAUAGCCUUAUUUUUGUCCACACGGGUAGACACAUGGGCAUGUGUCUAAGCCUUGUGCGACACACAGUCAACCUCAUGGGUGUGUGAUCCAGUCGUGUGUCCCCUGCAUCUUAAAUUUUAGCUUCGAAUUGGCCAUACGAGCAGGGACACGGCUGCGUAUCUCAGCCGUGUGAAGGACACGACCCCGAGACAUGAGCGUGUGUCAAAGUCAUGUGAAGUCUGCACCUAUUUUUUGGAAAUUAAAUUUGCCACAUAACUUAGCACACGGACAUAUGACUUCGCCGUGUGACCUCAUUUUGUUCAUUACAUCAUAAACAGAGAGUUACGCGGGUUAGAGACCAAAUCCACACGAGCGCGUGACCCCUGUUUCAUGAAAAAUUUUCUAAGUCUUCCAAAAGUUUCUAAAGUCCUUGGUUUAGUCCUGAACCACUUCCUAUGUAUGUUUUGGGCCUUGUAGGCUCGUAAUAGGGAUGUUACGAACGGUUGUGAAUGGUUUUAAUUUGAAUGCAAAUUUAUGGCACUAUUUUGUAUGUUUGCUUGUGAUUAAGUCCGGUAAUGCCUCGAAUCCAGUUCCAGCGUUGAAUACAGGCAAAGGGUGUUACAGUGUAUUUGCUAAAUAGGCUUCCAAAUAAUACAGUCAAGGGCAAAACACCUUUUGAAGCCUGGUUUGGUUAAAAACCAACUGUCUCACACUUGAAGGUGUUUGGUUGCUUAUGCUAUACAUUAGUGCCAGCUGAGAAGAGAACUAUGCUGGAAAAGAGAUCUAUGCCUAGAGUCUUUGUUGGCUACAGCAGUGUGAAGAAAGGGUACAGGAUCUUUGAUCCAUCUACUAAGAGGAUUGUUAUAAGUAGGGAUGUGAAAUUUAAUGAAGGGAGCUAUUGGAAAUGGGAUGGAAUAGAUGCAAGCUUGUCUGAGCAAGACCAGCAUGAUCUUGAUUUGCAGCAUACUGAAAUUGAAGCUGAAACUGAAGAUGAUUUUGAUGAUGCACCUGUCAAAGGGACUAGAACUUUAAUGGACAUCUAUAAGAGGUGUGAUAUGACCAUUGUUGAGCCUUCCUGCUUUGAUGAGGUUGAAAGGGAGGGCUGUUGGAAAAAAUAAUGGAGGCUGAAUUAAGAAUUAUCCACAAAAAAGACACAUGGGAGCUAGUUGAUAGACUAGUAAACAAAAAGGUUAUUGGUGUGAAAUGGGUGUUCAGGACCAAACGCAAUGCAUAUGGGUCACUGAACAAGCAUAAAGCUAGGCUGGUUGUGAAGGGGUACAGUCAGCAGCAUGGCAUCGAUUUCUUUGAAACCUUUGCACCAGUGGCAAGGUUGGACACCAUAAGGCUAUUAUUUGCCUUGGCUGAUCAGAAGUAAUGGAAAGUGCAUCAACUAGAUGUUAAAUCAACCUUUUUGAAUGGAUUUCUCAAGGAAGAAAUCUUUGUUGAACAACCUGAUGGAUUCAAGGUUCUUGGUGAAGAGCACAAGGUUUACAAGUUUAAGAAGGCCUUGUAUGGCCUAAAACAGGCUCCAAGGGCCUGAUAUGACAGGAUUGAUGCAUACUUGUCAAGGCUGGGGUUCGAGAAGAGUAUUAGUGAGCCUACACUCUAUGUGAAGAAGGUUGAAAAAGAAACCUUGUUGAUUGUGUCUUUGUAUGUAGAUGGUUUGUUGGUUACUGGUUGUAGGAGUAAGUUGAUUGAGGAGUUCAAGAAGCAAAUGCAAAAUGUUUUUGAGAUGACUGAUCUAGGAUUGAUGACCUACUUCUUUGGUAUGGAGGUGAAUCAAAAUGAACAUGGCAUCUUCAUAAGUCAAUAAGCAUUUACAUUGAAGGUUCUAAACAAGUUCUACAUGGAAAAUUGCAAACCUGCUAGUACUCCUGUGGCAAGGGAGAAAAACUAUCCAGCAACAGUGACCAUGCUCGAGUUGAUGAGAAGAGCUACAGAAGUUUAGUUGGUUGCCUGCUCUAUUUGAUAGCAUCAAGGCCAGACACCAUGUAUGCAAUCGUCCUUCUAUCGAGGUUUAUGCAUUGUUGCAAUGUAGCUCAUUUCAAGGCUGCAAAAAGAGUCUUAAGGUAUGUCAAAGGAACCUUAGACUAUGGUGUGAAAUUUGGGAAAGCUGAAGAAUUGAAGCUGGUUGGCUAUUCAGACAGUGAUUGGGUUGGUUCAGUUGAUGAUAUGAAGAGCACAUCGGGUCACUUCUUUACUCUAGGAUCAAGUGUUUUUAGUUGGAUUCCUAAGAAGCAACAGACAGUAGCUUAAUCCACUGCAGAAGCAGAGUAUAUUGCAGCUACUACUACUGUUAAUCAAGCCAUUUGGCUUAGGAAACUUUUAAGUAACUUGAAUGCUGAUCAAGUGGAAGCAAUAGAGAUCAAAGUUGACAAUCAGUCAGCUGUUGCAAUUGCCAAGAAUCUUGUGUUUCAUGGCAAGACCAAACAUUUUAAGAUCAAGUAUCAUUUUGUAAGGGAGGCAGAAUUGUCAAAAGAAAUCAACUUGAUCCAUUGCUGCUCGGAGGUUCAGCUCGCAAACAUUUUGACCAAGCCAUUGGCUGCCACAAGGCUUGAGUACUUGAGGAAGGAAAUUGGGUCUGCUGCUUUGUAGCCAAGGAAGAGUGUUGAAAGUUGGCAACAUACCAGCAGCAUGCAAGUGUCCAAGAAAAAAUGAAGCAACAUGCAAAUGUCCAUGGUGUAUUUCGGUCAUUUAACUUUUGUAACAUGUGACUUGUGUUUAAUUUGAUAGCAACUUUUUGAUUAGCUAAGGUUAGCCAUGUACUUAGCAGUUUUUAGUAGGUUUUAGGUUAUCAUUAAGCUAAUUUUACAGCUUAGUUACUUGCACAAGCAAGAUUUAUUUUUUUUCGAUGUAAUAGAACCAUAUAUGUACAUGUUAUUUUGCUUAAUGAAGUAAUGAGAGAAGUCAACUUCUUUUCUCCUUCAAUAUUCGAUUUUUGCUUCUGUUUUUCAUCUUUCAACACAAACUUUUAGUUCUUUUGAUCUUUGAUUUGAUUUAAAACUCAACAUCUUCUUUACAACCUUCCAGCUCUCACUCAAUUGAUAGGAGCACUUGGAAAGCUAUUUGGAGCUUACAAGUACCAAACAAAAUUAAAAUUUUCUUGUGGAAAUUGUGUCAUAAUGUUAUUACAUCUCAUUUUAUUUCGUGGAAAAGAAAGAGUGUUUCGAACCCAGUUUGUUUAUGUGGUUUUGAAGAUGAGAUUGUUGAACAUAUUAUUCUUAGUUGUAAUUGAGUUAGGGGAAUAGGGUAUGAGGCUUGUUUUGGUCUUGAAGUGCGAAAGGAUUGAAUUCAAUUAUUUGACAGAUGGUUCUCAAAGUUGUUACAAAUGCCUUGUAUGAGGGAGGAAGUCAAAGUUAGAAUUGUUUUCACUUGCUUGCACAUUUGGAAAGCUAGGUGUGAGGUUACAAUUGGAGGUGAGAAACUUGAUUUGGAAAGAAUUAUUCAAAGGGUUAAUUGCUUGAUGAAUGAAUUAUUCUAUGUUCAACGGAUCCUCUGUUCAAACAAUAACUUUGAUCGAAUUGGGAAGUCAACAACUUAUGUUGAUGUUUGGGAGAAACCACUAGAAAGUUGGGUUAAAGUUAAUUGUGAUGGGGUAUUUGACGCCUCAACAGCUUGUGCUGAUAUUGGAGUACUAGGCAGAAAUUCAAGUGGGGAGAUGCUGGAUGGGAUUGGUAAAAGGAUUAUAGUGGAUUCAUUUGAGGUUGUCGAGGCUAAAGCAAUGGUUACAAAGAUUGAAUUAGCUGUGAAGAAUAGAUGGACUAAUGUGAUAAUUGAAACUGACUAUUAGACUAUUGCUUCAAAUAUUGAGAAGAAGAGUCAACAUCGAAGAUGGAGAUUAAGGUCAAUCCUUCAAGUUUUUGAUAAGCUGGUCAUGAAACUUUUUUCUGUGAAAGUCAAUGUUAUUAGAGGAGAAGCCCAUAUACAGUGGAAUGGUUUGCCAAAUAGGGCCGUAAGGAGAUGUGCAUUUUUAGUUGUUCGAAUCAACUACCAUCUUCCUUGGUCUUUAUUUUUGAUAAGGAUGGUUUACUUGCACCUUCAUCUUUCUGAUCUAAGGAUGUAGAGAGUACUGUGGUUUUCUCAUGUUAGUUUAUCAUUGGUGUUUUUUUUGGACUUUGUAUGUUUGUUUGUUCUUUCCAGGAUAAAAGUUUUUGUUGCCAAAUAAUAUUUCUUAAAGAAAAAAAAAACAUAUAGAAGAAUAGCAUGAAAGUGCUUAACAAACUAAACUAAAUAUAUAUUCCAAUGAUUAAGGUAAUAGCUAAGUUAUUGUUUAUUCAACCACUUAACAAAUUAACUAACAAUAUAUUAUUAAAAUAUUAUAAUAUAUAAGAUAAUGAAUUUACCUAUUAAUUAUAUUUACGUGCGUGUACUAUUAAUUGAUAAACUUCACAGCCUUGAUUUCUUUUAUUUAUUUCAGAUUUUGAAAUUUUUAAAUAAAAUAAAUUUUAAUUAUUGUAAAAAAGAAAUUAAAAAUGAAAAAUAUAUGUAGAAUAUAGACAAGAAUUUUGCUAUAUGUAUAUUUAUCAUGGUAAAUAACUUCUGCAAUUUAAAUAUUGUUACCUGUAGAAUUUCUUUGAGGAAAUGCAAUCUUUUCAAACAAUUCCCAACUUUGUUCAUUGUUUAGGCAGCCCAGCUCUGAAAUAAUAUACAUAAUUAUUUUCCAUAAAAAGAAUAAGAGUACUAAAUUUUAUCUACUUACGAAAAUUUUACCUCUUUUUUCGGCAUUUAAAACUAUUCCACUGUUUCGUGAGGUGAGCAAUAUCUUGCUACGGCUGUCAAGUGGGAAGGCAGGUUUUAGAUUAUCCCAAGCCUCAAUGGUCCAAACAUCAUCAAGUAUCACCAGACAUUUUUUAUCCUUCAAAAUGUUAAAUAACUUCUCUGCUAAUUCUUCAUCUCUCUUCUCCCUGUCGUCUCUAUCUAAUUUUUUGAAACAAGAUAGAAUGUCUUCCCAGACUUUUCUUCUCUGGCAUUGUUGAGAAAUAUAUACGAAAGCCAAGUGAUCAAAAUCAUCAAUAACCUCACGAUGGUGAUAUAUUUUUUUGGCAAGAGUGGUCUUUCCCAGACCACCCAUGCCCCAUAUUAAAACAACCCAGCUGCAUUCACUUCUCUGAUCCUUAAGAAUUGAGACCAGUUCCUUGGUAUCAUCAACCAGUCCAACAAUAUUAUCAUCCAUAAUAUGUGGAUAAGGCCGCCUUGAUUCUCGUCUUUCAGUUGAAGAACUAGAUUCUUCUCCUCUGUCCUUUAAUUCCUUUACGCCGUAGGCCUGUAGUCGUCGGACCAAGUCGUUGAUUCUUUCUAUGAUUUUCUCAAUGUUUGACCUGGUUUUGUGAAGUGUCCAUCCCUCUUUCAAACAGCAGGCUGAUCUUUUAACACAACUGGGAAGACCACCUUUGUUUUUGGAUUCAAUCUUGAAAGCAAAUUCCUCAACAACAUCCUCAGCAUCAUAAGCAAGGUCUCUGAUUUCACCAACCCAAAGACGAAUCCUCUCAUCCGUUGAUUGUUUUGUCUCUACCACCAUUAAUGAGCUUUGCAUCCAUUUGAGCUCUGUUUGCAGACGACCAACUUGCUCCUCCACGCCCCCUAGGUAUAUGCCUUCCUCAGUUAGCACCUUGCCAAUUGUUGUCAUUGCAGAUGUCACAGCAGACCAAGCCAUAAUAGUGAGUGAGCUCAGAAAAUUCUUUAAAAUCUUUAAUUUGGAUUUCAAGAUGUGACUACAGACAUCUUUGUUGGGCAAACAAUGGCAAGAGGCAGCUCUUAAUUAUAGCCGGUCUUAAAAGUUUUUUAAAUAUUUUAUUUUAGAAGUAUAUAGCGUGUCUUCUUAUUUAAUUGGGAAAAAGGAAGAGUAGGAAAGUGAGUGGAGGACAUAAUCAACUCACUUUCACUUUAUCUAAUACUAAUCUUUAUACUUUGAUGAUCCCUUCCCUUGUAUAAGGCCUUUACAUACACCGUAUAUACUUUUUUUUUCUUUUUUUUGCCAUCAGAAUGUAUAUUUAUAAUCUAUAAUCUAUCUAUAAUAUAUAAUAGUACAAAAAAAAACUGAACCAAUAUUUUUAAAAUCAACCAUUAUAGAAAUCAAUGAAAAUAAAAUUUAUGAUUGAAUUGGUUGAAUCUUACUUAUAUUAAAUUUAUUUGAACUAAAAUAAGAAGUUUCCUAAAUAUUGAAGGCUAAAUUUGUUGAAAAUUUUUUAUUUAGGAUCAAAUUGAUAUAAUAUCUAAACAUUAGAGGAUUAAAUUUGUUAUUAGACCAAUAAAAAAAUCUCUUAUCAGCUUUCUGUCACUCAUCUAAUGGCAACUAAUAGGAGAGUAACCAACAUAUUUGAUUUCGAAAAGUUUAGUAACUAAAUUGAAAAAAAUAAUACUUGAAUGAUUAAAAUAGAACUAAGGCAACAAUUUAGUGACCAUUUUUGUAGUUUACCCAUUAAAAUAUGAGUUAAUGAUAAAUUUAGCUACUAAUGUUUGCAUAUUUUGUCAAAAUGGCCAUAAUUGUAAUUUUGAAUCUUUUUUGUCAUCAACCUUUAAUUUUUUUUUCAAAUUACUGAAAGAUUUUUUUUGUUGAGUUAAUAUUUUUUAGAUAAUUACAUUUAUUUAUUUUAUUAUUUUUCACCCGUAAUUAUCUUAUAGGGUUAUUUAUGUAAUAAAUUAUAUUUCAUUAAAAAUAUUUCACAUAUGAAAUUUUACAUCAUCAUGAUAAUUUUAUUAAAUCAAUUAGAAAAAAUAGUUUAGAAAAUAAACCUAACGUUAAUGAUAAAAAAGACUCAAAAAUAUAAUUAGAGUCUUUUUUGAAUAAAAAUAUAUUUACUUUUUUAAGUAACUUUAACAAGAACCUUGCCCGUUUUCCUUUCUAUUCCAUUUCCGUCUGUUCACAGUCGUUUUAAUAAACAGCUUUAAUUACUUUGGCAAAAUUUAAGGUUAGUUACCGUAUUUUAAUUUAAUAAAUUUUACACCUUAUUUUUUUGAGUUGGUCUAUUUUAACUCUUAAUUUUUUUUUAAUUUUAAAAUUUUAGUCCUGAUUCAAAUUGUAACAAUUAAAUUUGUUUGGUUGAAUUUAAUUACUAGUGUUAUACUAUGCAUACAGUUGUAAAUUUAGUUUAUAUUCUCCAAUUAGAUCAUUCUAAGCCCCUAAAUUUUUCAAAAUCUAAAAUUUCACUCUCGAUGCAAAUAGAAAUCUUUAAUCCAUUAAAUGGAUUUCUGGUGAGUAAUAUGUGAAAAUAAUAAGCUGGCAUGGCAUUACACAUAUAAUAAUAUAUUUAUUAUAUAAAAUUUUGGAAAUAACAAAACUUAACUUAAUGAAUUUAACAAUUAUCGUUUGACAAUGAUUGAAUUUUUCAAAUUUGAAUUUUCUUUAUUAGGACGAAUGAUUGAGAAAAAAAGAUUUUUCAAAACAAAUCUCAAAACAUCAUCUUACCUAACGGGUUGAGUGUUUGAUUAAAUCUAGUGAAAAAAAUUUAAAAUUAGUUGAGUUAAUGAGUCUUAUUUUAUCAUUUUAACUUGAUUUUUUUAAUCGACUUGAGUGAGAUAAAAUUUAAGUCUAAUCGAAUUAAGUUAAUAAAAUUAAACAUGUAAUAUUAAAAUUUUAUUAAUAAUAUGAUUAAAUUUGAAGUCAAAUCACAUAAAACCCCAACUCUUAAAUAUAUAUGAUUAAAUUAACAACCCAUGUAAAGUUAGAUCAUAUAUAUCAACAAACCCAUGUGAUGGGUUUAAAUAUUUUAAUAAAAUCGAGGUUUAUCAUUAAACAAUUACCUAAUAACAAUAAAAAAUCAACACUAAAUCUGAAGUCUCAUGCCAUGAUUGAUAAAUAAAUAAUGCAAACUUUUAAAGGUAAUAAAUAAUAAUAAUGUAACUUAAACUAUUAAGAAAACGAAGUUGAGUCGAGUCCCUCCGAGUGUCGCACCUACAUCCUAACCCUAAGAGCUAUCUGUGGAGAAGGAAAAUAAGAGGAUGAGCUAUGAAAGCUCAGUGUGAGUUUCAUCACAAGGAACCUGAAACAAAAUUGUAUAUACAGCAUAUGAGAAAAAAAUUCUAAGAAUAAUCACAAUUAUAAAGCACUUCAGAUCAACGAUUUUACAUGUCAUCACUUUACUGCACUGUUUCAGAAAUCACAGUCUUAUAUGCACAUGCUAAUGAAUGCAAUGUAGUUUCAAAUUAACAGAAAAGUCCUACCUAACUCCGCUACACACCUCACUUAUAAGUUCCUUAGAACUCAUCUACCAUAUCACUCCAGAUUGUGGACGAAUUAACACUAAUUUGCAGAUAAACUACCACUCUGCAAAGAAAAACAUGGGUAAACCACUAGUAUUUUAGGCUCCGUUUGUUUGCCAGUAAAAUAUUUUUCAGAAAAUAAUUUCUGGAAAAUGAUUUACUUUUCUGAAAAUGAUUUACUUUUCUAGUGUUUGGAUGAAUGUGUAAAAUAUUUUCUACUGGCAGGUUUCUUGAAAAUAUUUUAUAAAAGUUGUUUUAAAUGAAACAAAUAUAUAUUUAAGAAUUUAUUAUUAAAUCUUCUUAACCUUUAGCUAUUCAAGUUCUUUUUUCACAUGGAAUAUUAUUUUUUUCACAUGUUUUAAUUAUUGAUUAAUUAUAAAUUAAUCACAAUUGGCAACUUUUAGCUAUUCAUACGAUUGCUUGAGGCAAAAAAAGGAAAAAUUUUCACUUAAAUUUUGAAGAAGUCUUAUUUUUUACAAAUUUAAGAACAGCAGGUGCAUCAACUGUGUAACACCCCCUAACCCCAAACCGUCGCCGGAACGAGGUUAUGAGGCAUUGCCGGACAUAUUAGACAACUUACGAAUAAUUUACAAUUAAUAUAACUUUCAUAGUAUAAUAUAAUAAUUAAGUCCCUAUAUUGGACUCUCGAAGUUCAAACACGUAUUAAAAGUAGAACGGGACUUGUUCGAGUAUUCUGGGAAAUUUUUUUUAUAAAAAAUUUCGGCAGCAUUUCUGCUUAUUUUUACCUAAAACCCCCUACAAAUUCAAACCAAAACAACCAACACCAAUGUUUCACAUUCAUAUAACUAAUAUUUAUAUCAUUAACAUAAUUUUUAACUUAAUAACUAUCAUAGCAUCAUUCUAAAUUGAUUAAAAACUUCAUUCAUUUAACCAUCUAAAUCUUAUAAUUCAUCCUUCACUACCCAAAGUAAUAUACAUAUUCAAGUGACUAAACAACACCUAUGUACAUGCCACCUUUACCCAAAAGAAAAAUAUACAUCACCAACUUUGUGUUGGAGUCGGGAUUGUUUUGGAUGCUGAGCCGGGACACUUGACUUCUACUAACCUGCGCACGGAAACAACAAUACGCUGAGUAUGGAUAUACUCAGUGGUAUUACCAUAAUUCAAAAUAUAUCAUCAAUAAUAAAAAUAUAAAUAUUAAAAUACAAAACAAUUAAUUUUUUAAAUACUAAUUCAUACUUUAUUUUUAUUUUUAUUUUCAUCAUUUCAUAAUAACAAUUCAAUUUAAUUAUUCGUCAAUCAAUGUAUUUUUCACAAACUUGAAUUUAAACCACUUAUGAACAUUUAGCUCAUACUUUUCUCUUUCUAUCACAAUUCCAAUUUCUAUUCAUAAUUCAAUUUCCUUUUUUUUAUUUCAAUGCCUUAAAUUCACAUUUCAAUUUUUCACCCUAUUAACGUAAAUCGGACUUUGGCGGAUACACGGAUCCAACCAAACACACCAAUAUGGCACCCAGUGCCUCAUCGGAUAGUUCAAAGUAAUAGUUGACACCCAGUGUCUCAUCGGCCUAGCCGAAGUAAAGUUGGUACCCAGUACCUAAUCGAAUCUAUCCGAAGAAAUUUAGUGACACCCAAUGUCUCAUCGACUCGAGGUCGAGGCAUCCCUGAACACUUCUAAUCUUAUGGCAUGCCAACUAUAUCCGACUCAGCCCGACUAGUUAAUAGGGUAUUCAAUUCACUUUCUCAAUUCUAUAUCACUUUCAAUUCACAAUUCAAAUCACCAUUCAUUUUUCAAUCAAUACACUUUUCAAAUAAUCACAUAUUCCAUAAUUCACUUAUUCUAUUCAAUUUAAUUCAAUUUGCAUCACUUUCAUUUUCACUCAAUAUUCAUAUCAAUUUCACAUACUUACCUCAAGUCUUACUUACCAUACAUAACAAUUAAAAAUUUAGCAAUCAAUAAUAAUUAAAAUUCGAAUUAUAGUAAUACACAGCGUAAUUCUCCCGUUUUAGUCCUCAAUGACUUUCUCCUUUCCUUUUGAUGCUGAUGCUUCAGGUUCUUUGUUGGCUACGAAAAUAAUAGUAAUUGACAUUAUUAUUUACAGCAUUAAUUAUAAUAAAUAAUUAAAUUUCUAAACAAUUCCUACCUUAUUCCCAAUUUAAUCCUAACUAAACUUAAUUAUUUUUUUAAUCCAAUUCACUCUCUUUUUCUAUUCAAAUUUUGUCUAAACUUAUAUUUAACUAUAAAAUUUCCGGCAUAUUUCCCUAAUUUCGAAAUUUCUUCAAUUUAGUCCCUACAACAUAAAACUUAUAGCCUAGUUUACAAUUUAAUCCCUUAAUCAAUUCUAACUUAGAAUUCAUUCAAUUAAAUCCCUAAUUCCAUAAUUUGUCCAACAUGAACCAUAUUUGAAAACAUAUGAACUCUUGAACUAUCAACUUAAUUUCAUCAAAAUCUUGUUUCAAAGCUUCUAAAACAUCAAGAUUAACUAAAAAGGACUUAAUUGACUUACCAAAUUAACUCCAAGCUUCAAAUCCUUAGUUUUCUCUUUUAUUUUUCUUUCCCUUUUUCUUUCUCUUUUUCUCCCCUGCUUCCCGUUUUCAAUUCUGUUUCUAUUCCCUUUUGUUUCUUUAUUUCUCUUUUAUAUUUAUUUGCUUUACUUAUUUAAUUAGCAUAUAUUAUAAUAUAUUUAUUUUAAAUAUCUAUUUUAACAUCAUUUACAUAUUUUACAAUUGUACACAUAUUUAAUUCUACAUUUGUACCAAUAAUUUUAUUACAUUUGUCAUUAUUUAAUUUGCUUCUCAAACAAAAAUCUCAUAAUUUAAAAUUUUAAUUAUUUAAUUAACAAAUAUCUUUUUACUUAAAUUAUAAGUAAUUUAGUAUUUAAAUUACAAAUGUACCAAUAUAAUUUUUACACGUAUAUUUUAUUACUAUAUAUUUAUCAACUAUUUAAUUUAUUUAAAAUAUAAUAUUCAUUAAAUAAUCAUAAUAAUAAUAAAACCAUAAUAAUAAUAAUUUUAAUAUAUAUAAUACAUACAUUCAAGAAAAAUCUUGAUUUUUCUUCCAUUUGCCGCCUCAAUUUAUGUAAAUGGCUUAAUUGCCAUUUUGAUCCUUUUUAUUUUCUAUUUCUUUAGAAUUAAACUUUUACCCCUUUUUCAAUUUAGUUCUUUUUGCUAAUUAUUCUAAAUUAAGCUAAUUUCACCUAAUUAAAUCCUAAUUAGACACACCACUAGGCUCAUAAAUAUUUUUAAUAAUUAUUGUCGAACUUAUUUCACUAAGACGGAGGCUCUAUAACUCACUUUUCUGGUGCCCGUGGAUUUUGGGUCAUUACAAACUGUGACCGCCACCUUCACCGAUGGUUGAUCGAACCACUCCGUAAUUUCAGAAAACAUGCUCAAAUGCAUCCCACUCAAUAAGGAACAAUCAUACAUCAUUACAGAAUUUGAAGGGUACAACUGCAAGUCUACACAUUAUAUCUACUUUAUCUCCAAUCCAAGACAAGCACAACAUCACUACAUAGAAAAAGCUUUCAUAUACAAUUUGAUUUCCAUUGAACCUAUUAUCAAAUUUCAGCAAAAUAUAUUCAAAUUAGGGAUAGUAAAUGUCAAAAAUUUAGAAAUGAAAUUAUUUUUCAUCAAUUACAUAAAUAAAAGUAUAUUAUGAUUACAGAUACCCUCUAAUAGCUAGUAUUAAUUUUUAACCAGUCACAUGAUUUAUUUUUAGAAACAUGAGUAAAUGGAAAGCAGGAUGUAAAGCAUUGCCUGCGCACUCUCAAGCCAGACCCUGCUUUAUAUUUUGAUUAUCUCUGCUUCUGAACUCUCUUGUCUCGUAUUGGCAGCUCAAUAGGCUGCACACUCUCGUAUAGUAAGACCCUGCACACUCUCGUAUUGGCACUCUCUCGUAGUCUAUCCCAACUAUCAAUUAUGGAUCCAAUCAAAAGGAAAGUUGAUUCAAGUGAAGUAAUUCCCACACUGUAGGGAUAAAGACAGCUCUCAGGAGACAUAGAAGCUGAGCUUUCUUGAGAAGAAGGUUGGACAGGCCAAACAUUGAUCAUUAUCUGUAUAAGCUCCAUUGCCAUUAUUUUUCUCUUAUAAGGAGCAGAAGGAUAACAAGAGAAGAACAGAAAACAACUCAACCACCUCAUAAAAUUAAAUAGCUCCUCUGUUCUACUAACUGUAUUAUCCUCAUUUCCCUGACAUAGACACAACUCGUUAAUUUCAUUGUUCAUACGAGGCUGCCAGCUUCCCUACUUAAAUUGCCUCUACAAGGCUGUACGCACCCGAGAAAAGAACUUCCUAAACAAGCUGUGCCACUGAGCAUGAGAUCUUUUUCAACAGGUAUGCAUGUACUAUUUCAAAUAGCAGGUCAGGACUUAUAUCCAGCAUAGUCUUUGCUCCAAACCUCUUGGUCAACAGAGCUAAAGAAACAUAUCUCCCCUUACAACGUAGCCCUAAACGAAGCAGAUCUGAAGCAAUCUUUUGUAGGAAUGUCUUUAUUUUCUCACUACCCUCUGCCCUACAAAGAGAGGACUGAAUGUCUAAGAAAAGAUCAAAUAUAAGAUGAACUUGUUUGACUGUUUGACUUAGAGGAUCUUCCAAGUUAUUCCAUAUUAUUUUCAGCAUUUUGGUUUCCAUAUCCUCCGGCAAUGGGAUGUAAUUUUCGGAUGCAACUGUAAGGUUUGCCAGCAUACAGGUCUUAAUCUGUUGCAAACAAAUUUGCAUUACAGUUAACACAUGGAAGUUAAAAUGCCUAUCUGUGGGGUUCUCACAGUAAUUACACAGCUCAGGCAAAAUCCCAUCAUACAAUAUAGUCUUCCCAGAACAAGCAACAUUUCCAUGGGACUCAAUAUCAUUACAAGUUUCCCUAUAUACAACAAAAUGUGUAUUUAGAACCAUUCUUGGAACAGCAGUAAGAAUGCCUCUAAUUAAACAAAGUCUAUUCAAUCCAAAGAGAUUACGUAUGUCAAGGCAAACAUCUCCUUUAUAAGGAACUUUGCUAAUAACAUUGCUAAAUGAAUCCUAAUGCAAGAACUACUAACAAUUUGACCAAAUAUACCUUCAAUGAUGAACAGACCAAGCUCUUGAUCACUGAGGCGAACUUGAAAAGCAGCAAAAAAACUCACAUCAGACGCCACAAAGCAGUCCCUCAAAAAUGCCACUGAUUUCAAAAGACUUAUCAAAACCCCUAAAGCCAUAUCCAUUACAUUAGAAUCAUCACCGCCCAAUUUUUUAAAUUUAUCUGGGAACUUCUAAAACAAGUAAUACAUACAAGGUAAAGCCUUUUGACACUGCUCCAGAACUAUAGGAAAAGGUCUAGGCCACCCUUCAGUCUCCAAAAUCAUAUUUUUCAACCCCAAAAUAGCAUCCCAACAAACCAAAACAGCACAAUCUUGAAUCACAUCAACAAAGAACCCCAACUUUGGCAUCCCUAUUACUGAUAAAGCCACACGUGACACAGAGAAAGGCUUCUUCUUAUCACUCAUUGUACCAUACUCGUUACAAAGUAAUUUGAAACACUCAUCAAUAACAGGUUGGAAAACAUUCUUGGUUUUAGCAGAAAAAAUUUAAUCCCAAACCCAGAAAAAAAUUAAAAAUAAAAAAACAGAGAGGCAUAAAAAUAAAGAAACAGACAAAGAAAUCACGAAUAAAAAAAUAAAAAUCGAAAUAGAAAAAGAAGUUGUAAAGAGAAGAUUACCUUCUGGGAGAGAUUCGGAAUCGAGAAGAUUAAAAGAGAAGACGAUUGAAAAUUUUCAAUUUUGAUGAGAAACUUGGGGGAAUUUAUCACGGAUCAAAGAAAACUCUUACCGAAAAUGAUAGGGGAAGGGGAAGUGUUACAGGCCAAUUUUGACCCAACAUUAAAACCCAAUACAAAUUAACCCAAAAUAUACCCCAAGCCCAAUACCUAAACUAACCCAAACAACAAACCCAACAAAACCUAACUACCUAGCUCAAGCCCAAUUAGCCCAUUAGUUAAACUAGGGUUUCAGAAAAGUUGAAACCCUAGCCACCCUCUCCCCACUUGCCUCUGACGACUCUGCCACCACCACCCACCGCCACCUGCUCCCAUUCCGUCACCUGCAAAAAGAAGCACAAAACACGCAAUAAGCAGUAGCAAACCAGGUGUAAAUGGCUAUAUAAGCCAUGCCAUAUUUUGUAUUUUCGCUCUCUGGACCUUUUUUGAAUACGAAAACUAGAAAUAAAAAGUAGAUUCAAACACUAAUAAAAGUACUCAGCAAGGAGUACAAAAAUAAAGAAAUAGAUUUGGACGAAAGGUUUUUAUUUUCCCUUCUAUUUAUUUUGCUUCUCUUCGAAUCUAUCUACACUUAGAUCUAUUUAUUUUCUUUUAUUUUUUUACACAUAUAUAUAUUAAAAAUACAAAAAAAGGGAAAUUUUUACCUUUUCCGGCCACCGUGCAUGGUGGCCUGCGGCGGCGGCGGCGACGGUGGCCGGUGGCAGACUGUGGUGGCGGCAGGUCUGAGCUCUCACCGGAGCAAGGGCUUCUACAGAGAAAAAAAAGAAAGAAGAAAGCUUUUUUUUAAAAAAACAGAGGAGAAAAUGAAUUUUUUAAAAAAAUGGAUUUAUAUAGGCCACCAAAACAACGUCGUUUUGGGAUUGGCCUUAAACGCCCAAAACGACGUCGUUUUGACUUAACCCGACCCGAUUCGGCCCACUCUACUAAGGAUCCGUGUGUUUUUUCAACAGAAAGGCUAUUUGCCCAUUUAGCCCUUCCGCAUUUUUCUGAUUUUAAAUUUCAUUUUUUUUGCUUUUAAUUUAUGCCCAGAAAUUUUAUUUCUCUUCCAAGUUAGUCCCUUUGAAGCUGUGCGUUUUGGGACAAGGGGUUAUUACCCAUUUUAGUCCUUCCUGGUUAUUUGCGCAUGCGAAUUAAUCCCCUCCUCUUUUAUUUAUUUUGGAUUUGCCCCAAAAUUUUGUUUUCAAAUUCAAUUAUGUCCUUUUUAUUACUUUUGGUUGUUUAUUUACAUUAUUUAUAUAUUAUUAUAUUUGCACUCAUAUUUAUUUUAUUCUAAUGCCAUUAUUAUUAUCACUUCUAUUGUUAUUAUUAUUACUAUAUUUUACUAUCAUUGUUUUUUUUUCAUACGUAUAUAUAUUAUUGUUUAUGUUAUUACUAUUAUUGUUACUAUAUUUUUAUUCCCUCUAUUAUGUAUUACUAAUGUAUUAUUAUUACUACUAUUUUAUUUUUAUGACUAUUAUCGUUUAUAGAUUAUUAUUAUUAUUAUUAUUAUUAUUAUAUAUGUAUAUAUCUUUAAUGUAUAUAUAUGUAUAUAUUUAUGUAGUAUUAUUAACAAUUGUUUUGUAACAUUAUUAUUAUUAUUUCUAAUAUGUAUAUAUUAUAAUAUCAUUAGUUUUAUGUUUUUUUUCAUACUAUUCUAUGUAUAUAUUAUGUAUAUAUUUUAUGUAUAUGUUAUGUAUAUAUAUUUUUAAUAUUAUUUUAUAUAUAUAUAUUAUGUAUAUAUUUUUAAAUAUCAUACUAUUCAUAUAUUUUUACGUUAUCUCAUGCAUAUAUUUUUAAUAUUAUUAGUUAUAUAUAUAUAUUUAUACUGUUUCAUGUAUAUAUUUUUAUAUUAUCCUUAUUAUUAUUAAUAUUAGUAUAUGUUUUAUUAUAUAUGUAUAUAUCUUUAAUAUAUAUAGGUAUAUAUAUUUAUGUAAUAUUAUUAAUAUGUGUCUUUUAACAUUAUUUAAAAGUAUAAAGUCUGUCUUAUUUAAUUGGAAAAAAGGAAGAAUAGGAAAGUGAGUGGAGGACGUAAUCAACUCACUCUAACUUUAUCUAAUACUAAUUUUUAUACUUUGAUCAUCCCUUGUAUAAGGCCUUUACAUACACCGUAUAUACAUUUUCUUUUGCCACCACAGCCUAUAUCUAUAAUCUAUCUAUGAUAUAUAUAAAAAUAUGAAUUUUAAAAAAAUUGUACCGCACAAAGAUAACCUUUAAUUUUCUAUCAUAUUAUUAAAUUAUAUUUAAAAAUAAUUAUAAUCAAUUUUAAAAGAUGUGAAAAAAUAUAUCAUAGUAAUUAUAUUAAAAUAAAAGGUGUAAUAAUUAUAAUAAAUUUAAAUUUAUUAUUUGGAAAAAGAAAUAUAUUAAAAUUAAAAAAAUUUGUGAUUUUGUAAACUUAUUUAAAUUUUUAAUUUAAUUUAAGGAUUAAAGUUAACUUCGAUUUAAAUAAAAGGCUAAAGGAGGGGAAGCAAACCCGCAAAAAAAAUCUGUGCCAUCAAAUGUAACAUAUUUAUAACGAUAUUCCAAUCAAUAUACAUAACAUGUUUGAUUUUUAUCUUUUGAUAUUUGGAUCCCAGGCUGUUAUCUUUUAAUUCUUACAUUCAAAUAAAUGUUUCUCGAUAAAUUUAAAAGGAUAUGUAUUCGGAUUAGAUUUGGACUAUAAAAAUUUACUCAAGAUUCGACUUAUUUAGAAAAUAAACAUCGUUUUUUUAUUCAAAUCCAUAUUUUGAAUCUAUAUUUUUAGUUGAAUCCUUUCAUUUUUCAAACGGACCUUCAGAAUUAGUUGAAUGAUGUGACCAUGAACAACUCUAUAUAUAAUAUGCUUUUAUAGUCAAAAUGAGAUAUACGAAAUAAAUUUUAUGUAUUAAAUUUAUGUACGAUAUAUAACUCUUAUUUAUAUAAUACAUCAUAUAUAUAUAUAUAACAAUAAUUUAUGAUUUUAUGUAAUUCAUAUUAUACAAAAUAAGAAAAAAAAACAUGCUAAGAAUACACCUGUGUAAAUAGGACAUGCAAACAAGCAAAAAAAACUUGCGUAGGCACAGGUGUAGUGCAUACCUGACUCAUCCUGCUGUUGCCCCUGCUCCUGCCAUAAACAUAACAAAGUCGGCCAUAUUUUCCAACAUGUAUUAACUUAUCAUGCACACUUUUAAAACAACGAAAAAAAAAUGCCAAUUAGUUACCUUCUCUCUUUUAAGAUGAAUCCUAGUAACAAGACUGUCCCUUAUGACUUCGGAUUUGGAAAGAAAGGGUGGAGUUUUCAAUCGCCUUUUUCUGCCAGAGGGCAGUAUAUUUUCCAAACUUUCUUUAGGGAGACCAGUCCGCCGCUUACGUUUCUUAUUUAGUUCUACAUUGGAAGGAAUCCCCCGACUGCGUCUGCUGUAUACCUGCCUAUAUCUGGUGUCCAACUGUGGGCUGCUCUGGGAGCUAACAAUCAUCUGCUCCUGCUCCAUGGGGUCAUCAUUUACACGUACACAAAUUUAAAUAACUUAAAUCUAAUAAGAAAUACUAGAUAGUGAAUUUGGUUUGGAAAUUAUCUAACGUACAUUACCAAAAGGAGAGAGCAAGUUGCAAUGAGAGUCCCCAUGUCUCUUAUCAAAUAAUAAAAAAACAUUGAGCAAAACAUUGAAUCAUCAAAUAAUAAGAAAACUCAAAAUGACCAGCAAUGCACAGCAAAACACUGAGCAACUCUCAAAAUGAACAAAUGUAUAAUUAUAAGCAAGUAUAUACCAAUCGAGCGUAACAGAACAGAACAAAUGAAAGACAAGGAUAAGACAGUUAUAAACAGAGUUUUCCACAGGCCAGCCACCCCAGCAAUUCGUCAAGACAAACAGAAGUUCAUACGAGGGGCAUUUUCAGGGAAGUAGAAUACAAGCAAUGGAAAAAUCAACUAUAAACAGAGUUUUCCACAAGCCAGCCACCCCAGCAAUUCAUCAAGACAAACAGAAGUUCAUACGAGGGGCAUAUUCAGGGAAGUAGAAUACAAGCAAUGGAAAAAUCAACUUGCCUAUUAUUACAAUAAUUUAGUUCAGAGGAAACAAAUUUAAAACAUGUGACCAAAAAAAACCGUGCAACUUCAAUUUAGUUCAGAAGAAUAAGUAAUAUAAUAUAUAACAAAAUUUUAUACAAAUUUUACCUAAUAAAAAUAAAAACUAAUGCUGGUAGCAGAAUAUAAGCAAAGGAAAAAUCAACUUACCUAUUUCCCCAUCAUGCUCUUCUGCUGGAGCUGCGUUCUCCUGAUUUUGCAAGCCUCCCUCUUCUCCAUCUAUGACAUUCCAAAAAAUUUACCUUUGAGUGCUGAAGAAUACUAGCAUUCACUUGGAAUUUAAGAAUGAAUUGAUGACUUAAUAAACAAACACUUUUAAAAUACUAAAAAAAGAAAGGAAAAACAUCAUGAUUUCCACAUGCUAUACACAAAUAAAAACAAGCAAUCACUUAUUAUUAUAAAAUUGCAAAUUCUCAACUGUAUAAUACAAUUGCAAAUUCCCAACUGUAUAAUACAAUUGCAAAUUCCAAGUCUUUGAAAAAUGUUGCUUUGAAUAUUGAAAUAGGAAAAAAAAAUAUUAACGUGUUAGCUCAGACUCGUUUUCAUUCAUUCAAAAUAUUCAAAUACAAUUCCAUUUUAUUAUAUAUUAUAUUGUCUUUUUUAUGGAAGAUGAAGCUUUGAUUUAAACAGAAUCAACUACUCCAAUCUUGUCUUAUUUUCAUUUUCCACUAUCACUAAACUAAUUGAAAGGUAAUUUAGCUUUUAACUUAGGAUAACUAAUCAUCAAUCAAGUGAUCCAGAUUCUUGACUCACAAAUUCAUGGAACAUUAAAACUUUUUAAUAAUAUUCCAAAUCAGCAUCUUUUAUUUCUUAUUUUCAUUUUGUUUUAACAAAAUGAAAAAAAACAAACAUACGUGGUGGUUCGUACAGAUGAAUAAUUCUGCUCAGGGGAAAGAAAUUUAAAACAUGUGACGAAAAAACCAUACAACUUCAAUUUAGUUCAGAUGAAUAAGUUUAGGAUUACCUGCAAUAUACAAACACUCUCAACAAUCAGACCAGACUGAUAUGAAAUCUUUAUGUACCAAGGGCCAGUCUUGCCUACUUCCUCCCCUACUUCUGCCUCUACGACUUCGAUCAAGUCUAUUGUGAAUUUUAGUGAUAUGUUACGCCUUAAGUUGAAGAUCAUCAGAAGCACAUAGCUUCUUUUCCUUCGAGGCCGCAGGAUUAUGGAGAACUACCUUCUCCAAAGAUACAAGUGAUGUCAAAGCACGCUCCAGGAAAACUUGAUCAUUAUAUGGAGAAGGGAAGAAAUUUUGUGGCAGUCGAGAAUAGGGGGUCCAUUCAACCUGUUUGAAACACUGAAAUAGGAAUGACCAAAAAAAACGAAAGUCAUUUGAAAAAGUUAAUUAAAUCAUUAGAAAGAAGAAAAUGACUUCACUUACUCUAUUUAGGCUUAAAUUAUUGAAAUAGUCCUCAAAUUCAGAAGUAUUAGGGUGUUUUUUGUGCUUCUUGGAUGACUUGAACAGCCUUUCAUGCCACCCAACCAGCAAAGGAAAGUCCUUGGGACGAUUUUCCUUAUCUUCGGCUAUGACAAUUUCAUUUACUUCUUUAUUGUCGAGAUGAAGCAACCAAGAUGCAAGCUCCGGCAAGUGCUUCAAUAUAAACACCUACAACAAAGAAAAAAAAUGUUAAUCCACAUGAAAUAAAGAGAAACCACUAAACAAAGGUGUCGUAACCAUUUUUUGAAAAACUGGAAUCGACUUAAAUUUUGAAAAUGAAAAUGAAUAGAGGAGUCGCCACCAAUCUUUUUUGAUGAGGUGUGAUCGGGUCACCUCGUAAAAGUAGUUGUUUUUAAUAAAUGGUUUGAUUUAUUUAAACAACGAUUUUGGUCCACGCAAAUCAAGAAAACAGGUUCGGGAGUCGGUUACGCACGAGGAAGGAUUAGUACCCUCGAUACGCCCAAAAUUGGUACCUAGUUAAUUAAUUAGUGUCUUAGUGUCGAAGAUUUGAAAACUUGAAAGAAUUUAAAAUACGGUCCCUUUUUAAAAAACAUUCGAAUGCUAAAGACCUUCUCGCCUUGAAGUAACAAAAUGUCAUAUCCAGUGAGUUAGGACACGACAUCUCGAACUUUUUAGAAUGAGCUUGCCUUUUACUUAAAAAUCUGUGUAUUUUAACUUCUUUUAAAAGGAUAUUCGGUUAGUUAGAGUGAACAAGGAAAAUCGAAACCCAGUAAGUUAGGGCACGCUUCCUCGAAUUUCCGAACACCGAAUAUUGCCUUUAUUCGCGAAAAAUCUUAUUUCGAGGUAACAAAAUGCCAUACCCGGUAAGUUAGGGCACCACACCUCGUAUUUUCGAAAAUAAGCAUUUUUUAAAACUCGUAUUAUGAUUUAAAAGAAUAUUCUGUUAUAUAGGUUAAAUGAAAAAAAUCGAAACCCAGUAAGUUAGGGCACGAUUGUCUCGAAUUACCAAAUACGGAAUAUUACUUUUAUGAAAGAAUUAUUUUGGGUUGGAUAAAAAAUAUAAUGCGAUUUAUAGUAAAAUACAAAAGCAAAUCAUGAUAUUAACACGUAUAACAACAUAAUGAUAGGUGCGAUAAUGUCAAAUACAAUAGUAUGGGCAAAAAAGAUGAAAUAAAAACAAGACUAGUAAAAUAUAAAACAAACGUGUAGGGAAAAAUGGAAUAAGCAAAUACAUAAAUAAAUAAAUGAAUAUAAAACAUGACAAAAUGAAAAUGGCAAUGAUAAUAAAAACGAUAAUAUUAACAAAAUUGGUAAUAAAAAUAGUGAUAAAAGGAUAAUAAUAAUAAUAAUAAUAAUAAUAUAAUACCUAUGAUACUAAUAAUAGUAAUAAUAAGAAUAUUAAUAUUAAUAUUAAUAAUAAUGGAAAAUAAUAAUAAAAAUGAUAAUAUAGUAAUAAUAAUAAAAGUGAAAUUAAUAGUGAAUUGAUAAUAAUAAUGUAUGUUAAUAACAAUGAUAAUAUAUAAAGGAUAGGAAAUAAUAAUAUGGUAAAAAAAUAACAAUAAUAUGAUAAUAAAAAUAACGGUGGUAGUAAUAAUGAUAAUAGCAAGAAUAAAUAUAAAAAUAAUAGUAACAUAGCUAAAAGAUAAUGCUAACUUUGAUAAUAAUAUAAAUAAUAAUGAUAAUAAUGUUAAUAAAAAUACAAAAUGAUGAAAAGUAAAAUGUCAAUGAAAAUAAUAUAAGAAAAGCAAUAGUAAAAUAGUAGCAUAAACAUAGGUAAUAUGUGAAAUAUAAUGAUAAUAUAAACAUAAAUAAAUAAGUAGUACUAGGUAAAAUAAAUAUAGAUUAGAAUAUAAUAAUAAUAAUAAUAAUAGUAAUAAUAGUAAUGGUAAUAGCAUGAUAAUAUUAGAAAUAUACAAUAUAUAGUAUUAGAGGUAAAUACACAAUAUAUACAUAUUAGAAAUAAUAAUAAUGUUAAAAAUAACUAUUAAUAAUACUUCAUAAAUAUAUACAUAUAUAUAUUAAAGAUAUAUACAUAUAUAAUAAAACAUAUACUAAUAUUAGUAACAAAUAUAAUAGGGGUAAAAAUAGAUAUAAUAAUAGGUAUAUAACAUGGUAUUAAUAUGUGUAUAAUAUAGUAUUUAAAUGUGUAUACAUAAAAUAUAUAUUAGGGAUAAUAAUAAUAUUAAAAAGCAACUAUAAAUAUAUAAAAUAUAUAUAAGUAUUAAUUAAAACUAACAAAUUUCUAAAUAAUAGUAAAAAUAUGCUAAUAAUAGUAAUAACGAAAAUAGUAAAUUGAAUAAUAAAUAAUAUUUUAAAAAAUGGUAAAAAUAAUAUAGAAACCACAUUAAAUCUAAAAAAGGGACUAAAUUCGAAACAAGAUGAAGUUUUGGGGCCAAUUUAAAAAGAAAUAUAAAAAAGGGACCCAUUUGAAUGCUCGUGCGACUGCAGAGGGCCAAAAAGGCAAUUUACCAGAGCCCUUAAAACGACGUCACUGAAGGGAGGACCAAAUCGCAAAACGUGGUAAAUUUCGGGGCCAAAUUAAAAAUAAAAAAUGAUUUAAUUGCAAAGUAAUAAAAAAGCGGAGGGGCUAAAUGUGAAAAUAUCCCCUCCAAUAAAAACAUGCGGAUCCUGAAGUUGGAACGGGUGGGAUCGGGUCGGGUCGUCUCAAAACGACGUCGUUUUGGGUGUUUAAGGCCAGUCCCAAAACGACGUCGUUUUGUUGGCCUAUAUAAACCCAAUUUUUUUUUAAAAGUUCAUUUCUUCUCCUCUUUUAAAAAAAUUUCCUUUCUUCCUCUUUGUUCUCUGCAGAGGCCAUUGCUCCUACGAGGUUUCAAUCUAGUCGCCACCGUGGCCCACCGCCGUCGCCGCCGCCGUCGGCCACCCUGCACGGUGGCCGGAAAAGGUAAAGUUUUCCUUUUUUAUUUUUUUUUUAUUUUUUUAUAUACAUGCAAGUGAGUAAAUAGAUUCGAAAAUCAAAAAUAAAAAAUAAAAAAGGGGUAAAAUCCCCUUUGGUUUUUCGAUCUCUGAUUCUUGGUGUUUUGUUUUUCCGAUUUGGACUAUAUGAUUGCUGGUUUUGGUGUUAAACUCGCACUUUUUGUAUUAUUAAAAUUUCUACUCGAUAAAUUGAUCUAUUAGUAUACAAAAAUAUGUGCCCCCUCCAUUCAUUACAAUUUCGCUUGGCUUUUAUAGCCAUUUGCAAGUCCCAUUUUUUUAUUACUUAUUGUCUUUUCUUCCUCUGUUCUGCAGGUGCAAGUAGCGGUGGCAGGUGGCUGACAAGGCUAGGGUUUUUUUAGGUUUAGGUUUCUUUCUCUUUUUUUUUUAAAUGUAUUUGGGUUGUUAAUCUUGGGCUUGAGGUAUUUAGGGUUAGUUGGGUAUUAAUUUUUUUGUUUAAGUUGGGCCAAAAUUGGGCCUCAACAAAAGGAAACUAUAAAUAUAACUUCUAUCCUCACCGUCACAAAAUGAAAAUUGCCAUAGAGACAAUUGGAAGUGCAUUUGUUGACGUUCUGAAGGCAGCGGUGCAGACUUGCUAGCAUGGCUGCACCCCAUGCAUAACUUCCAAUUUUAUCAACAUUCUUCAAAAAUGUUAGAUAAAUUGGAGACACCGUUUUAGCUACACUAGGGAGUACUACAGACCCUAUGAUGUAGAACACUGUAGCUCGAACAUACUGGUCAAGUUGCUGCCCUUCGAGGACAUAAUUUUCAUCCAAGUGCCCGUAGUUGUCCUUCAGCCAAGUGAGACAAAUUCCACUUUUUGGUUUUUCUGCUGUUUUUGAUGGUUCUAGGCACUUGUCUGUGCCAAAACACUGUAUACACAAGUCUCUUACAUUUACUUCUUUCUCAUUUACUGUAACUGGCCAACCUGUUAAGCUAAGUAAAGGAUACAAUCAAGAAGAAUAUCAUCUUAUUACUUGAUUUAUGAACAAAGUAAAUACAUGCUAUUAUAUACUAGAAUAAGCAUGCUGACCAUGCAAGUUAACUACUAACAAACUAACAGUUAACCCGUUAUUAACAAUGGAACUACUAACAGACUAACUAACUUUUAUUAGUUAUGCUAACAUUCUCCUGGUUUCUUUCAUUUUUGUUUUCUAUCAAAGCAACAUCAGCACUAGAGAAGACUUGUAGAGCAGUUCGAAAGGAAGCAAAUGCCUUGGGUGUAAUGGGCUUGGUGAGAACAUCAGCUAUCUGUUUUUCAGAUGGAACAAAGUUGACUUGCAGAGUGCCGUCAAGAACUUUCUCACGAACGAAAUGAUGAUCAAUCUCCACAUGUUUCACCUUGGCAUGAUGUGUAGGAUUUGCUGCCAUUGAGACAGUAGAGGUAUUAUCACACCAAAUCACGAGAGGCUGACAAAGUAGCAGGCCAAGCUCAUUGAGCAACUGUUUGACCCACAGCAACUCAGACACACAAUUAGCAAGGCUUCGAUACUCAGCUUCAGAGGAGGAUCUAGACACAACUGGUUGCUUCUUUGAGCACCAAAUAAUAGGACUGGAGCCUAAGUACACCACAUAGCCAGAGGUGGAACGACGAUCUUCAACAGAGGAUGCCCAAUCAGUAUCAGAAUAGCAAACUAAUUCAAAUUGUCCCUUGGAAAGCAAUAACCCAUAAUCUAUAGUACCAAUAAGAUAGCACAACACACGUUUGAUAGCUUUCCAAUGAGUAUCACUUGGAGAGUUCAUAUAUUGACUAAGCUUAUUAACACAAAAGGACAGAUCAGGCCGUGUAAUGCAAACAUAUUGGAGCAUGCCAACAAUGCUACGAUACAGAUGCUGGUCAGCAAAUGGAGGGCUCCCAUCGAUAACAACCAACUUUGGGGUGCUCACCAUGGGUGUUGGUGUAGCAGAUGUGCCGAACAUACCAGCCUUGUGAAGAAGCUCAGUAACAUAUUUCUUCUGAGUCAAGAUCAAGCCCCCCUGAGACGUACGAUGAACAGCUAUACCCAAGAAAAAACUGAGCUGCCCCAUGUCCUUGAGUGCAAACUUUUGAUGAAGCUGGAGCACUACGUCGUCAAUAUCCUUGCGAGAACUGCCCGUAAUCACAAUAUCAUCAACAUAUGCCAUAAGCAACAAAUAACUUCCUGAAUUAGAUCGAAUGAAUAGUGAUGGGUCAGCCUUUGAGGCAUGAAAACCAAGAUGACACUCCAAGUACUGCCGUAGUGUUUGAAACCAUGCUCGAGGAGCUUGCCUUAAGCCAUAUAGGGCUUUAUGGAGCUUACAGACUAACUUCUGACCCGAGGACCCUACCUCUUCAAACCUCGGUGGUUGUGUCAUAUAGAGCUCUUCAGACAACUCCCCAUUAAGAAAAGCAUUGUUGACAUCCACCUGCCUUAGUGCCCACCCUUUCAUGACGGCAAUAGCGAGAACAAUUCUAAUUGUUGCUGCAUGAACCACAGGGCUGAAUGUGUCUUGAAAAUCCAGCCCAGCAUGUUGCGAGAAACCUUUGGCAACCAGACGAGCUUUAUACUUAUCCACAGAACCAUCAGCCUUUUUUUUCACCUUAAAUAGUCAUUUGCAGCCAAUUGCUCGACGAUUACCCGGUAAAGGGCAGAGACUCCACGUGCGAUUCUGAAUCAGUGCAUGUAAUUCAUUAUGCACAGCUGCUUUCCACGACUCAUUUGCCAUAGCAGCAUGAAUAUCAGCAGGAACUUCUUCAGAUAGACUGGAUGCUGUGCUCAUGUAUGCUUUAGGUUUGAAGACCCCUGCCUUGCUUCGUGUAAUCAUAGGAUGGGAAUUAUGAGCAACACAAGGUGGUGAGGGUGGUGAAAUAUGAGAGAUAGAUGGUGGUGAGGGUAGUGGAAUAGAGGAAAUGGUGUUGGAUGGACAAAAAAUAGAGUUAGGUGGAGGGCUUUGAGUAGACAAACAGCUGUUGACCAAAGAAGGAGUUUGAGAGAUAGAUGGAAGAACACGUGACGAAGUAGGUGUGGGAGAUAAAUGUGGAGAUAAGACAAACAGUUUGGAACUAGUUUGUGGGAUAGAGCUGGUAGGUGCAAACGUGGUAGGGAUGGUUUUAAAUGGAAAGACAGUCCCAUUAAAAGUGACAUGACGUAAGACAUAAACAUGACCAUUAGCAUCUUGACAACGGUAACCUUUAUGAUAUGGGGAGUACCCUAAAAAAUGUACAAGGGGUUGACCGAAAAUGAAGUUUAUGAGUGUUAUAGGGGUGUAGGUUGGGAAAGCACAUGCAUCCAAAGGUACGUAGACAGGAGUAAUCAGGUGAAACUUGAAACAAUUUUUCAUAGGGGGAGAGAUUAGCAAGGAAAUGGGAAGGUAACCUGUUUAUCAAAUAAACGGUCGUGCUGAAGGCAUCAUGCCAGUAGGUUAAUGGCAUAGCAGCAUGAGCCAGCAUAGAGAGACCAGCCUCAACAAUUUGCCUGUGUUUGCGUUCCACGAUGCCAUUUUGAGCAAAUGUAUAGGGGCAAACAAGGCGAUGCACGAUACCUUGGAGAGACAGAUAGGAUCUCAGCACUUGAAACUCUCCUCCCCCAUCAGUUUGCAAAGCUUUAAGCUUACAGCUAAGAGUUCUUUCAACUCGUCUGUGGAACAAGGGAAAAACAGCAAGCACUUCUGACUUCUUUUUCAAAAAAUAGACCCAAGUAUAUCGCGUGAACGCAUCCGUGAAGGCAACAUAGUAGUGAAAACCAUUUGAACAGAUUGGUGCAGGACCCCAAACAUCAGCAACAACCAACUGAAGAGGUGCAGUAUACUCAGUGAAAGAUUUCUGAAAUGGGAGUUUAUGUUCUUUGCCAAGAUGACAAGCAACACAAGGAGACAACUCUUUAUUUGAACCAACAGAAGUAUUACAAUUGGCUAAAGCCUUUGUAAGAAUUGAUUUACAAGGGUAACCAAGUCUAGCAUGCCACACAUUUAAGGAAACAUUCGAGCUUGCUGUAAAACAUUGAGCUGAUCCAGACGACAAUACAUUAGGGUAGGUGCCAUAUAAGUGCAGCUUGUAGAGACCAUUCUGAAUAGACCCUCGAAGAAGCACCUCCCUAGUCUUAAGAUCACGCACUUGACACUGUUGAGGAAGAAACUCAAAGAUCACUUGAUUGUCUUUGGUGAAUUUGGAUACAGACAAAAGAUUCUUUGUUAUACCAGGAACAAAUAGCAAAGAUCUCAUGUAUAACGGCCGUGUUCGAGUGAGUAAAGAAGACUGACCAGUAGAUAAAACAGGGAGUGCAUUGCCAUUACCGACGUACACUUUACUUGGGCCAUUGUAAGUAGUGCUUUCACCUAUUGAGGAGGCUGAGUGAGUGAGAUGAUGGAUUGCCCCAGAAUCUGGAUACCAUGCAUUAUCAUCAACAGUCUCAGGAGUAGCAAUGAGGGCCUGAGGGGGCGUAGUUGCAGGAGGAGUCGCACUAAUAGGUGGUGAAGAGUUUGCAAGAAACGGAUGAGGCCAGUUAGGAACAGGUGGAAAAUACCAACCUGAUGGAGCUGAAGAGGCAACAUUGGCGGAUGGCACAGGAGACGAUGCCCAAGGGACCAUAGAUGAGCCAGUGCCAUACAUACAUAUAUUUUCUUAUGAAGAAAAUGGAGGUUUGUAACCUGUACUCUUAUAGGACGCAUCAAACCUAUAGUAGCAGCGGUCCACAAGAUGCCCUUGCUUUCCACACAACUGACAUUGAAACCGAGAGUGAGACGAAUGUGCACGCCCACGACCUCGAGUAUUGGAGGAGGAGCGAUAAGUCGAUGUAGGUUCAAGAACACUUGAAGAUUGAUGCAUCACCACAUUAGCCGAACUAGGAAUCUCAGACACAAGAUCUUGCAAUCGGGCUUCAGCAUCAAGAAGCAUUGUAGUCACCCUCUGAGCGUUGUAAGGAACUGGGCUGGCUGUGAUGAUCGUAACAACAGACUCAUAUUCAGGUGGCAGACCAUUGAGUAUAGCAGUGACAUGCUCAUGGUCACUGAUGACUUCUCCGCAACUAGCAAGAUUUGCACAAAACCCCUUAAUCUUUACCAAGAACUCUCUCAUAGACAGAUUACCCUUGCGUUGAGAGUGCAAAGCACACCUAUAAAACAUUAACCUAGACGUAGUUUUACUGCCGUAUAGAGCAACAAUGGCAUUCCAGAUUUCGGCACUAGUGUUCAUACCAAUAAGAUGAGGAAGAACAGCUAGACUUACAGAGGAUAGAAGCCAAGAAGCAAGAGCACUGUCCUACUGCUCAAAUUGAGCAAACUCUGGGUUAUCAUGAAACACACCAUCAGUAUCAGGAAUUAGCGAAGAAGGAGGAACCGUACCAGUGUCCAAAAACCGUUGAAGCUUGUCUGUCUUGACAACCAAAAGAACAUGUUGGCGCCAUAGUAAGUAGCUAGUAUCAUCAAGAAGUACACUUAUUUUCUUGGUAGCAAAAAAUCGGCUAUCGACAACACCAUCUGUAAGACUAGAUGUCAUGGCCGGUGUAGCAGAAUGAGUAGCUGACAGACUGGUAGGCUGCGACAUGGAUAAACGAAUGAGAAAAGAGAAAAAAAAAGUCUUGGGAUCAAUUAGCUCUUGAUACCAUGUUAAGCUAAGUAAAGGAUACAAUCAAGAAGAAUAUCAUUUUAUUACUUGAUUUAUGAACAGAGUAAAUACAUGCUAUUAUAUACUAGAAUAAGCAUGCUGACCAUGCAAGUUAACUACUAACAGACUAACAGUUAACCCAUUAUUAACAGUGGAACUACUAACAGACUAACUAACUUUUAUUAGUUAUGCUAACACAACCAUCUAUCGGAAGGCCAGUGAUCCUUAGAACGUCUCCUAAACCUAGAAAAAGCCUAAUUUUCUGAUCCCUACCAAAUUCAAAGCAUUUUUCCUCUCGGUUAUAUCUAUCUGCCACUGCGUGAAUAAGUGAUUUGAAAUGACUUGAGGGCCUUGAGAGCUUGAUUAAAUUUUCGAAGCCCGUUCCUUGUAAUCUCAGCUUUGCAGCUGGGUAAAAACUGAAAUGUUUUGGCGGCAGAUUUUCAGCACUAUCGACAAGAGUAUAAGCAUGUCUGCAAAACAACCAAAGUGCAGGUGAGCAUCAAGUCAUCAACAAGAUUAAAAAAAAACAAGUCAAAAGUGCAAAGCUUACCCUCCAUCCAUUUUUCAAUUGACGAGUAUCGGCAACUGAAAAGGUUGUUAUAUAUAACUUGUUAGUAGUGUUAAAAAAAUAUAUAAUAUUUGAUCCAAAAAACAUUGAGCAAAACAUUGGUUUGAAUACAUCACAACGCAUUUAUAUGCACAUGAUUCAUAAUUUGAAUACAUAACAAUUUCAAUAUAAAUAUAACAUACGAACUUUCUCACAUUUCAAUAAUCAUCGAUUAAUCAACACAUUAGUACAACAUUUAAUCAUCAAAGUAACAGCUCCUAGACAUCAUAAGUUACAGCAUUAGCACCUCAAAUUUCAGCUUUCAGACAUGAUAAAUUGCAGCAUUUAAUUACCUCAAUUUCCAACUUUCGAACCUCAUAAUUUUCAGCAUUUAAAUGCUUCAAUUUUCCGCAUUCUAGCAACAUAAAAUACAACAUCUAACACUCCAAAUUUCCAGCUUUUAGACAUUAAAAAUUGCAGCAAAACACCCAAGGAAGAAAAGUAAAUAACUCACUAACACUUAUUAUAUCAAGUAAAUAGUGUUUGCAAUUGUGGCAUUUCCAGCGAGCUUAAAACAUCUCUAAACAGAGAAAUUAAAUGCUGAAGAUCCAGCAUUCGGACAGUAGCCAAAAUUGGCAUUUAACCUCCAAUAAUUUUCCUUUAAUUCAACCCGUAACAGUCCACAUUUUUAACAAAUUUAAACAUUUUAAAUUCAGCCAUUUCAUACUUGAAAAUGAGCAUUCACACAACUGUUAACGACAGUUAACUUAACAUUUUAUCACUUAAUUUCUUUCUUCAUAUCGAACAGCCAGAGUUUGAUAAUAUAACUUACAAUUUUAGCUAUUAACGAGUUUUUUUUUUUUAGUCUAUCUAAAAUAAAAUAGGAGAUCAUAUGAAAACUUUUGUUUCCUUGGGUCACUGUCCAUCCAAUAUUUUAGCAACAAAUCUAAUAAAUCUAAGUGUAGUACUUGGUGUAUUGAUUUUUUUUGGAAAGGGAGUGUGUGCGAGUUGUUUAUUUCAAAAAUAGGCUGGAUUCACCCAGUUGUACUUUUUUUUCAUUAUAACUAUAAAAGAAAAGAGUGCAUGAUCCCGUGUAUUACUUCUAAAUAAAUUAAAAAAAUCAUAUUUAAGAACCAUAGCAUUUCGUGAUUCAUUGAUACAUCGACUUUGAUUCUCUAUUAACCGAUAAUCUGGGACCAUUAACAUGAUUAAGGCCAAACUGUUUGAAGUUCAGAUGCAGCAGGGUACUCUUUCUACUGCUAUGUUACUAAAUACAAAAUUAUUGUAUGGCAAUAAAGACACGACAGGGAAAAAUCAGCACUGUACUCAGAAUAGAAAUAGCAAUGUUGGUAUUGGAAAAAUCAAAGCAAAUUUUACCUAAUAAUGAACCUCGUAGUUGAAAGAGAUGAAGUGAGAACGAUGAACUUUGAUCCGGUAAUCUUGCAAAAUGGGAGGGAAAGGGAGAUUUGUUACCUGAGUUGGGUUCGAGUUCUCAGUCUUGCUGCAAGCGGGUAAAGCAGGCAAAGCGAGAGAGGAAAUUUAGGGGAGGGUCGGCUGAGGAACAAUGCAAUGCACGAGAAGCGACAGGAAAUUUGGGGGAGCAUCUGAAUCCAUUCCUUUCCCUUUUUUUGGGUUUUUUCCAAAAUUGAUCCAAAAUUGUUAAUUAAUUAUAAAAAUAAUCCACUUACAAAAUUUUAUAUGAAAAUAAUUGUUUGCUACUGUGUCCCUCGGUGUCGCUAUUGCCAUUAGUGGCACCACUCCGUCAUUAUUAAGCAAUUAUCAGAUUUUAAAAAAUAAUUUUUUUGAGUGCCGCUAUUGGCGUUGGCAGUAUAAGAUUGAAGUGUGAUUAUAUAAAAUAUUUCGGGACCUAAUAAAGCAAUUACUCUUUUUAAAUUAAAUGAACGUUGCUGCUGACGGAAAUAAAUUUAAACUUUUAGUCUAUUUGCAUGUUAGGUUUAUCUCAUUUUGAAAUUAAAUUUAAAUAGUCCUUAAAUAGCUUUUAAAAUAUUUUAGAAUUGAAUUAAAAUUAAACUUGGUCAUUUUAAUGCGAUUUAAGUAUUUUGAAAUCGCGAUUAGACCUGCUCAUGGACCGGGCCACCCGGCCCGGCCCGAAGGCCUGCUCGAAAAGUAGGAGGGUUUGAACAAAAAUAUAGGUCCGAAAAUAGGCUUGGACAAAAAAUAAAGCCCGUUUAAAAAAUGGGUCGGGCCUCGGGUAAGACUUUACCAGGCUUAAAUUUGACCACCCAAAAAACUGCUACUGUUUUUUAUUAUUUACUACUAUUUUCUUAUUGUUUUGUCACUGUUAUGUUGUUAUUUUGUCACCAUUUCGCUAUUAUAUUACUAUUAUUUUAUUAUUAUUAUUUAGAUAUUGUAUAACUCUUAUUUUAUUGUUAAUUUUGUUACUAUUUUCGGGACAUUUUCUUGUUAAAUUGCAACAUGUUAGUGUUAUUUAAGUAUAAAAACUUUUUUACAUGUAUUUUUGAUUUGUUGGAAAACAUUUAUUUUAAUUAUUCUUAGUCUAUUUAAUGUAUUGUAUUUUUUAAAAUUAUUUUUAUAUAAAAAUAAUCUAAAAAUUUAAUAUGGGUCAGGUCGAGUCGGGCUCAGGUUUAGCAUUUUUUAUUCAGGUAGGGCUUGGACAAAAUUUCAGGCCCAUUUUUUGGGUCGGGCCAGGCUCGGGCCCAAAAAAUAGGCCUAAUUUUUUAUGAUGGCCCGGCCUAAACCCGACUCGGCCCGGCCCAUGAGCACCUCUAAUCGCGAUGUUAAGGGAAACAUUGCGACUAGUUUAAUGUAUUCAUCUUCGAUUAACAUGAACAAGGACAAUUUUUAGAGUAAAUUCAUUAUUCUGGAUGUUUAAAUGCUAUAAGAAAUACGCAAUAGCUUGCUUCUAAGUUGUUAUCUCUUACUAUAUUAUUUGUCUAAUCUUUUUUUUACUCCAGAAAGGUAUGAUUCAUCAUACUUUAUGCGGUGUUUUUACGCAUUUGCCUUUCACAGAAUAUUAAGGGAACCUCAUUUGCUUUUCACACGUUCAACUAAAGCUUUCCCUAUGAAUUGAUACUUGUUGAGACAAAAUAUUGAGGGAACCUCCCUUAGCUUUUCACAGGUUACUUUAUGCUGUGUAUUUACAUAUUCAAUGCUUGAAGCAAGAACAACUGGCAAAAAAGGAUUAGAAUAAGAUUUAUAAUGAUAAAUGUGAAGGCACAUAUGUCUCGGACUAUAAAUCAUGCUUGCACAACAUUUGAUGUCAAGAAGUUAUCAAUACUUACUUUCACAUGUGUAAGUACAUUAUUCUUCCCUCAAGCUUUGGUUGUACGUGUAAAAAGCAAAGGGAGGUUCCUCAAUAUUCUGUAAAAGGCAAACACGUAAAUACACCGUAUAAAGUAUGAUGAAUCAUUACCCUUCUGGAGCAAGAACAGCUGGCAAAAAAAGAUUAGAAGAAGAUUUGUAAUGGUCAACGAGAAGGCCCGUAUCUCAGACUAUAAAUCGUGCUUGUACAACAUUUGGUCUCAACAAGCUAUCAAUACUUAUUUUCAUGUGUGUAAGUACAUUAUUCUUCCCUCAAGCUUUGGUUGAAUGCGUGAAAAGCAAAAGGAGGCUCCCUCAAUAUUCUAUGAAGGGCAAAUAUGUAAAUACACCGCAUAAGGUAUGGCAAAUUAUUACCUUUCUGAAGCAAGAACAACUGGCAAAAAAAAUUAGAAGAUGAUUUGUAAUGAUCAACGUGAAGGCACAUAUGUCUCGGACUAUAAAUCAUGCUUGCACAACAUUUGCUCUCAACAAGUUAUCAAUAUUGAACUUGUUGAGAGCAAAUGUUGAGCAAUUGUAAUUUAUAUUCCGAGACAUAUGUUCCUUCACGUUGAUUAUUAUAAAUCUUUUUCUUAUAUUUUUUUGCCAAAUCUUCUUGCUUCAGAGUUGACUCUAGAUUUGAGGGAAGAAGAACAUAAUUACCCCGGGGUAAGAAUGUAUUGAUAACUUGUUGAGACCAAAAGUUGAGUAAUUGUGGUUUAUAUUCCGAGACAUACAUUCCUUCACGUUGACCAUUAUAAAUCUUCUUCUUAUGUUUUUUUGCCAGAUCUUCUUGUUCUAGAGUUGAGGCUUGAUCAUUAUAAAUCUUCUUCUAAUUAUUUUUGCCAGAUGUUCUUACUCUAGAGUUGGGGGAAGAAGAACAUAAUUACCCCGGGGUCAAUAUGUAUUGAUAACUUGUUGGGAGCAAAUGUUGAGCAAUUGUGGUUUAUAGUCCGAAACAUUCGUCCUAGGUAAAUGUUAAGCAAUUGUGGUUUAUAUUCCGAUACAUACAUUCCUUUAUGUUGAUCAUUAUAAAUGUUUUUCUUAUGUUUUUUUACUAAUUCUUCUUGCUCCAGAGUUGACUCUAGAGUUGAGGGAAGAAGAACAUAAUUACCUUGGGGUAAGUAUGUAUUGAUAACUGACAAGGCCUUUCUAGGUGCACAACCCAAGUAUAGGUUAUCUUCAAGUAAUAAAUUCUUGGGAGUCCGAGGUCAAUCCUGUAACAGCCUAAUUUUCAGUGGUGUCGGAACAGUGAUUCGAGAUCACUAAAUCCUACAAAUGAGUAGGAAAUAUUAUUAAUUUAGUGAGUAUAAAUUAAAUGUGAAGUUAGGAAAAAUUUUGAAAUAGUGAAUAGUGUACUAAAAAUAAAUAUUAAAAUAAUUAGAAUCGAAAACGAGGUAUCAAGACCUCGAGAAUUUUAAAUCGAGCCAUAAAUAUUUUUAUAAAUGUUUAUGGAGUGUUAAUAUGUUAGUAUUAAAGUUUCGUCAAGAAAUUUUAAAGUUCUGAUAGUUAAUUGAACAAAAGGACUAAAUUGUAUUAAAUGUAAAAUUGUGAGAAAUGAUUAAAUAGCUUAAUUGAUAAAAGAAAGAGGGUUUAAAAGGAAAAUAGACCCAAGGUCUAUUUGGGCUGGACGGCAAGGGCAUGAAAUCAGUAAUAAAAUAAGGAGAAUUGAGGGUAAAAUUGGAAAAUUGCAUAAUUUACUUAAUAAAGCUAGGACUAAAGUGGAAUUAUCUAGAUUUCUCUUUAUUUUUCUGCAUUCUCAUCAGAAAUACGCCAUGGAGGAGUUCUAUUAAGCUGGUUUUUCAUAUUUUUACUCCAAGUAAGUUCAAUUCUUGAUUAUUUCUUGAAAUUUUUGUGUUUUUGUGACUUUUACAACUAGGUCCACUUGUUGAAAUCAUUAGUUUUUUAUUCUAUGAAAGAAAUUGAAAGUUUCUAUACAUAUGUGCUGGAAGUAUAUGUUGAUUUGGCAUGGGAUUAGAGUUUUAAAUUGUUUAUAUGUUGAUUUUAUUGUAAGAAUUGAAUAGAAAGUGAAUGUUUGGGACCUAAUUGUAAAAGAAUUUGAAGUUAGAGUUUUAUGUAGAAAUUCUGAAUUUCAAUAGUUAUGAAAUAACUUAUAAUGUUUAUGAAAAGUAUUAAUUGAGAAAAUUAUCUUAAUUGAGGGGUUAAUUGAGCAAGGACUGAAUUGUAUGAAUUGUGAAAUUUGGGGCAAAAUGGAAAUCAACAUUUUGCACUAAAACUGUUUUGGACAGCAGAAGUAGUCUAACUUUGAAAAUCACCAAAAAUUGUAUAAAUGGAAUUAGAGGAUGAAUAAAAUAUGAAAUUAAAGCUUAUUGAGUCUAGUUUCUUAUAAAAGAAAUUAUGUAAGCAAUGGAAUUGUAAAUUAUCAGAUACAAUAACUUUUGUGAGACAAUGUCAGAAUGAUUUCGGGUUCCCCUAUUCUGACUUUAUAAAAUCAUCAAAAAUUGGAUAAAAAUAAUUAGAGGCUUAAAUUUAUAUUUUUAGAAUCCUGAAUGAGUCUAUUUUCAAGAUAAAUAAACGGGAACAUCAUUUGAAUCCUGUACGAGGAGAUAAUUAAUUUUUAGUGAAGAAGGGUCAAAACUGUCAGACAGCAGAACAGGGGAGACUUCAAUGAAUAAACUGUAUUAAUUGAAUAGAGGAGAUAAUUAACCCUUUUGGGGUUUCAGUUCAGCUCUGGUGAGCUUCAGUUAGCCUUCGGGUUUAGUACUUCUGUGCUUCAGUCAGCCUUCGGGCUUCCGUUUAGCACUUGUGUGCUUCAGUCAGCCUUUGGGCUUCCGUUUAGCACUUGUGUGCUUCAGUUAGCCUCCGGGCUUCCGUUUAACACUUAUGUGCUUCAGCUAAACUUCGGGCUUCAAAUCACGAAGGACUCAAUUCCGUAAGACGUUCUCUAAUUUGACAAAGAUUGGUAAGUGAGAUAUGAAAUUAGUAUUGGUAGACUUAUGGUUAUUAUUGAUAUUAAUCUGAAAUAAGUGUACCCAUUGAUAUUUAAAUGAUUCAAGGGGUAAAGUUCUGAUAUUAAAUAAUAUGAGUUUGAAAUGAAUUAUUACCGGUAUAUACCUAAAAUAUAUGGAAAUAAUGGUACGUGAAAUAUUAAUAUAAUGAAAUGAAUGAUAAAUGUUUAUAAAGAAACAGCAAAAGAAUGAUAUGUAUCAUAAUAUGCAAAAACAUAAUUAUCUUUAACAUGUUGUUACAAGGGAAAUUAUGUAUUUUGAGACGAGCAAUAAACUCAAGUGUGAUAUGAUGAGAAAAUAAGUUUAUCUAUGUUGAAUUUAUAUGAAUAUGUUCAAGUAUGCUAACAAGUGUUGCUGUUGAUGCUUAGACAAGUGCCAAGCUAUUGGUUAAAUGGUAAAAUGUUUAUUUUUGUAUGAUGUGUUGAAAGGGUAAGCGCUCAAAUGAAAAUGUACUUGUGCUCGUGAGAGAGUGGCAAGUUUUAUGUUAUGCAAUAUCUUAUAAAAUGACUUAUCAUGUGAUUAAUUGAAAAGAGUUAUGUCCAAACGCACUAGCUUGUGGGUAUGAUAGCAUGGUAUGCUUUGUGAAAAGUAAAGAAAUACAUAUGAAAAUAAAGGAACUCGGAAAAGUUAAAAUUUUAUUAAACUAGAGAUGAUAUGUGUAAAUAAUGCUGUGAAUUUAUUUACUUUGUGAAUUGAUGAAUAUAACUUCCUGAAUAUUGUGUGAACCACACGACCUAGCCACACAGCCUGUGACCCCUUGCAGUAUUUAAAAAAAAUUUAAAAAAAUUUAAAUAUUUUCGAAAAAAAAUUUCUGAGUUCUCGGUUAAAUCCCGAUAUAUAUAUAUAUAUUCUGGGCUUCGAUGGCUCACAUAAGAGACACUAUGAUUAAAUUUGAUUGAUUUCAGGUAUGAAUGUUAUGUGAAGCGAAAUUUCUGUUAAAUGAUCUGUAAAUUUUGGUAAUACUCUGAAUCCCUAUUCCGGAGACGGAUACGGGUUAAGGGUGUUACAAAUCCACAGAGAAGUUGAUUAAAACUUACAAGAUUACAAGUAUUAUGCUAGAACAAAUAUUUACAAUUACCUUGAGAAUGAAUGUCGAAGUAGUAGCAAGAAAUAUUAGAAAUAAAAAUAAAAUAAAUGCAAGAAAUUAAAUAAUAAUUAUAAAAACAAAUACCUGGAAGAAAAUAUGCUGAGGUUAGAGGAUCAACUCUCAGCAUCAUAUUAAGAUUAAAUUUUAAUACUCAAUGUUUUUAUUCAAUUGGAAUCCACACAUAAAUGGAGGUCCCAAUUAGAUAAUUUAGCAAUUACGACCAAUAACUAAGCAUAUGAAUCCAUGAGUAAAGGUAUGUCCAUAAAAGAAACGUCCAAUAUGAUUGCCCAAUAAGUCUAAGGAUUAAGCAAAUGAAUCCAUAAGCAAAGAAUGGUAAAAUAUAAACUUUCAACCAUUUAAGUCUAGUCCAAAAAUAAAACAAACGGUAUUAUAAUCACUUGGUAACUUCAAGACUUAUAAAUAAAAUCUUCAAUAUAUAUUACGUCAAUUCAUGUCUACAACAAAUCAAGGUUAAUUUAUCUAGGCAUUCAUUGUGCCAUCUUUUGUCUAUAACAAAUACAAAAUUAAACUUUACAAAUAUGAUUAUAACAAGUGAUGAUAAUUAAAUUUUAGCUCAAGUGUUGAGUAUCGAACUUACCUUAAUAUUUGCCAAGAGUUUCACCAUUUCACUUCAGCAUUUCACCAUUUCACCUCAGCAUUGAAGACUUAGAAAAGCAUAAUAAACUUAAGUAACUCAAACUUAGAUGAAGAAAACAUAAUAAAUAUAAGAAACUUAAGUUCUUACACAAAGAAAGAAACUAGAAAAAAAACAUAACAAAGAAAUUAUCUCAACUAUAAAGAAAAAUUAAAAAAGAAAAUGAUAUUAUAUCUCACAAUCUACAAUGCCAUUGCUUACACCAUUUCUUUUGUAUGAAACUAGACUCAAUAAGCUUUAAUUUCAUUAGAUUCAACCUCUAACUCAAUUUCUACAAUUUUUUGUGAAUUUUUAAAGUUGUGCUACCAUUACUGUCCAUAAAAUAUUUAGUGGAACAUUUUACUCUUCCAUAAUUUGAUUAAAUUCUUCUCAUUUCAUUACAUAACAUAAUACAUUCUAACUAAAUUCAAUGUCAAUACAUAUAAUCAUUAAAUUACACAAAUUUUCAUUACUAUUCAAAUUAAUUAUCUAGUUCAAUAAUCAAUUUCAAACAUAGCAUUUUAAACUCAAAUAAUCAUUUACAAUUUAUUUUGAUAUCAUACUUUGUAAAACAAAAUAAAUACGUAACAAAUAUAAUAAUUUAAUUUAUAGAAGUACAAACAUAAUAUGAAUUAAUUUAGUAAGUUCCAUACAAACAUACCUGUCAAUUCUAUAUCGAGCUCAAAAGUAAGGACUAUUUUGCAGUUUCUCUUUUCUCUCGAUUAUCUGUCGAUUGGUUCAAAACCCAAUCUAUAAUAUAAUUUAAUUUAAUUUAGCAAUGCUAAACAUCAUAUAACAACCUACAAUAGGCAUAAAUUAAUUCAAUUUCACUUUUCAACAUUUGCCUUAAGUUCACAUUUUAUUCAAUUUAGUCUCUAAAAUCAAAAUAGCUAUAUCUAUAAACUUGAUCUCCGAUUUUUAAACCGGUCUCAAUUUCAUCUUUUUAUAGCCCUCUAUUAACAUAAAUUACAGAAAUUUCAUACCAAUUUUGACAUAUUCAUAUUUUGGUCCCUAUCCUCAAAAUUAACAGAAUUCACUUUACGAAAUAGUCUUAUUUCACAACAAAGCUUCAAACUCAACCAAAAUACAUCAAAAACUCAAAUAUUCAUCAAUGGUAUUUUUUAAAAAAUUUAACAUUUUUGAAAACGGUAAAAUGAAUUAGCUAAAUCGAGUUACUAUGAUCUCAAAAACAUAAAAAUUACGAAAAACAAACUUCAAUCAAACUUACAAGCAAGGUUGAAAGCUUGGAAAGAAAAAGAAAAUGGCUUCUCUGGUUCAAAGCAGCCACGACAGAGAACAACAAGGAAGAAUGAUAGAAAAAUAAAAUAUCUUUCUUUCAUUUCAAUAUUAAACUUAACUAUUAAGGAAAAAUAAAAUAAAAUAAAGCAAAAUUUUACCCACCAAAGGGCCACCCAACGUCCACUUAAACUCAAAUGGACUAAUAACCAAAUUGAUCCUUACAAGAGUGUUUUUAAUCCACUUAUCUAACGGAAUCAAUGAUAAUCGACUUUUGCGAUUUUUACCAAAUAGUCAUUGUACUUCCAUUAAUCAGUAAUUCGUAAAAAUUACAAUUAAAAAAUCUAAUUCACUUAUAUAAUAACUCCGUAAAUAUUUAAUAAAAAUAUUUACAGCCUUAGUUUAUAGAAACGAGAUCCCGAUACCUCAAUUUUCAAAACUACAGACUUUUGUAUCAGUAGACUUAUCCCUAGUCUAACUAUCUGAAUAACUAAAAUCAUUAAACUAAAAUUCAAUAUAAUACUAUAAUAACCUUAUAAGUAUUAAUAAAUAAUAUUUACUGACUCAGCAUCGAAAAACGGAGCUCCAAAACUGCCGUUUUCGGUACCGCUAAAAAUCGGACUAUUAGAAUACCACUAUUUUAUCUUCUUAUUUAUUUGUUUAUAUCAAUUUUCUAAUUCCUUUCUCUGAAACUAUUACAAAUAAUACAUAUAUACAAAUGCCAUGACUUUCUUCUCACACUAUAGUUCCAUAUCUCAAACCUUUCCUGAAUUCACACCAUUUCAAAAAUUAUCACAUUCAGAUUUCUUUCACUCGCAUACCAGAAGGAAUAUCCUAUUCAUACUUUCUCAAUACUAAUAAUUUCGAUACCUGAUAAAUAUUUAUUCCGUAUCAAAAUCUUCAUGAUAAUUUCUAAACUUUUCUUUUCACAUUCUAUUUAUUGACUCAAACUGAUCAUUGAAUUCUAGGAAGAAUCCUUAAUAAAAUAAUACUUCAAAUAAAUUCUAUUUCAUCUAAUCCUAUUGCAAUUGCACAUACUCUUUUAUCUUCAGAAGCUACCUCAAAUAAUGAUUGAUAUGAAUAUCCUUCUAUAACUUCUCAUGAAAUGAAUCAACCUAAUAAUUUUUAUCAUUGAUACAAAAACAUCAUAAAUCAUUUUUAAGGCUGACAAAUCAGUAACUAUUUAUUUCAUUCACAUCAUAAUUUCCCAUAUGAUUCCAUAAUUUUAAAACACAAUGAUAAAAUUUCUAAACAGAAUGUACUCCAAUCAAAUUUGUUACCUUAUACCAAUGGUUUCAUCAUACUAAAUAUCAUAUCAUAUAUUAUAAACAUGUCACAAAAGUUACUAUAAUUUAAAAUUCAUUGACAACUCAUUUUACUAAUGGCUUCCUUCUUCUUCUUAUUCUUUCUUCACUAUUUCUAUGCAAAUAAGUAAAGUAAAUUUCUAAACAAAAUAUACUCCAAUCAAAUUUGUUACCCCAUACCAAUGGUUUCAUCAUACUAAAUAUCAUAUCAUAUAUUACAAACAUGUCACAAAAGUUACUGUAAUUUAAAAUUCUUUUACAACUCAUUUUACUAAUAGCUUCAUUUUUCUUCUUAUUCUUUCUUCACUAUUUCUGUGCAAAUAAGUAAAGUAAGUCAAAAGCAGUACCUGUUUUUACAUUGGUCUUAUCAUUUCCCUUCUGGUUCAUCUUGAAAUACAUAUUGAAAUUCAGAUUGGUUUACAUAUCACUACUGCUCGUUCUUUCUGAUUGUUCUUUUUCUGAACUGCUAUAGUCUUCACAGGUUGUGCAACCAGAGUUUCUGUUUUUGUCGGACAAUCUUUCAACAAAUGAUCUUUAGCUCCAUAUCUAAAGCACAUUCCAAAUAACAAUCUGUAUGUACCAUGAUGAAUUUUUCCAUAAUGUCCAUAUUUAGGAAUAGGUCUUCUUCAAGAUUCCCAAUAUCAAUAAAUGAUUUCCUUUAGUGUGUAUAGUUUUCUUGUCUCUUUAACCCUUGACAAGAAAUAGAAGUAGAAUCUCGAUGAUCUUCCCUAUUUUUGUGUGUGAAAGAAUUUUCAGAACUAAUUAUUAUUCUCUUUCGGGAGCUAUUAUCUCUUCGUCCUUAUAUUCUCUCUUUUAUUCUUUGUACUUCUUCUAUUAAUACUGUUAAGUUUUGCAAUUUUAAUCCUACAAUGUACACAUAUAUAUACAUGCCAUUUAAUAAAAUAUACAAAAAGGUAAUAUUACCCCUUUCUUCUCGCUGCUGUUGAAGUGAUGCCAUAAAACUCUUCCGACUUUUCUAUACUCCACUUCUAACCUACGCGUAUUAAAUACGCAUGAAGCUUAUGAAAGCUUGUAAGUACAAUUAAAUAUUUAAAAUGUAAAUUAAUAUUUUAAAUCUAUAAUUACAACACAGAACAAUUAAAAUGGCCUGGAUGUAUGUUUGUGAAUUUUACUCUUAAUUAACUUUUUUUUCUCAAUUUAAUCCUCAUAUCACUAUUUCUCAAUUUAGUCCCAAUAUGUCAAUUAUUCUCAAUUUAAUCCACAUAUCUCAUAACAUCAGUUAUUAAGGAUCACAUACCUCUCUCACAUAGCCCACUAGACUUAACAGAACAUAUAUAGGAUAUAUGAAAAAUUAUAUGAUAGGCUCGUAUCCAAAAUUCUGAGAUGAGAGCACCACUGUGCUUGGAUACCACUGUGUUUAAUCAGUAUACACCGAUAAAUUAUCUCAAAGAGCACACUAAAUAUCCCUUAAUGACAUGUCUUUUAUAUCUUAUUAGUUCUAAUUUCGUCUACAUGGGCAAUAUAUCAAUAAAAUUCCAUUUUCCAACUCAUAUUCAAUCACAUACAAUUUCUCAUACAUUUAACAAUUAAGUCCUCAAAGGAUAAUUCAUAUAAUCAACAUUCUUUCUUUUACUUUACAUGUCACAUGUAUUAUAACUCAUCAAAUGUUCUUAUAAUUUAUCACGAAUUCUUACAUUAUCAUUCACAUAUAACUUUUACUCAUUUUACAAUUGGGUCAUCAUAACAAUAAUUUUCAUCACAUUAAUACAUAUAAACACACUUUAGAAUAUGCUAAAUUUCCUGAAAUUAUCAUUAACUUCCUUAUAUACGCUUCAUAUAACACUUUUGUAUUCUUUACAAUUUAGCCCUCAUGUCGAUUACAUAUCAUAUAUCACUUAUGUAUUCACUUUGGUCUCACACAUAUUAUUAUUCAAGGUCACGUAUACAUAAUUCACUGUUAAUUUCAUAAACUAUUAUACAUCAUUACAAACAUCACUAUGUCAUUCUAACAUCAUUAUAAUUAUAAUAUAUUACAAUUACACAUCUACAUACAUCAAAUUUAGCAUUUCUCAUCAUAUCUAACUUUUACACUUUUUACGAUUUAGUCCUUAUGAUCACAUAAUCAUUUUUGCAUAUAAUUAAACUUCAGAAAUAAUAUUCUAAGCUUUAGUUUAGUUGUACAUACCUCUUAAAAUAUGGAUUUCACCUUUGGGCUUCCUCCUUUCCUUCAAUCCCUUGAAUUUUUUAUGUUUUCACCUCUUUCUCUCUCCUUUAGCAUAUUAAUGGAGGCCCUUCUUCUGAAAUUGACACUUUGCUGCUGUUUACUAAUGGUAUUACAUCUAAAUCUCAAGAUAAUUUGAAGUGUAGAAGCUUGAAUCACUCAAUUUUAAUGAGAAUGCCUAACUUACAAAAGAAACAAAAUAUGGGUUGAAGGGGUAUGGAAAGACUAACGUAAAUGAAGCUGCCCAUUUCCUUUAUUUAUAGCCAUUUUCAAGUUUCAUUGUUAAGAAAUUCUAGCUUUUUCCAUAAUGAUUAUUUUUUAUGGCUUUUUACCAUUUUGCCCUUUAUUUUUCACUUUACCACAAUUUUACCCCUUGUCAAUACUUAUCUAUUUCCGAUAUUCACCAAUUUGCCCAUAAUCUUUUUUUAUAUUUCCCAUGAUGAAUCAUCACUUUUUUGGAACAAUUGCACUUCAACUCUAUACUUUUUUCAUAAUUAUAAUUUAACCUCUGAACUUUCAAUUUUCACACUUUAACCCCAAUGCUUCUUACUUUUUUCAAUUUAAUCACUACUUUAAAUAUAUAAUUCUCACAACAUAGACCUUUUCAAAUAUCUUCGAUCACAAAUUCUGUUACCCCAUAGUACUAAUAAUUCAUAUUUUCUUUUAGACUCCAUUUCCAACUAUUUGAUCACCAAAUUUCACUAUUCUGUACCUGAAUAAAUUUUAGGAUAUUACAUAAAUAUUUCAAAUUAUUUUAACUAAUUUUUUUAAUGGAAAUAUCAAUACUUGGCGUUGGUCCAAAAGUAGCUUAUUGUGCAUCGUAAUAGUAUUUAUACUUCUAAUAUACUUUGAGAAAAUAUCGAUAUGCUAAAAAAAUAUUGAUACUUGCCUUGUUUUAUAUAAAAAGGAGUUUUUGGACAAAGUUUUUUAGAUAACAACACCCGGUUUUGUUCAAUAUUAUUAAAUUUAGAUAAAAAGUCAUAAAAAAGUAGAUACCGAUAAAAUAAAAUGUUUUAUUAAAAGUAUUUAGUCAGCAAAAGUCUGACAUCAGAUGUAAUAUUCCUAUAUUCGCAGGUAGAGUAUAGGGAUGUUACAGAAAGGUAUGUGUAGAUUUAGCAUAAUAUGUUGAUAGUAGGUAAAACCUCAGAACGAGACCGAGUAUAGACGAAUCCCAUAUAAAAAAUAUUAUGUGAAGGAUAAGUAAAACGUAAAGUUUGAAAGAUAUGAAAAGUAUGACGAUAUGUUGUCAUACAACGUCGAGUAUGGUAGAUUAUAUUAUGUAUUUCUGUGUAUCUAACCUAAAGUGUGCAAGCAAUGCCUUAAGGCAAUACAUGAAAAGAUCUAACAUGGUAGGGAUGGGCGUACGCCUUCAUGGUGAGAGUAAGAAAAGCCUGCAAAGGCAAGUACAAGGUAAGACCAUGACGAGGUCAUGGCAAGGUAGACAACCAUAUUUGCAUAAUGUUUUAAGCAUGUAAGGUCGACGAUAAAGGGCUUAUAUGAAUUAUAUAUGAAUAUACCAAUAGGGCGUGAAGCGCACACUGUGGUGUGACACGAGAUGGUAUAAUAUAUGUAUAGAUAGAAGCCUAAGUGGCUACUAGAAAUGUGUAAGGCAGCUUCGAUGCUUGCCAAUUUAAAAGGGAAAGUAUAAGAAAAUGCACAGCAGCAAUAGAGCUCGCCGAUGCCAGAAUUCUUGAAGGAAUAAAGAGUGGCGAGAACCAUUAAAUCCCGUAAAAUGCGACGGUGAAAAAAAAAGUGAAACUCAAAACUUGAACUCCAAAUUCUGAUUUCUUCUUAAUAUAUUUUGAUAUUGAUGUUCUAGUAUGUGAAUGGAGCUUCAAAUUCCCUUUACAUCAAUAUAAAGUAUGUCUAAAUCGGAGUCCUGUAGCCCGAGUUUGAUAUAAAACACUGAGAAGUGUCCCAGUUGAAAAAAAUUCAGUUUUCUUCCUAAACCUGUUUUACCUGCAAAUUCCACAUAGAAAUUUUUUUAUUAAAUUAAAUGCAUGAAAAACACUAAAAAUACAUAAUAUUUAAAAUAAGAUUAAAAUUAAAUUAAAUCAACUAAAAUUAAUUUAAAAUAUACAAAUAAUCAAUAAACUAAGCAAGUAUAAGAAAAAUAUAGUCCAAAAUGAUUACAUAAUGAGGACUCAUCAUCUGCCUACCUAGCAUAUGUUGUAGAUACUCAGAUCAAUGAUUCAAAAAUUGAUACUAUUUCGAUAGUACGAGAAUUUACAGAUUUGUUUUCAAAGGAAUUACCAAGUUUGCCUCUUGGAAGAGAAGUAGAAUUUGAGAUUGAAUUAAUUCCGGGGACUGCACCAACCUCUAUAGCACCUUACAGAAUGGCAACUACAUAAUUGAAAGAGUUAAAGGUAUAGUUACAAGAGUUAUUAGACAAUGGGUUUAUUCAACCCAGUGUAUCUCCGUGGGGAGCAUCAGUUUUGUUUGUAAAGAAGAAGGAUGGUUCGUUAAUACUUUGUAUAGACGAUCGCCAGCUAAAUAAGGUAACAGUGAAAAAUAAAUAUCUGUUACUCGGGGUUGAUGAUUUAUUUGAUCAGUUGAAAGGCAAUGGCAUAUUUUCAAAAAUUAACCUAAGGUCAGGAUACCAUCAGUUGAGAGUGAAAGAUGUGGACAUAUCGAAUACUGCUAUUUAGACAAGGUACAGCCAUUACGAAUUUUUGGUUAUGCUUUUUGGUUUAACUAAUGCUUUUGCGGCUUUUAUGAACCUGAUGAAUAGAAGUUUCCAAUCAUACUUGGACUAAUUUGUGGUGGCAUUUAUUGAUGACAUUUUAGACUAUUCCAAAAAUGAGGAAGAACAUGAGAAGCAUCUCCGGAUCGUACUACAAACUCUUCGGGAAAAGAACUUAUAUGCCAAAUUGAAUAAAUGUGAGUUUUGGCUACGAGAGGUGACAUUUUUGGGACAUAUAGUAUCAGUAGAACGUAUUCAAGCAGAUCCUAAAAAGAUUGAAGCUAUCUUAAAUUGGAAAACUCCAAAAUCUGUUACAGAAGUUAGAAGUUUUUUGGGAUUAGCUGGGAUUAUAGAAGAUUUGUAAAAGGGUUUUCUAAAUUAGCUCUGCCCUUAACCCGACUCCUUCAAAAAGAUGUAAAGUUUGAGUGGACAGAAAAGUGCCAACAAAGUUUUGAAUGGUUGAAGGUAGUAUUAAUGGAAGCCCUAGUGUUAAUCCAACCAGAAUCAGGAAAGGAAUAUGUGGUUUAUAGUGAUGCUUCAUAUAGAGGUUUGGGGUGUGUUCUAAUGCAAGAAGGAAAGGUUGUAGCAUAUGCUUCUCAACAAUUAAAAUCACAUGAGAAGAAUUACCCUACUCAUGAUCUAGAAUUAACUGCAAUGGUCUUUGCUUUAAAGAUAUAACGACACUAUCUGUACAGUGAAAAGUGUUACAUCUAUACAGAUCAUAAAAGUUUAAAAUACUUGUUGACACAAAAAGUACUAAAUUUGCGGCAAAGAAGGUGGAUUGAGUUGAUAAAAGAUUAUGAUUGUGUAAUCGACUACCACACUGGCAAAGCGAAUGUGGUAGCUGAUGCUUUAAGUAGAAAAUCACUUGUAGCUCUAAAAGCGAUGAAUGUUCACCUAAAAAUGAAGUCUACAGGUGAGUUCACAGCUGAAUUGAAAGUCCAGCCAACCCUACUUCAGGAGAUAAAAGACGCUCAGAAGGAUGAUAAAGAGAUAGCAUUGAUCCAAAAACGAGUUGAAAAUAGAAAAGGUAAAGAUUUCGAUGUUGAUGAAGAUGGGGUUGUGAGAUUUCAGAAAAGAUUAUAAGUUCCGAAUCAGUCAGAGUUAAAACAAAGAAUCUUAUCUGAAGUCGUAUGCAGAUUUGAAAAGAAGAGAUAUAGAGUUCAAUGUGAGUGAUCGUGUGUUCUUGAAAGUUUCUCCAUGGAAGAAAGUUUUACAGUUUGGAAGAAAAGGAAAGCUUAGUCCAUGAUUUAUCGGACCAUACGAAAUAAUUGAGAGGAUCGGUCCGGUAACUUAUAGAUUGGCCUUGCCUCCAGAACUUGAGAAAAUCCAUAAUGUGUUUCAUGUAUCUAUGUUGAGACGAUAUAGAUCAGACUCUUCACAUGUGAUUCCUCAUACUGAGAUAGAGUUACAAUCAGAUAUGACUUAUUCGGAGGAACCAAUAAAAAUAUUAGCUCGGGAAGUUAAAGAACUACGGAAUAAACAAGUACCGUUAGUAAAAGUGUUAUGGCAUCAACAUGGAUUGGAGGAGGCAACUUGGGAAACAGAAGAAUCUAUGAGAUCACAGUAUCCGCAUUUGUAUUCCAGUACGAAAUUUCGAGGACGAAAUUUCCUAAGGGGGGAGAGUUGUGACGGCUCAAAUUUCAGUGAUAUCGGAAAAGUGAUUUGAAAUCACUAAAUCUGACAUGUGAGCUUAGAUAUGAGUAAGUAAAUGUUAAGUGUGGUUUUAGAAAUAAUUUUGAAUUAGUGAAAUUAUGUAGUAUAGGAAGUUGUAGAUAAAGCAGAAUAAAGACGAGGUAUCGAGACCUCGAAUUCAUAAACCGAGCCAUAAAUAUUUUUAGAAAUAUUUAUGGAGUGUAAAUAAGUUAAUAUUAAAGUUUUGUCAAGAAAUUUUAAGGUUUCAGUAGUUAAUUAGGUAAAAAUGACUAAAUUAAACUAAGUGCAAAAUUGUGAGAUGUGAUUAAAUAGCUCUAAUAAUAAUUAAAGGAGGACUAAAUAGGCAAUUAGACACCUAUUAUUGGGCUGGACGCAUGUGUGUGCAGGAAAAUUAAAAAUCAAGUGUGAACAAGGGGCAAAAUUGGAAAUAGGGUAAUAAUUUAAUUGUAAAAUAUGAUAUAUUAGGUAAAAUCUAGAGUUUUCUUCAUUUUUCUUCAUCUUCGUCAGCUAAAAAACACCAUUACAGAGCUUUUAAGAAGCUGGUUUUUAUAUUCCACAGCAUGUAAGUUUAACUCUUGAUUAUUUCUUAUAAUUUUUAUAUUUUUGAGACUUUUACAACUAGGUCCAUAUGUUUAAUUCAUUAGUUUUUGAUUAUAUGGAUAAUUUUGAAAGUUUCCAUGAACAAGUGCUGAAAGUUUAUGAUGAUUUAUCAUGGAAUUGAGGUUUUAAUUCUAUUAUAUGAUGAUUUUAUGAAGAGAUUUUUAGAGAAAUUAUUAUUUAGGACCUAAUUGUGAAAGUUAUGAAAUUAGGGUUUGGUGAUGAAAAUUUGAAUGUCAAAGGCUAUGAAAUAGUUUAUAAUGUUUAAAUAAAGUGUUAUUUAAGAAGAAUUAGUUCAAUUGAUGAAUAAAUUAAGCAGGGACUAAAUUGUAAAAAAUUUAAAAGUUUGGGGGUAAUAAUAUAAUUUCAAAAAUUUAAGGGUAUAAAUUGUGAAAUAGAAUAGAAUUGUAAUGGAUGCUAAUGAAGGAAUGAUUUUAUAAUUAUAGAUCAAGAAAACGAAGUGAAUCGUGGAAAGGAGAAAAUUCAAGAAUAGUCCCUGAAUUUCUACGACUUUUGCAAAUUAACCCAGGUAAGUUCAUAUGGCAAAAUUCGAUGUUUGAUAUGAAAAUCUUAUGAUUGUUAAAGUAUUUUAUUGUAGAUGAAUAUUUUCAAAUUAUAUGAACUAAUGAAUAAUGUGUAACUAAAAGAACAAAUUAGCUGGAACAAUGGUUUGAGUGCUUUCAUUUUAUGACUAUAAUGAAUUGACGGAAAAGAUGUGAUACAUGAUUUCGUAUAAGACCAUAGCCGAGCUAUGGCAUCGGUACCAUGUGAUUCGUAUCCCCGUAUAAGACCAUAGCUGGGCUAUGGCAUCGGUGUGAUGUGAUUAUGUGAUUCCGUAUAAAACCAUAUCCGGGAUAUGGCAUCGGUAUGAUAUGUGGUCCGUGUAAGACCAUGGCAGGGCUAUGGCUUCUGUGUGUGAUGUGUGACAAUGUGAAAGCCCAUAGUUUACUAUGGCAAUGUGACAAUGAAGCACUCAAUUCCAUUAUUGUUCCCUAAUUUGACAAUGGAAAUAAAUAAGAAAUGGGCCCAAAAGAAUUAAGUUCGUGAAUUGCAUCAUGAAAAUUAUUCAAAUGAAUUUAUUAAUGAAGUUGUGAAUUGCAGGAUGAAAUAGUUUAACUAAUAUAUAUAUUAUUGUGUUCAGUGUACGGUAAGAUUUGUGUUAAUAUGCCUAAGAGCUUGCUAAGCUUCAAUAAGCUUACUUGUGUGUGUUUGACAUUUUUUUUAUGUAGAUUGAAUAAAAGUGAAGUUGGUAGAUCGGAUCAACACAACAAGGCACACUAUCCAGAUCAAUUCCGGUAGUUUUUGUUUUAUGUUUAAAGAUUUAUAUGGCAUGUAUAGAGUUUAAAUGAAUUGAAGUAAAGAUGUUAUAAACUAGUUAACAAUAUAUUGUACUAAAACAGUUUUUGGUUAGUAGCAGUAGUUUGAAUUUGAAAAUUCACCAUAAAUUAUGAAAAUCUAAUUAGAGGUUGAAUAAAAUAUGAAAUUAAAGAUUAUUGAGCCUAGUUUCUUACAAAAGAAAUAAUGUAAGAAAUGGAAUUGUAAAUCAUGAGAUAUAGUAACUUUUGUGAGAUAAGGUCAGAGUGAUUUUGAGCUCCCCUGUUCUGAUUUGUAAAAAUCAUUAAAAAUUGUACAAAAAUAAUUAGGAGCCAUACUGUAUAUGUAUGGAUUCCUUAUUGGGUCUAUUUUUAAUAUAAAUAAACGGCAUGGUUAUUUGAAUUCUGUACAGGAAGAAAUUUGAUUUGUAGUGUACAGGGGUCAGAGUAGUCGAACCCUGGAACAGGGGAGAAUUUAACUAAUAAACUGUACUAAUUGGCCCAACCAAAAAUUCCAGAAAAAAAUUUAGUAAGUAGAUAUAUUAGUCUAGAUUUAGGGAAAAUUUACGGAUUUUGAUUUCGAGUUUUGUAACUCGAGAUAUGAUUUUUUUAGUGACUGUAACACAGUUGGAAAGCUUGUCUAAAUUUGUUUAAGAGCUCAAAUAAGUUUAGUAAUGCCUCGUGCUCGACUCCGGCGAUGGUCUCGGUAAGGGGGCGUUACAUUUAUUGGUAUCAGAGCUUUGGUUUAGCCGAUUCUUGGAAUAUGUAUGAUGUGAAAAGUGUCUAGAAUUACAUGCCAUAUAAAUCUAUGAUAGUGUGAUGUGUAUGAUCCGAUCUAAUCCUUGUUUUUAUUAUAGAUUAUCUUCGAUUUAAAAAGAUGUCAGAUAGACCUGAACAAACUGAGCAAGAAGAAGUUAAUAGCAGAGUACAAACCUCUAAACAAGGAACAAGUAGGGAAGUUCCAAUUUCAUUGAUGCGAGAACAAGAACUCAAAAUUAUGAUUUAUGGAUUCAUGAAUCAGUGGUAUAAUGAGAAUGUGCGAGAAAGAAAUCAAACUCCGCAACCUCCUCCCCCUAUCUCAACAUCGGUAGUACCCCUGGUUGCUCCUCUAGCUCCUCCAACAACUGAAUCUGGUAAACGUUCUCCAUUUGAAAAGCUCAGAAAACAUGGGGCUGAAGAAUUUCGGGGAAGAACAGAUGAUGACCCUGUUAAAGCUGAAUAUUGGUUACAAAGUAUAAUGAGGGUUUUUAAGCAAAUGGCGUGCUCACCAGAUGAUUACUUAAUAUGUGUCGUGUCAUUAUUGAAAGAAGAAGCUUAUAACUGGUGGGAAACAAUAGAAGCUGUUGUACCGGCUAAGAAGAUCACUUGAGAAUUUUUUCAAAAUGAAUUUAAAAAAAAAUAUGUCGGUAGAAAAUAUCUGGAUAAGAAGAAAAGAGAAUUUCUAGACUUGCGACAGGGAAACAAGUCAGUGGCUGAAUAUGAAAGAGAAUUUGUUUAUCUGAGCAAAUAUGCUCGAGAUAUAGUACCCACUGAAGAAGAAAUGUGUACCAGAUUUGAAGAAGGGCUUAAUGAUGAGAUUAGAAUGAUGAUAGGGGGCACUGAGAUACGAGAAUUUGUUGUUCUAUCAGAUCGUGCUCAGAAGCUUGAAGAAGUAUAUAAUAGAAAGAUGCAACGAGAUAAAAGAAGUAAAGAAUCUUUUAAAAGAAGUGCAUCUAAGUCAUUUUCGGCUUUACCGGUGAAGAAAUCUCAAGAGGAAUUCAGUCGAGCCACUUCAGCACCAGAAAGAUCAGGAAAGAGUAGACCAAGACUAUCUGAUUACAAGGCAUUUGACAGACCUGCUGUUAGUGUGGGUAGUGUACAAAAUCCCCAAAGGCCUAAGUGUCAACAUUGUGGAAGAAGUCACCCCGGUGAAUGUAGAAGUAAGUUAGGGGCUUGUUAUAAAUGUGGGGCCACUGAUCACUUUAUUCGUGAUUGUCCCCAAUUACAAGUAGAAGAAGUGGAACAGAAGGAGAAACAGAAAACACCUCCUCAAAAAGGAAGACGCUCUGGUCAGAGCAGUGCUACAGGGGCUACUCGUUCGGGUAUGAAAGAUACUGCUAGUCGAUCAGAAGUUAGGGCCCCUGCUCAUACUUAUGCCAUUCGAGCAAGAGAAGAAGCAACAGCUCCAGAUGUAAUUGCUGGUACUUUCUAUCUUUAUGAUGUUCCUGUGUAUGCUUUAAUAGACCCUGGGUCUACUCAUUCAUAUAUUUGCACUAUGUUAGCAUCUGAAAAGAAUUUAUUAGUUGAGCCUACUGAUUAUGAUGUACAAGUUACAAACCCGUUAGGUCAAAGUGUGGUAGUUAAUUUAAUAUGUCAUAACUGUCCACUGAAAGUUAAGUGCUGUGAUUUCCCCGCUGAUUUGAUGCUGCUACCCUUUCGGGAAUUUGAUAUCAUCUUGGGCAUGGACUGGUUAAUGAAACAUGACGCGGUAGUGAAUUGUCGAGAAAAACGAAUUAGUUUGAAAUGUCAAACAGGAGACAUUAUUUUGGUUGAGUCUGGAAAAUUGGAUGAUACAGUUAGGAUGAUUUCCUUUAUGUCUGCUCAGAAAUUGUUGCGUAAAGGAAAUGAGGCUUAUUUAGCCUAUAUUCUUGAUACUCGAAGUUCUGAAUCAAAGUUAGAGCAACUAUCUAUUGUAAAUGAAUUCAUGGAUAUAUUUCCUGAAGAAUUACCAGGUUUACCACCGGAUAGAGAAGUUGAGUUCGUGAUAGAUGCGUUUCCGGGAACAGCUCCCAUAUCAGUGACACCGUAUAGAAUGGCUCCAGCAGAAUUAAAAGAGUUAAAAGCGCAGUUGCAAGAACUGUUAGACAAAGGGUUUAUCAGACCGAGUAUGUCACCAUGGGGUGCACCUGUCUUAUUUGUGAAAAAGAAAGAUGGUUCAUUGAGGCUGUGCAUAGAUUACAGGCAGCUGAAUAAGGUAACGAUUAAAAAUAAAUAUCAUUUGCCUCGUAUUGAUGAUUUAUUCGAUCAGCUUAAAGAUGCUGUAGUGUUUUCAAAAAUAGAUCUCAGAUCUGGGUAUUAUCAGUUAAAGGUAAAGGAAUGUGAUGUACCGAAAACAGCUUUUAGAACUCGGUAUGUUCAUUAUGAGUUCUUAGUUAUGCCAUUCGGUUUGACAAAUGCUCCUGCUGCUUUUAUGGACUUAAUGAAUCGAAUUUUCCAAUCCUACCUGGAUAGAUUUGUGGUUGUGUUUAUUGAUGAUAUACUGAUCUAUUCAAAGACAGAAUCCGAGCAUGCUCAGCACUUGAGAAUUGUACUACAGAUUUUGAGGGAAAAACAGUUAUAUGCAAAAUUUAGUAAAUGUGAAUUUUGGCUUCAUGAAGUAGGAUUCUUGGGUCACAUUGUGUCAGUUGAUGGUAUACGGGUAGAUCCGAGUAAGGUGUUAGCGGUGAUUAAUUGGAAAACUCCAAAGAAUAUUACGGAAGUGCGAAGUUUUCUUAGAUUAGCUGGUUACUAUCGCCGAUUUAUGAAAGACUUUUCACUGAUUGCUUCACCGAUAACCCGAUUAUUACAGAAGAAUGUUGAAUUUGUAUGGUCUGAUGAGUGCCAACGAAGUUUUGAUCAAUUAAAGAAAAUGUUGACAGAAGCUCCAGUCUUAACUCAGCCUGAAUCAGGUGUGCCAUAUGUAGUAUAUAGUGAUACGUCUCUGAAUGGUUUAGGUUGUGUACUGAUGCAGUCAGGAAAAGUUGUAGCAUAUGCUUCUCGACAGUUGAAACCACAUGAGAGGAAUUACCCUACACAUGAUCUUGAAUUAGCUACCAUAGUAUUUGCUUUAAAAAUUUAGAGACACUACCUAUAUGGAGAGAAAUGUUAUGUGUAUACGGACCAUAAAAGUUUGAAAUAUUUAAUGUCACAGAAAGAGCUGAACUUGAGAUAGAGGCGAUGGUUAGAACUGUUGAAUGAUUACGAUCUUGUCAUUGAUUAUCAUCCGGGUAAGGCAAAUGUAGUGGCAGGUGCACUUAGUCAGAAAUCAUCACUAUUUACUCUUCGGGAGUUAAAUGCUCAUUUGUCUGUUAAUGAAGAUGGUUCUGUCUUAGCUGAAUUAAAGACAAAACCAAUAUUCUUUCAACGAAUUCGGGAGUUGCAAUAUGAAUAUCUGAAGUUGGUAUUGAAACGACAAAUGGUUCGGGAUAAUUUGAACUUAGAGUACUCUAUUGAUAAUAGUGGUAUGUUAUACUAUCGUAAUAGAAUUUGUGUCCCGAAUAAUUUAGAAUUGAAGAAGGAUAUCUUAUCAGAGGCUCAUAGUAGUAUGUACUCGAUUCAUCCGGGUAGUACGAAGAUGUAUUGUGAUUUGAAGAAAAUGUAUUGGUGGCCUGGUAUGAAACGGGAAAUUUGUGAAUUUGUGGCAAAAUGUUUAAUCUGUCAACAGGUAAAAGCUGAACAUCAAGUGCCUACAGGUUUGUUACAACCCAUAAUGAUUCCAGAAUGGAAGUGGGAACAUGUGACGAUGGAUUUUGUAUCUGGGUUGCCAGUGACUCCGAAGAAAAAAGAUUCGAUUUGGGUGAUAGUAGACAGAUUAACUAAGUCGGCGCAUUUUAUUCCGGUCAGAAUAGAUUUUUCGCUUGAUAAGUUAGCGGAAUUAUAUGUGUCAGAAAUUGUAAGAUUACAUGGGGUGCCGACAUCAAUUAUUUCUGAUCGAGAUCCGAGGUUUACUUCGAGAUUUUGGAAUAAACUACAUGAAGCUUUAGGUACUAAGUUAAAAUUUAGUACAGCUUUUCACCCUCAGACUGACGGGCAAUCAGAGCGAGUGAUUCAGCUUUUGGAAGAUAUGUUAAGGUGUUGUAUACUCGAGUUCAGUGGCAGCUGGGAAAGGUACUUACCAUUAGCUGAAUUUGCUUAUAAUAAUAGUUAUCAAGCUAGUAUUAAAAUGGCACAUUUUGAAGCUCUGUACGGAAGGAAGUGCAGAACCCCGUUGUAUUGGUCAGAAUUAAAUGAAUCGAAAUUAGUCGGAGUGGAUUUCAUUCGGGAAACUGAAGAGAAAGUUCAAAUUAUUCGAGAAAGUUUGAAAGCUACUUCUGAUCGUCAAUAGUCGUAUGCAGAUUUGAAAAGAAGAGAUAUAGAGUUCAAUGUGAGUGAUCGUGUGUUCUUGAAAGUUUCUCCGCGGAAGAAAGUUUUACGGUUUGGUAGAAAAGGAAAGCCUAGUCCACGAUUUAUCGGACCAUACGAAAUAAUUGAGAGGAUCGGUCCUGUAGCUUAUAGAUUGGCCUUGCCUCCAGAACUUGAGAAAAUCCAUAAUAUGUUUCAUGUAUCUAUGUUGAGACGAUAUAGAUCAGACCCUUCACAUGUGAUUCCUCAUACUGAGAUAGAGUUACAAUCAGAUAUGACUUAUUCGGAGGAACCAAUGAAAAUAUUAGCUCGGGAAGUUAAAGAUCUACGGAAUAAACGAGUACCGUUAGUAAAAGUGUUAUGGCAUCGACAUGGAUUGGAGGAGGCAACUUGGGAAACAGAAGAAUCUAUGAGAUCACAGUAUCCGCAUUUGUUUUCAGGUACAAAAUUUCGAUGACGAAAUUUCCUAAGGGGGGAGAGUUAUGACGGCCCAAAUUUCAGUGAUAUCGGAACAGUGAUUUGAAAUCACUAAAUCUGACAUGUGAGCUUAGAUAUGAGUAAGUAAAUGUUAAGUGUGGUUUUAGAAAUAAUUUUGAAUUAGUGAAAUUAUAUAGUAUAGGAAGUUGUAGAUAAAGCGGAAUAAAGACGAGGUAUCGAGACCUCGAAUUCAUAAAUCGAGCCAUAAAUAUUUUUAGAAAUAUUUAUGGAGUGUAAAUAAGUUAAUAUUAAAGUUUCGUCAAGAAAUUUUAAGGUUUCAGUAGUUAAUUAGGUAAAAAGGACUAAAUUAAACUAAGUGCAAAAUUGUGAGAUGUGAUUAAAUAGCUCUAGUAAUAAUUAAAGGAGGACUAAAUAGGCAAUUAGACACCUAUUAUUGGGCUGGACGCAUGUGUGUGCAGUAAAAUUAAAAAUCAAGUGUGAACAAGGGGCAAAAUUGGAAAUAGGGUAAUAAUUUAAUUGUAAAAUAUGAUAUAUUAGGUAAAAUCUAGAGUUUUCUUCAUUUUUCUUCAUCUUCGUCAGCUAAAAAACACCAUUAGAGAGCUUUUAAGAAGCUGGUUUUUAUAUUCUACAGCAUGUAAGUUUAACUCUUGAUUAUUUCUUAUAAUUUUUGUGUUUUUGAGACUUUUACAACUAGGUCCAUAUGUUUAAUUCAUUAGUUUUUGAUUAUAUGGAUAAUUUUGAAAGUUUCCAUGAACAAGUUCUGAAAGUUUAUGAUGAUUUAUCAUGGAAUUGAGGUUUUAAUUCUAUUAUAUGAUGAUUUUAUGAAGAGAUUUUUAUAGAAAUUAUUAUUUAGGACCUAAUUGUGAAAGUUAUGAAAUUAUGGGUUUGGUGAUGAAACUUUGAAUUUCAAAGGCUGUGAAAUAGUUUAUAAUGUUUAAAUAAAGUGUUAUUUGAGAAGAAUUAGUUCAAUUGAUGAAUAAAUUAAGCAGGGGCUAAAUUGUAAAAAAUUGAAAAGUUUGGGGGUAAUAGUAUAAUUUCAAAAUUUUAAGGGUAUAAAUUUUGAAAUAGAAUAGAAUUGUAAUGGAUGCUAAUGAAGGAAUGAUUUUAUAAUUAUAGAUCAAGAAAACGAAGUGAAUCGUGGAAAGGAGAAAAUUCAAGAAUAGUCCCUGAAUUUCUACGACUUUUGCAAAUUAACCCAGGUAAGUUCAUAUGGAAAAAUUCGAUGUUUGAUAUGAAAAUCUUAUGAUUGUUAAAGUAUUUUAUUGUAGAUGAAUAUUUUCAAAUUAUAUGAACUAAUGAAUAAUGUGUAACUAAAAGAACAAAUUAGCUAGAACAAUGGUUUGAGUGCUUUCAUUUUAUGACUAUAAUGAAUUGACGGAAAAGAUGUGAUACAUGAUUCUGUAUAAGACCAUAGCCGGGCUAUGGCAUCGGUACCAUGUGAUUCGUAUCCCCGUAUAAGACCAUAGUUGGGCUAUGGCUUCUGUGUGUGAUGUGUGACAAUGUGAAAGCCCAUAAUUUACUAUGGCAAUGUGACAAUGAAGCACUCAAUUCCAUUAUUGUUCCCUAAUUUGACAAUGGAAAUAAAUAAGAAAUGGGCCCAAAAGAAUUAAGUUCGUGAAUUGCAUCAUGAAAAUUAUUCAAAUGAAUUUAUUAAUGAAGUCGUGAAUUGCAGGAUGAAAUAUUUUAACUAAUAUAUAUAUAAUUGUGUUCAUUGUACGGUAAGAUUUGUGUUAAUAUGCCUAAGAGCUUACUAAGCUUCAAUAAGCUUACUUGUGUGUGUUUGAUAUUUUUUUAUGUAGAUUGAGUUAAAGUGAAGUUGGUAGAUCGGAUCAACACAACAAGGCACACUAUCCAGAUCAAUUUUGGUAGUUUUUGUUUUAUGUUUAAAGAUUUAUAUGGCAUGUAUAGAGUUUAAAUGAAUUGAAGUAAAGAUGUUAUAAACUAGUUAACAAUAUAUUGUACUAAAACAGUUUUUGGUUAGUAGCAGUAGUUUGACUUUGAAAAUUCACCAUAAAUUAUGAAAAUCUAAUUAGAAGUUGAAUAAAAUAUGAAAUUAAAUAUUAUUGAGCCUAGUUUCUUAUAAAAGAAAUAAUGUAAGAAAUGGAAUUGUAAAUCAUGAGAUAUAAUAACUUUUGUGAGAUAAGAUCAGAGUGAUUUCGAGCUCCCCUGUUAUGAUUUGUAAAAAUCAUUAAAAAUUGUAAAAAAAAUAACUAGGAGUCAUACUGUAUAUGUAUGGAUUCCUUAUUGGGUAUAUUUUUAAGAGAAAUAAAUGGCAUGGUUAUUUGAAUUCUGUACAGGAAGAAAUUUGAUUCGUAGUGUACAGGGGUCAGAGUAGUCAAACCCUGGAAUAGGGGAGACUUUAACUAAUAAACUGUACUAAUUGGCCCAACCAAAAAUUCCAGAAAAAAAUUUAGUAAGUAGAUAUAUGAGUCCAGAUUCAGGGAAAAUUUACGGAUUUGGAUUUCAAGUUUUGUAACUCAAGAUAUGAUUUUUUUUAGCGACUAUAACACAGUUGGACAGCUUGUAUGAAUUUGUUUAAGAGCUCAAAUAAGUUUAGUAAUGCCUCGUGGUCGACUUCGGCGAUGGUCUCGGGUAAGGGGGCAUUACAUUGCCGUUCACCCUAGUACUGGAAAAAUGUAUUACGAUCUGAAACAAUUCUAUUGGUGGAAGAAAAUGAAGAAAGAAAUAGUUGAUUUUGUCUCUAAAUGUCUGGUAUGCCAACAAGUAAAAGCUGAACAUCAAUUUCCAUCAGGAUUAUUACAGUUUAUUUCUAUACUUGAAUAGAAGUGGGAAAGAAUUACUAUGGAUUUUGUUACCGGAUUGCCCCUUACUCAAAGGAAAAAGGAUGUUAUAUGGGUCAUUUUGGAUAGGUUAACAAAAUCAACACAUUUCUUGCCGGUGAGAACAGAUUUUUCUAUGGAACGAUAUGCAGAAUUAUAUAUUUCUGAGGUAGUGAGAUUAUAAAGGGUACUAUUAUCUAUUAUUUCUGAUUGGGAUCCGAGAUUUACAUCCAGAUUUUAGAAGAAGCUGCAUGAAGCGUGGGGUACCAAAUUGAAUUUUAGUAUUGCUUUUCAUCCUCAAACUGAUGGGCAAUCGGAACGUGUAAUUCAUAUUUUAGAAGAUAUGCUGAGGAGCUGCGUUAUCGAAUUUGAGGGAAGCUGGGAAAUGUAUCUUCCCUUGAUCGAAUUUACCUAUAAUAAUAGCUACCAAUCUAGUAUCUAAAUAGCUCCUUAUGAAGCUCUAUAUGGUAGGAAAUGCAGAACACCAAUUUGUUGGCUAGAAUCACCUAAGAAUCAAUUAGAAGGCCCGGAUUUUAUUAAAGAGGCUGAAGAGAAAGUUAAGCUGAUCAUGUAAUACCCCUGCUCGUAUUCAUUGCCGGAAUAAGGUACGAGGCAUUACAGGAGUUUACGAAUUAAAUUUUUUUUAUUCAAUUUAGUCCCUUUAUAAAUAUCUAACUUUCCCUAUAAUAUUAAAUCGAGACCAAUCCACAUCAACCAAAUCAAUUCAACAUAUUUUCAUGACAGAUUCAUGCAUUUAUAUAAGAUAACGUCAUCACAUACCUAUAACAGGUUUGUUAACCAUACUAAUGGCUAACUUUACGUUCAUUUCACGUUAACAUUUACUUUGUUAGCUUAUACAUGCCAUUGAUUUCGAAAAUAAAGUUCCUUUAUAUACCGAAAUCCUGAGGUUGACAGUGUGAUGUGUCUCCGACCAAAUCCGACCUCCGAGCUCUUAACACUACAAAACAGGGAAAAAGGAAACGGGGUAAGCACUUUGUGCUUAGUAAGCUCAUUUAACAAGAAUUAUACUUACCUAAUAUUUUCAAUACAAUACAAUAAACAUCCAUAUAUCCAUUCAAUGCAUUAUUACCCAAAUAUGCACAAACUCAACAUUCAAGUUAGUACAAUAAUUUCCAUGUACCAAUAAUAUAUACUAUGAUUGAUGAGUUCAUCAAUACCAUGAUUUCCAUUUCCUUGUUAUUUUUCCAUAUUUAUCCCGUUGAAUUUCUUGGAAUUUUCGAUGGAUUUUCAGAGAUACACUUUUAGUGUACAUUUCUGGGUCCGUCAAUUCAUAUUCAUGUGCGCACAUAUCCAUUUCAGAGAGCACACUCCCGCGAACCUCAACCUUGCAGCGGGAUUACCAGUCCAGGCUAAAUCCCCUGCAACGACAAUUACUCUAAUGAGCUUGGAUCUGAAUUACCAGUCCAGGCUAAAUUUAGACCCUAAUUCGGAUUACCCCUCCGGGCUAAAUCCAUUUUACGCAUAUUCUUCGGGAGGGCUAUAUCAGGAUAGGAUCACCCGUCCGGGCUAGAUCCUUUUUACCGUCAAUUCAUUUUCAGAAAUCCAUCGAAUUUUCCUUUCAUUCAACCGGGAUUCCUUCCCAUUUUAUCAAAUAUAUCAAUCUUUCAUUAAUUUUCAUACAAUGAACACUCAAAUCAUAUUCACAUCAAUAACAUACAAUCUCAAGCAUUUAAGAAUAUAAUUCAAAUUACACGAACUUACCUUGAUAUUUGUUUAUAAGCAGUAAAAAUCUACUAAUCCCAAAAUUUUUCCUUUCCUCGAUCUAGCUUCGUAUUUGAAUCUUCUGGAUCUAAAUAAAUAAAUUUAAUUAUCAAUUUAAUACAUUUCAUGUUCAUAUGCAACAUUCUCUAUAAUUCAACUAUUAUUUAUAGUUCAUUCAAAGCUGUCUACUUGAGUCAUAGUCACCAAAUUAUUUAUAACUUGAGCUACGGAACUCCAAAUUAAGAUCCGUUAAUUUUCCAUGAAACUAGACUCAUAUAUAUUUUUACCAUAAAAUUUUAAGAAUUUUUGGUUUAUCCAAUCAGUAUAGUUUAUUCUUCAAAGUCACCCCUGUUCUGUUGUCUAAUAGUUCUGACCCUUCUUCACUAAAAAUAAAUUAUCUCUUUAUACAGAAUUCAAAUGAUGUUCUCGUUUGUUUCCAUUAAAAAUAGACUCAUUUAGAAUUCUAGAAAUAUAAAUUUAAGUCCCUAAUUAUUUUUAUUCAAUUUUUUAUAAUUUUUCAAAGUCAGAAUAGGGGAACUCGAAUUCAUUCUGACCUUGUCUCACAAAAUUCAUUAUAUCUCAAAAUUUACAAAUCCAUUACUUACAAUAUUUCUUCUAUGAGAAACUAGACUCAAUAAGCUUUAUUUAACAUUUUUUUCAUCUUCUAAUUCGAUUUCUAAAAUUUAUGGUGAUUUUUCAAAGUUAGUCUACUGCUGCUGUCCAAACUGUUUUUGUGCAAGCUGUUUAUUACCAUUUUUCCCCUAAGCUUUUAAUAAAUGAUAAUUUCAUCCCUACUCAAUUAGCCUCUCAAUUGAGCUGAUUUUUCUCAAUUAACAUUUUAUUCUAUCACCUUAAACUAGUUUACAACCUUUAGGAAUCAUAAUUUCAGCAAUAGACUUUAAUUCCAAACAUUUUCACAAUUAGGUCCUAAAAAUCAAUUUCCAUUGAAAUUGCCUAAUAAAAUCAUCUCAUAAACAAAUUAAAGCUUUAAUUUCAUUCUAUUUCAUCAUAAAAUUACAACAAUCAACCAUGGUGACUUUCAAUUUCAUCCAUGAAAUCAAAAACUAAUGAAUUUAAUAGUAGGACCUAGUUGUAAAAGUCUUAGAAACACAAAAUUACAAGAAAAAGGCAAGGAUUAACUCACUUGGUGCAAAACUUAUGAAAUACCAGCUUAGAGAACCCUCCUAUGGCGUUUUUAGUUGCUGUAAUUGAAGAGAAAUGAAGAGAAAUCUAGAUAUUUCCUAUUUAGUCCUAGUUUUAUUUAGUUAAUUUUGCAAUAUUCUAAUUUUACCCAUAAUUUAUCAAUUUUUCUGCUGAUUUCAUACCCUUGCCGUCCAGCCCAAAUAAAUUUUGGGUCUAAUUGCCUUUUAAAUCCUUUCUCAUUAGACUCUUAAGCUAUUUAAUCACUCUAGCAACUUUUACACCUAUUACAAUUUAGUCCUUUUCAUUUAAUUGACUACCCAAACAUUAAAAUUUCCUAACGAAAUUUUAAUACCACAUUAAUAAAAUUUCAUAAAUAUUUAUAAAAUUAUUUUUGACUCGGUUUUAGGAGAUAGAGGUCCCGAUACCUUAUUUUACCCAAUUUCUUCAAUAAUUUUUUUUCUAACUAAUCACUAAAUCGAUAAAAUUUUCCUAUCAAUAUUUUCAUACGAUUUUCCUAUCAUAUAAAUUUUCAAGCAAAAAUAUUGAAAUAAAUUUCUCUUUAAAUCGGAUCUAUGGUUACGAAACCAUUGUUCCGAUAACCUUGAAUUUAGGCCAUUACAACUCUCCCCCCUUUUAAGGAUUUUCGUCCUCGAAAAUCUUACCAGUAAAGAGGUUUGGGUAUUGUUUCCUCAUUGCCUCCUCCGGUUCCCAUGUUGCUUCCUCAAUCCCUUGCUUUUGCCACAAUACUUUCACCAAAUUUAUCUUUUUAUUUCUAAGCUCUUUUGUCUCCCGUGCCAAUAUCUUGACCGGUUCUUCCCUGUAAGUCAUAUCCGGUUGAAUCUCUACUUCUAUCGGAGAAAUCACAUGUGAAGGAUCUGAUCAAUAUCGUCGUAACAUAGAUACAUGAAAAAAUUAUGGAUUCUAUCAAGUUCCGAUGGUAAUGCCAAUCGAUAAGUGACCGGUCCAAUUCUUUCUAUGAUUUCAUAGGGCCCGAUAAAUCUUGGACUCAAUUUACCCUUUCGUCCGAAUAGAAGAACUUUCUUCCAAGGAGACACUUUCAGAAAUACCUUGUCACCGACUUGAAAUUCAAUCUCUUUUCGCUUAAGGUCGGCAUAUGAUAUUUGACGAUCGGAAGCUGCUUUUAGACUAUCUCGAAUAACCUUUACUUUUUCUUCUGUUUCCCGGAUCAAAUCAACCCCAUGUAUCUUCCUUUCACUGAGCUCUGUCCAAUAUAAUGGUGUUUUACAUUUUCUACCAUACAAAGCUUCAUACGGAGCCAUUUUAAUACUAGACAGAUAAUUGUUAUUGUAAGCAAAUUCAAUCAAAGGUAGAUACCUCUCUCAAUUACCUUCAAACUCUAGUAUACAACAUCGGAGCAUAUCUUCCAAUACUUGAAUUACACGCUCAGAUUGACCAUCUGUCUAAAGAUGAAAUGCAGUGCUGAAAUACAACUGAGUACCCAAGGCUUCUUGCAAUUUGUCCCAGAAAUGAGACGUAAAUCGGGGAUCUCUAUCUGAUAUAAUGGAGACAGGCACUCCAUGUAACCUGACAAUCUCAGAUAUGUACAGUUCAGCUAGUUUAUCUAAAGAAUAAUCUAUACGUGCCGGAAUAAAGUGAGCUGACUUUGUUAAUCGGUCAACAAUCACCCAAAUAGCAUCUUUUUUCCUCGGAGACAAAGGUAGCCCUGAUACAAAAUCCAUAGUGAUUCUUUCCCAUUGCCAUUCCGGUAUAGUAAUUGGCUGAAGUAACCCCGAAGGUACCUAAUGUUCAACUUUAACUUGUUGACAUAUUAAACACCUUGAUACAAACUCAGAGAUAUCGCAUUUCAUUCCCGACCACCAGUACAUCUUUUUCAGAUCAUUAUACAUUUUAUUACUCCCCGGAUGUACAGACAUAUUACUACUGUGGGCCUCGCGUAGAAUCUUCUAUAUGAGCUCUGAAUUCUGAGGUACACAUACCCUACCUCUGAAUAAUAAACAAUCAUCAGAACCAAUCUAAAAUUCAGAAUCAUUACCUGACUCACACUGUGCCCAUUUAACCUGUAACUUCUCAUCAUUCUUCUGAGCUUCACAUAUUUGCAGUAAAAAUGUUGAUUUAGCUCUCAAUUCAGCUAGGAUUGAACCAUCAUCAGUCAAUGAUAACCGGGUAUUCAUAGCUCGUAAAUAAAACAGAGAUUUCCGGCUCAAAGCAUCAGCUACAACAUUAGCCUUACCCGGAUGGUAAUCAAUAAUCAAAUCAUAGUCCUUUAUUAGUUCAAGCCACCUGCGCUGUCUCAAAUUCAAAUCUUUCUGUGUCAUCAAAUAUUUCAAGCUUUUAUGAUCAGUAUAAAUAUGACAUUUCUCACCGUACAAGUAAUGCCGCCAUAUCUUCAGCGCAAAUACAAUAGCAGCUAAUUCAAGAUCAUGUACUGGGUAAUUUCUUUCAUGUGGUUUAAGUUGUCUUAAAGCAGAGGCUAUUACUUUACCUUCUUGCAUCAAAACACAACCUAAACCAUUUAAUAAGGCGUCACUGUAAAUAACAAAUUUCUUACCCGGUUCAGGCUGCACUAAUACAGGUGCUUUCGUUAAUAGGUCUUUCAAUUGGUUGAAACUUUGUUGACAUUCAUCAGUCCACUCGAACAUUACAUCUUUCUGCAAUAAUCGAGUCAUUGGAGAAGCUAUCAUAGAGAAUCCCUGCACAAAUCUCUGAUAUUAACCAGCUAAACCCAAGAAACUUCUAAUUUCAAAUACAUUCUUCGGUGGACUCCAAUUGACAAUAGCUAAGAUUUUACUUGGAUCUACCCUGAUGCCUUCGGCAGAUACAAUGUGUCCAAGAAAACCCACUUCUCGAAGCCAAAAUUCACAUUUACUGAAUUUAGCAUACAACUGCUUCUCUAGUAGAAUUUGCAACACAAUUCUCAAAUGUUCUGCAUGUUCUUCUUCAUCCCGAGAAUAAACCAAAAUAUCAUCAAUGAAUACUACUACAAAUCUGUCUAAGUACGGUCUGAAUAUCCUGUUCAUCAAAUCCAUGAAUACUGCAGGUGCAUUAGUUAGCCCAAACGGCAUAACUAGAAACUCAUAAUGCCCGUACCUGGUUCUAAAGGUUGUUUUUGGCACAUCUGACUCCUUUACCCGUAACUGAUAAUAACCUGAUCGAAGAUCAAUCUUUGAAAACAUAGUAGCACCUUUUAGCUGAUCAAAUAAAUCAUCAAUCCGGGGUAACGGGUACUUAUUCUUUAUGGUUACUUUAUUAAGCUGCCGGUAGUCGAUACACAAUCUCAAAGACCCAUCUUUCUUUUUCACAAACAGAACCGGAGCACCCCAAGAUGAAUGACUCGGUCGAAUAAAACCUCUAUCAACAAGCUCUUGCAACUGUGUCUUUAACUCUUUUAAUUCUAUAGGAGCCAUCCGGUACGGAGCUAUGGAGAUCGGAGUAGUUCCCGGAAUCAAAUCUAUAGAAAAUUCCACUUCUCUUUCUGGUGGCAAUCCUGGUAAUUCUUCUGGAAACACAUCGGAAAAUUCACAUACCACUGGAACUGCCUGUAUCUUUGACUCAGAUACCUUGGUGUCGAGUACAUAAGCUAAGUAAGCAUCAAACCCCUUUUUGACAUACCUCUAUGCUGUCAUUACUGAAAUCAUAUGAGAUAACCCCUCUGUCUGAUCAGAUUUAACCCGGAGCAACUCACUAUUCUGACAUUUUAGCACAAUAUAUUUUUGUUUACAAUUUACUACCGCAUCAUGCUGGGUUAACCAAUCCAUACCCAAUAUCACGUCAAAUUCAUCAAAUGACAGUAACAUCAAAUCAGCCGGGAAACAAUAACCUUUUACCAUCAGUGGACAAUUUUUACAAAUUUUAUCCACUAACACAGACUGGCCCAGGGGGUUCGAGACUUUAACCACAAAUUCAGUAGGUUCAACAGAUAAAUUUUUAACAAUUGCAAGUUUAACACAUAUAUAUGAAUACGUAGAACCAGGAUCAAUCAAUGCAGUAAUAUCAGUAUCAAGUAAAGAAAAUGUAACAGUAAUAACAUCGGGUGCUGAAGCAUCUUCUCUGGCACGAAUGGCAUAUGUCCUAGCAGGUGCUCGUACCUCAGGCCUACCUAUAGUAUCUUUUGUAGCUCCUCGACUACCACUGACAUUACUAGAUGGUCGAGGUGGUCUGCCCCUCGAAACUGGAUUACUCAGCUUCGAUAUCUGUUCAGCUUCUUUUUCAACCCUUUCUGGACAAUCUCUGAGGAAAUGGUCAAAAGAACCACAUCGGUAACAAGCCCCACUCUUAAAUCGACAUUCACCAAAAUGAGCUUUAUUACAGUACUGGCAUCUCGGUUUAGGAGUGCCAACACUGCCAACACUGGUCACUGAUAGAGUAGAAGGCCUUGGAUUAGUGCGUUGAGAACCUCGCUCUUUGCCCAAAUACCCAAUGGUUGAAGUAGAACGAUCCUGAUAUUUCUUCAAUUUAUUUGAAGUAGAAAACUGAGAUUUUCCCAUCGGUCUUUCACUAAAAAUUCGAGCUUCCCUCUCAGCCUGUUUCUUUUCUUUGCUCAAUUCUUCUGCUUUAUAAGCUCUCCCUACCAAUGUAGCAAACUCUCGAAUUUCAAGAAUUCCGAUCAGUAACUUAAUGUCUUCAUUCAACCCUUCUUCGAAUCGUUUACACAUUUCAUCUUCUGACUGUACCCAUUCUCGAGCAUAUUUACUCAAUCGAACAAAUUCUCUUUCAUAUUUAGAUACUGAUCUAUUGCCCGGUUUCAGCUCAAGAAAUUCUUUUCUUUUCUGGUCAAGGAACCUCUGGCUGAUAUAUUUUUUUUCUGAACUCGGUCUGAAAGAAUUCCCAUGUAAUUUCUUCUUUCGGAACAACUGAAGCUUUAGUAUUCCACCAAUGGUAAGUUGUAUCUUUUAGCAGUGAGACGGCACAUUUCAGACAUUCUUCUGGUGUACAAGAUAAUUCUUCCAGAACCUGAGUAGUGUUUUCUAACCAGAAUUUAGCCCGUUCGGAAUCAUCAUCAACUGCUGCUCGAAAUUCUUCGGCCCCAUAUUUUCGAAUUUUAUCUACUGGAGCUUUCCCUUUUUUGACAGAUUCAGUACCUAUACCUUGUGGGAUCUCGAGAACCGGUAGAGGAGCAAGAGGGGGAGCUUGAACUUGCUGCACUACAGGGUUAGUUCUUAAGUAUUGAUUAAACCAUUCAUUCAUCAUUUGAAAGAAGGCUGUUUUUGCCUCCUCCCCUCGACCCUCUGUCUCGGGCUUUCUACUGCUAGUUUCUUCUCUUUGUACUGAAGCUGGAGCAUGACUCCCAGCUUCCUCAGAUUGAGCUCGGUCGGAUGACAUUACUAUAAGAAAAACACAUUUUAAAUGGUCAGGAGAUAUCACACUAUCAAUAAUAAUUUAAAUGGCAUGUAUAGCUAAUCCUGUAUUUGCUACAUCGAUCCUAGAACCGGCUAAACCGUAGCUCUGAUACCAAUAAAUGUAAUACCCCUACUCGUAUUCAUUGCCGGAAUAGGGUACGAGGCAUUACCGGAGUUUACGAGUUAAAAUUUUUUUUUAUUCAAUAUAGUCCCUUUAUAAAUAUAUAACCUUCCCUAUAAUAUUAAAUCGAGACCAAUCCACAUCAACCAAAUCAAUUCAACAUAUUUUCAUGAUAGAUUCAUGCAUUUAUAUAAGAUAACGUCAUCACAUAUCUAUAACAGGUUUGUUAACCAUACUAAUAGCUAACUUUACGUUCAUUUCACGUUAACAUUUACUUUGUUAGCUUAUACAUGCCAUUGAUUUCCAAAAUAAAGUUUCUUUAUAUACCGAAAUCCUGAGGUUGACAGUGUGAUGUGUCUCCGACCAAAUCCGACCUUCGAGCUCUUAACACUACAAAACAGGGAAAAAGAAAACGGGGUAAGCACUUUGUGCUUAGUAAGCUCAUGUAACAAGAAUUAUACUUACCUAAUAUUUUCAAUACAAUACAAUAAACAUCCAUAUAUCCAUUCAAUGCAUUAUUACCCUAAUAUGCACAAACUCAACAUUCAAGUUUGUACAAUAAUUACCAUGUACCAAUAAUAUAUACUAUGAUUGAUGAGCUCAUCAAUACCAUGAUUUCCAUUUCCUUGUUAUUUUUCCAUAUUUAUCCCGUUGAAUUUCUUGGAAUUUUCGAUGGAUUUUCAAAGAUACACUUUUAGUGUACAUUUCCGGGUCCGUCAAUUCAUAUUCAUGUGCGCACAUAUCUAUUUCAGAGAGCACACUCUCGUGAACUUCAACCUUGCAGCGGGAUUACCAGUUCAGGUUAAAUCCCCUGCAACAAUAAUUACUCUAAUGAGCUUGGAUCUGAAUUACCAGUCCAGGCUAAUUUCAGACCCUAAUUCGGAUUACCCAUCCGGGCUAAAUCCAUUUUACACAUAUUCUUCGGGAGGGCUAUAUCAGGAUAGGAUCACCCGUCCGGGCUAGAUCCUUUUUACCGUCAAUUCCUUUUCAGAAAUCCAUCAAAUUUUCCUUUCAUUCAACCGGGAUUCCUUCCCAUUUUAUCAAAUAUAUCAAUCUUUCAUUAAUUUUCAUACAAUGAACACUCAAAUCAUAUUCACAUCAAUAACAUACAAUCUCAAGCAUUUAAUAAUAUAAUUCAAGUUACACGAACUUACCUUGAUAUUUGUUUGUAAACAGUAAAAAUCUACUAAUCCCGAACUUUUUCCUUUCCUCGAUCUAGCUUCGUAUUUGAAUCUUCUGGAUCUAAAUAAAUAAAUUUAAUUAUCAAUUUAAUACAUUUCAUGUUCAUAUGCAACAUUCUCUAUAAUUCAACUAUUAUUUAUAGUUCAUUCAAAGCUGUCUACUUGAGUCAUAGUCACUAAAUUAUUUAUAACUUGAGCUACGGAACUCCAAAUUAAGAUCCGUUAAUUUUCCAUGAAAAUAUACUCAUAUAUAUUUUUACCAUAAAAUUUUCAGAAUUUUUUGUUUAGCCAAUCAGUACAGUUUAUUCUUCAAAGUCACCCCUGUUCUGUUGUCUAACAGUUCUGACCCUUCUUCACUAAAAAUAAAUUAUCUCUUUAUACAGAAUUCAAAUGAUGUUCUUGUUUGUUUCUAUUAAAAAUAGACUCAUUCAGAAUUCUAGACAUAUAAAUUUAAGUCCAUAAUUAUUUUUAUUAAAGUUUUUAUAAUUUUUCAAAGUCAGAACAGGGGAACCCGAAUUCAUUCUGACUUUGUCUCACAAAAUUCAUUAUAUCUCAAAAUUUACAAAUCCAUUGCUUACAAUAUUUGUUCUAUGAGAAACUAGACUCAAUAAGCUUUAUUCAAUAUUUUUUUCAUCUUCUAAUUCGAUUUCUACAAUUUAUGGUGAUUUUUCAAAGUUAGUCUACUGCUGCUGUCCAAACUGUUUUUGUGCAAGCUGUUUAUUACCAUUUUUCCCCUAAGCUUUUAAUAAAUGAUAAUUUCGUCCCUACUCAAUUAGCCUCUCAAUUGAGCUGAUUUUUCUCAAUUAACAUUUUAUUCUAUCACCUUAAACUAGUUUACAACCUUUAGGAAUCAUAAUUUCAGCAAUAGACUUUAAUUCCAAACAUUUUCACAAUUAGGUCCUAAAAAUCAAUUUCCAUUGAAAUUGCCUAAUAAAAUCAUCUCAUAAACAAAUUAAAGCUUUAAUUUCAUUCUAUUUCAUCAUAAAAUUACAACACUCAACCAUGGUGACUUUCAAUUUCAUCCAUGAAAUCAAAAACUAAUGAAUUUAAUAGUAGGACCUAGUUGUAGAAGUCUUAGAAACACAAAAAUUACAAGAAAAAGGAAAGGAUUAACUCACUUGGUGAAAAAAUUAUGAAAUACCAGCUUAAAGAACCCUCAUAUGGCGUUUUUAGCUGCUGAAAUUGAAGAGAAAUGAAGAGAAAUCUAGAUAUUUCCUAUUUAGUCCUAGUUUUAUUUAGUUAAUUUUGCAAUAUUCUAAUUUUACCCUUAAUUUAUCAAUUUUUCUGCUGAUUUCAUACCCUUGCCGUCCAGCCCAAAUAAAUUUUGGGUCUAAUUACCUUUUAAAUCCUUUCUCAUUAGACUCUUAAGCUAUUUAAUCACUCUAGCAACUUUUACACCUAUUACAAUUUAGUCCUUUUCAUUUAAUUAACUACCCAAACAUUAAAAUUUCCUAACGAAAUUUUAAUACCACAUUAAUAACAUUUCAUAAAUAUUUAUAAAAUUAUUUUUGACUCGAUUUUACGAGAUAGAGGUCCCGAUACCUUAUUUUACCCAAUUUCUUCAAUAAUUUCUUUUUCUAACUAAUCACUAAAUCGAUAAAAUUUUCAUAUCAAUAUUUUCAUACGAUUUUCCUAUCAUAUAAAUUUCAAGCAAAAAUAUUGAAAUAAAUUUCUCUUUAAAUCGGAUCUAUGGUUACGAAACCAUUGUUCCGAUAACCUUGAAUUUAGGCCAUUACAGAUCAAAAACAGAUUAAAAACGGCAUCAGAUCGACAGAAAUCUUAUGCGAAUUUAAAAAGACAAGAUAUUGAAUAUCAGGUGGGAGAUAAGGUAUUCUUGAAAGUUUCUCCAAGGAAGAAAAUACUUAGAUUUGGGAAAAAAGGGAAAAAUUAAGCCCCAAGUUUAUUGGACCAUAUGAGAUUCUGGAAAGAGUUGGUCUGGUUGCUUAUAGGUUGGCUUUACUAACUAAAUUAGAUUGAAUUCACAAUGUUUUUAAUGUCUCAAUGCUUCGAAAAUAUAGAUCAGAUCCAUCCCAUGUAAUUACUUCCGAAUAAGUAGAAGUUCAACCCGAUUUAACAUAUGAAGAAGAACCAAUGAAAAUACUUGUCGAAAAGUUAAAAAGUUGAGAAAUAAAAAGGUUCCUUUAGUGAAAGUGCUGUGAAGACAUCAUAAUUAUGAAGAAGUUAAAUGGGAAAGAGAAGAAAGCAUGAAACAAUAAUAUCCUCAGUUAUUUUCGACAAGUAAAUUUCGAGGACGAAAUUUAUUUAAGGGGGAGAGAAAUGUAAUGUCCUUAGAUGGGGGUUGGAAGCUAAUGUGGAAAUGAUGAAAAUCUGGAAAUGAUAGUGGAUUUUUAGAAGUAAAAGAGUAGAAAAAUUUAGCAAUUAGGUAUCGAAUAAUUAGAAAUAGGGAAGAGUUAGAAAAUACUUUAUAAAUAAGGAAAAAUAUUUUUAUUCAAGUAAUAGACUAAAUUGAGAAUAAAAUAGUAAUUAUUGUGGUAAAAAUAGGAUUAUGAAAUAAUUUAGGAGUUUAAGGAGUUUUAGUUGAUUGAGGAAGGAUUAAAAUGAAAUUAUACCAAAAUAAUGAUGACUCAUGUAUAGAAUUAUAGGGAAAGGUUGAGGAUAGUAUGGUAAUUGGACAUAAUGUAAUGAUUAUAUGCAUUUAAUGCAUGUUUGGGGCAAAAGUGUAAAGAUGGAAGGCCAAUGGACUAUUUUGCAAUUUUACCAUUUUAUGGAAAAAUAUAUGAUUUUUAUUUAAGACUGAUACUGUAUAAUCUUUCUUUCCCAAUUUCAGAACAUUUUACUCUUCUCUCUCAUUUUGUUUUCUCUGCUUUCAAAAUUCUCUCAUUUUUCUCUGCUCUCAAAAUUCUCUUGUCUUAAUUUCUCUGCUUUCAAAGUUUUCUCAUCUUAUUUUCUUUGCUUUCAGAGUACUUUUGAUUUUUUUUUACAAGCUCUUUUUGCCUUCAAAAUGGAUAAUGCUAUUUUUAGAUUGCAAAGACGAUUUUAUUGUCUUCCCACAAAUAUGAUAAUAAAGCUUUACAAGAUCAGGUGUGAAAGACUGAGGAUGCUUAUGCGAAAGGGCAUGCCUGAGGACGUACAAAUGAUCAUUGAAAGAAAUGUAAGAUUUCAUGAAUUUUAUUCUUUCUUUCAUUUACUAGGUACGGGUAGAAGUAGUUAUGCGAAAAAACGAAGGGUAAAACGCCUUGGAGCGCUUUGCCACAAGUGUGCCAGAUGGACUUGUAAAGGUAAAUGUCGUUCUAUUAUAAUGAUAUCCAUAAAUCGAGAAGACAAAAUAAGAUUUAUUAAGGAUGGUUUGUGUAAGGAGAAUUUGGACCUCCUCUUUGGAGAUAACCAAAUUACUCUUGAGUCACAUCCUAGUGGAGCUGUGCAACGAGAACUUCUUGAUUUAUGGCCUCAGUUCCUAUAUGAAUGGACUCAUCUUGGGAAUCUGAUGAAAAACGACCCUGUUUGCCAGUUUUUAAGAAAACUGGAUGGGAAACUGGUCCUCGACUCAGAGAAGGCAUUCAAGCCGUUUCUGGACAUAAAACCAGAGGAAGAUGUGAGCUACAAUAACAACUACUGUAAAUAAUUCCUCAACCCUUCACUUCAUUUACAAUAAUCAUUUGUUUCUUCCAUUUUAUUUGAUGUUUGUAUCUAUGUUUUUUUUAUCACUAAAAAAACUAAAAAAUUUUGAAAAAGAAAAAAAUUAAAAAAUGAGAAAAAUGAAAAGAAAAAUUGAAAAAAUAAAAAAAUAAAAAAUUUGUAAUUAUUAAUAUUUUAUUAUAUAUUUUAUAUUCUGUUGUAUGUAAUCAUUUUUCUUUUUUGUACAUCCAUAUAUGCUUUUAUUUCUUUUUGAAGAACUGUUCACUUUUUUACUAUUUUUUGCUUAUUUAUUAGAGGAAAUAUCUUGCAUAAUAUCUCGGUUAUCUUUCCACUUACAUAAAAAAACCAAUUGUUUUGCUUAAUGUUAAGGUUAUUAUAACAAUUUGCUCUUGUUUUAGAUAAUGCUGUGGAAAAUGGAUUUGUGUCUACAAAGGCAAGGAAUGUUUUGAUUUCUGCUACAACUAUUGAAGAACUACUUGAUAAGCUUUAAGCUUUUGAAUACCAUCUAAAUCUAAUCACUCAACAGAUUGCUGAAUCCAAAAAAAGGAAAAGAGAUAUUUACAAGCGAGAAAUGGAUUUAACUUUGUCUUUGUGACAUUAUCCAACUUUUAGAUUCAACCUAUAUUUAUAUUUCUGUAUAUAUUGUUGUGCUUCAGCUGUAGCAGUUUUGACCAACUAUCAUAGGUAAUAAUAUCCUCUAAACUUCACUCAUGAUUUUGACAUUGAGGACAAUGUCCUAAUUUGGCAGGGGUAGGGGAUACUUUUGUGAAAAUUUUAAGUUUGCUUCAAAAAAAAUUCACUAAGUGUUGGUAUUGUAAUUAAGGUGUCAGAGUAUGUAUAAUAAUAUAAUCUUGAGACUGCACCUUAUUAGAAUGCAUACCCUUUUUUUUUUUUAUUGUGUGUGAUUUUUCUCUCUAAAAAAACAUUUUGUUAGUUUUUUUGUGUGUGAUGUCAGUAAAUGUUAAGCAUGAUCGUUUAAUAUAUCUAAUAUUUUUAAGGUUUUAAUAUGUUUGCAAUGUACUAAAGUAUGUAAGCUUGAAUAAUUGAUGAUUAUUGAAAGAUUAGUUGCUAACUUAUUAUAAAAUGUGUUUCAUGGGUUUUGUAUAAUUAGGUUCUGUUAGAACUUUGGAUUUCUCCUCUUUGAACUUUCUUCGAUAAUAUCAUCUUUUGAACUUUCCUUUGAUACAUUACCUAUCCUAAAUGAUAUGUAUGAAUUGUAAUGGGUUGUAAGUAAUAUCUUUAUCAUGAUUUUAGAAUCAAUUGGCUUAUUACCCUUGAAUAUGAUGAGGAAUUUCAAAUGCAUGAUAAGUAAAGACCUAGGCAAUUUUUUUGGAUCGUUUGCCUUUCAAGCCAGCCCUUGCAUAAUUAUCCUUAGUGCUCUGAUUUUGAGCCUUUUAAUUUUUAUUUUCUUUCUUUCUUGUUUAAUGUCUUUUUCUUAGCUUAUAAAGCCUUAAUUGUUAAAUCCCAGUCCUUUAGUUUAUCAUAAGUAUCUAGUGCUUACUGACAUAUUAAAUGGGAUAGGUAGAAAUAUUAAGGUGGAUUUCUUAAGGUGAGAAAAUGCACAAAGCAUAAUUUUACUAUCCUUUGUAUAUACAUUUUGUAAAAAAAUAAAAAAAAUUAAGAAUAAAAAAAGAGAAAAAAUAAAAUUAAAAAAAACACUAUUAUAAUUAUUAUUAUUAUUUUGUUUACUUUUAUUCAUGCUUUAUUUGAAGGAUGGAGAAAUAAGGAGAUAAAAGUUUUUAAAAAAAAAGAAAAAAAGAAAAAAAAUUGAAGAUGGAGUUGAAAAUAAAAUUGGUGCUCAUAUUAGGAAAGUAGGGAAUAAUACUUUAAGCUUUCUUAUGGAUUCAUUUGUUUAAUCCUUAGACUUAUUGGACGAUUAUAUUAGACAUUCCUUUGAUGGACAUACCUUUGCUCAUGGAUUCAUAUGUUUAAUUAUCGGACUUUCAUUGUUAAAUUAUCCGAUUCAAACCUCCUUUAAUGUAACCAAAAUGAGUUAAAAUUGGACAGCAUCAGUAAGCUUCUGCUUCUGUCUAUUGGUCUCAAGUUGCAUGGCCACCUCUUCUGGUUCAAGAUGCAUACUUCACCCGUAAUAAUACAAUAGUUUGAUCUCUUUUCUUUAUAGUUUCAUGCAUGGCUCGGGCUGUUUCUUGACACUUUGGCUUCUUCACAUGCUGCAUGCAGGCCAACUUUAACACUUUUCUUUGGCUUGCAUGCUGCAAACUCUUGUUCUUUAAGCAUUCUCUGAUGAUUUGAUUCACUAAAUCAUUUUUCUCAUCUCUUUUUGCUUCCAAAUCUCUUUGAAGGUCCUCGACCAUUUACUUCAACUCUGAUUUUUGAUUUUCCAUUUUAUUCAAUCUUUCGGAUGACUUUUGUUUCUUUCUCUCAAAUUGCAAUUCCAGUUUUGCCUUCUGGAUAUGAAGGGAUUCCAAUUGCUAUUGCAAUGUGUUUACCUCAUCCAUUAAACUCUGUACUUGAUUUGAUGCUUCAUCACCUUCAAAUGCCAAAUUUUCUUCCAACAGAGCCUUCUCAGUUAGCAAAUUCUCCUUCUCUGAUAGCAGAUUAUUUACCUGAGCAGUCAAGUUCUUCAUACCAGACAAUGAUUCACUGUUAUCAUCAUCAAGUUUCUUCGUGAGAAUAAAAAUUUCUUUUUCUCUCUUUUCUAACAUUAUUUUGAGUUCUAAAAUGCGGGAUUGGAGUCUUAUAUUUUGUUUUCCCAGUUGUUCUGCUUCAUUUGCUUUGUUCUCUAGCUGCUCCGCCAUAUCUCUGUUAGUUGCUUGCAAUGAUUUCAACUCAUCCAAGCUAGUUACAUGUGCCUUUAAUUUUUUUAUCUGAGCAGAUGAUUGGUUCCCAUGCAUAUCAUGCACCUCUUUGAGUGUCAAAAGUUUCUUUUCUUUCUCAACUGAAUUAGUGAAAUUUUCAACCAAAUCUUCUUUGGUUAGCUGAGCCACUUACUUGUAGUUGGCAUGGCUAAGCCUCUUGUGACACAGUUUGGAUUCAUCUGCAACAGCUGUGUAGGCACUAUUUAGACUCUUAUUCCAGUACACAAUAAAAAAAAAUUUUGUCAUAGCUACUGUCAUGAGCUUGGAUCCACUAAGAUCACUAAACAAGCAUUCUUUGCUCUCAAGCAGUUGAGUAAUGCUAAGCAAAUUUCUAUCAAUUUCGGGCAAUAACAAGACAUUUGUAACAAGUUUGGUACCUGCCGGAGUGUUUAUCAGCACAUCUCCUUUGCCUUCAACUUUGAUGAAGUGUCCAUUUCUGACCUUCACAUUUGUUUUGAAGCUUCUGUCAAUUGACUUAAAAUUGCCAGCAUCAGGGGCCAUGUGGUUUGUGUAACCACUGUCUAUCAACCAUCCAUUUGUGGCUUUUCCUUUAGCAGCUGAGUAAGAAACUGCAAAAACUUGUUCUUCUUGGUCAUUGUCUUCUUCUACUACUUGAGCUUCAGCUUUUGGCUGCUGGGGUUGGUUGUGUCUUGGUUUGCCCUUGUUUUUGCAAACCAUUUCUACAUGACCCAUCUUUUUGCAGAAUCUGCACUGCACAUCAGACCUAAACCAACAUACUUCAUCCGGAUGACUUGCCCUUUUACAGUGUGGGCAAGGUGGAUAUCUUCUUGCACCAUCUGCUUUAGGCUCGUUUGACCAGGUAUUCUUGUCUUUGUAGGCAGAGGUGCUUGAGGUAGACUUGGCUUUGGCUUGAAAGGCAUCUUCUUGGUGCUCCUUCUGUCUGCUGGCUCUCCUUUGCUCUUAUGCAUACAGAGCAUUGAUCAGCUCUGUUAAAGAGAUGCUGGUCAGGUCUCUUGAGUCUUCAAGGGAUGAUAUAUUUGCCUCAUACCUUUCAGGCAAGGUUGAGAUCACCUUCUCCACUAUCCUUGCUUCAUUAAACUGCUCACCAAGGAGCCUUAUGCUGUUUACUACAGCCAUAAUUCUGUCUGAGUACUGCUUGACAGUUUCUUUUUCAUUUAUCUUCAAGUUCUCGAACUCCCUUCUCAGAUUCAAAAGUUGUUGCUGCCUUUUUCUUUCUGUACCUUGGAACUCCUCCUUCAAUCUAUCCCAGGCCUGUUUUGGUGUCUCACAAGCCAUAAUCCUUGUGAAGAUUGUUAGUACAAAACUCCGGUAAGGAAAAAACUCGAACACACGAUUGGAACUCGAAAAGAAAAAGAAGAAAUAGGACAGGCUCCAAGGCGUGUAUCAAGCCACUAUCUUUAAGGUUAUAUUCGCCCCCACUUAUCUUCAGUGUGCAAACGAGUUCCAAGCAAAUUAACCUCGAGGAUACAAUGAAGCCAAUGACUAUUUGUGUUUUGCACUGACGAGAAUAGUCCACUAUGCACUGAGUAAUGUAUAACAAAAACUUAAUUUUUACAAAGAAUUUUUGCAGCAAUACUUUAUAGAAUAAUCUAAUAAUAUUAGAAAAUGAAAGAAGAGAAGAAAUAAUAUUAGAAUUUGUUGAUAUGAUUUCCAAAUGAAAUUCCAUUCCUAUUUAUAGGAAUUUUCAUGUCUCUUCAUAGAUACAUCUUUCAAUAGGUGUCUUUAUGAAUAAAUAAAUAAUAAUAAUUAUUCAUUUAAUUUUGUAACUAUUCAAAUAAUAUUUUUUGAAUAGUUAUAAUUCUUUUUUAAAAAAUCAAAUGAUAUAACUUUUGACCAAUGACCAAAAAUUUUAUCUUUUGAUUAAUUACACCCAUUCAUUUAUAGUUAUUGGGAUACUAUAAAUAUUUGAAAAUAUUCCAACAAUCUCCCCCCAUUUUUAAAAUAUUUAGAUUUUGAUAUUCUUGGAAAUCAAUUUGCAUAAAUAAAGGUGUCUUACGAUUGAACCUUCACUUAGUGAAAACAUGUUAAAGUUAAUCGAAAUUGUAUGGUAGACUAAGCUUUGAACCAACUAUUCCAUUUGAUUAACUGAACACAUCUCACACAAUGAUUUCAACAUCAGUCAAUGCAUAGUAUCUAGGGACACUAUUAUAGCCAUGUAUCUAUGUCCUCUUUUCAUGAGUGCUGUCAGAGCCAAGCCCUUAAGCUCCUAGAAGCGGCCACACUUCCACUCACAUAGGUAGAUCCCAUCAAAAGUGUUCCUGUAAUUAUAACACUCUAACAUAUUUAUGUUAUGGGUCCAUUAAGAGUACAUUACUCAUCCUUCCCUUAUCAUUACGGGUACCUAGCACUUUAAUCUUAGGAUGGAUUUAUUUAUAGUACUAACAGUCACAUACUAAUAAUGUACUUUGUCUCAUUGAACUCAAAACUUGACGUUAUACCAAGCGUUGAGUCGAGUUUCCAUCAUGGGUGACUCUAAUUAAUAGGCUUGAGUCCCAUCCCUUUUGAGGUCCUUUUUACUGCAUCUCUAGCAAGACUUUUUGUUAAAGGAUCUGCCAAAUUUUCACUUGACCUCACAUAAUUAAUAGUGAUCACUCCAUCAGAGAUUAAUUGUCGGACAUAACUAUAUCUUAAUCCAAUGUGUCUAGGCUUUCCAUUAUAUACUUGGCUAUAUGCCUUUGCUAGAGUAGCCUCACUAUCACAACAGAUAGAAAUAGGUGAAAUUGGCUUAAGCCAUAAAGGUACAUCAUAAAGUAAAUUUCUUAACCAUUCUGCUUCUUUAGAUGCAGCGGCUAAUGCAAUAAAUUCUGCUACCAUGGUGGAAUCAGUAAUACAUGUUUGUUUCUUAGAACCCCAAGAAAUGACUCUUCCACCAAGAAUGAAGAUCCACCCACUAGUAGAUGCAUGAUCUUCCAAACUUGUAAUCCAACUAGCAUCCGAAUAUCCUUCUAAAACUGGAGGAUAUCCAUUAUAAUACAAUCCAUAGUUAAUAGUUUUCUUUAAGUACCUAAGUACUCUAUUUAAAGCUUGCCAAUGCAAACUACUUGGAUUACUUGUGUAUCUACUCAAUUUUCCAAUAGCAUAUGCAAUAUCUGGUCUUGUACAAGUCAUUAUGUACAUAAGACAACCAAUUAGACUUGCAUAUUUCAAUUGACCAAUUUUCCUACCAGCAUUAGAUAUUAAUUUUAAUUGAGGAUCCAUGGGUGUAGAUGCUGGUAUACAGUUGAAAAGAUCAAACUUUUUAAACACAUUUUCAAUGUAAUGUGAUUGUGAUAAAGCUAUAGUGCUUUCAUCUCGGGUUAUUUUAAUCCCAAGAAUAACAUCUGCUACACCCAUAUCCUUCAUAGCAAAGUUGUUUGACAAGAAUUUUUUUGUGUUUUCUAUUUGUUCCAAAUCUGUGCCAAAAAUGAGCAUGUCAUCUACAUAUAAGCAAAUUAUAACACCCUUUCCAUUAUCAAAUUUACUAAAUAUGCACUUAUCAGAUUCAUUUAUUUUAUAGCCAUUAGCUAAAACAACCUUGUCAAACUUUUGGUGCCAUUGUUUUGGUGCUUGUUUAAGCCCAUAUAAAGAUUUAACAAGCUUACAUACCUUAUGCUCUUGUCCUGGAACAACAAAUCAUUCCGGUUGCUCCAUGUACACUUCCUCUUCCAAUUCACCAUUUAAAAAUGCAGUUUUAACAUCCAUUUGGUGAACAACCAAAUUAUAUAUAGAGGUAAGUGAUAUUAAUAGUCUAAUUGUAGCAAUUCUUGCUACUGGAGCAUAGGUAUCAAAGUAAUCAAUACCUUGUCUUUGUGUAAAACCUUUUGCUACCAAUCUUGCUUUAAAUUUAUCAAUGGUUCCAUCGACCUUCAUUUUCUUUUUGAAGAUCCAUUUAUAACCUAUUGGUUUGGAACCUGGUGGAAGAUCAACUAAGAUCCAAGUUUGAUUUCCCAUUAUUGAAUCCAUUUCAUCAUUUAUUGCUUCUUUCCAAAGAGCAGAGUCUUGAGAUUUCACUGCUUCUUCAAAUGUAAUAGGAUCAGAUUCGGUAUUAUAACAAUAAGGUAUCUUAUUGCAUAUACUUUCACCUUUUCCUUCUACAAGAAACAUAAUGAAAUCUGGUCCAAAAUCUUUGACCUUUUUAAUCCUCUUACUUCUUCUUAAUUCUUGACAAGAUUCAUCAUUAUUAUCAAUUUGUUUCAAUGGAAUCUCAUUCUCAUUUGAAGAAUGAAUCAAUUGUUGUGGCUGUAAUUGUCUUGAUAUAGAAUUAAAUCUAUUUUCAUCAAAAAUAGCAUCUCUUGAUUCAAUAACCGUAUUAAUUGAAAUUGAAUCAUUUGGUUCAAUUACUAUGAACCUAUAUGCCUUGCUAUUAUGUGCAUAACCUAUAAAUAUGCAUUCAAUUCCUCUUUCACCUAACUUUUUACGUUUAGGUGUUGGAACUUUUACAAUCGCUCUACAACCCUAAACCUUUAAAUAAUUAAGGUUUGGUUUCCUUUUCUUCCAUUGUUCAUAGGGGGUUAUUUUAGUUUCCUUAUUAGGAACUCUAUUCAAUAUAUGACAAGCUGUUAGAACAGCUUCUCCCCAAAAACUCUGUCCAAGACCUGAAUAUGAUAACAUUGAAUUUACCAUUUCAAUCAAGACUCUAUUUUUCCUUUCAGCUACACCAUUUUGUUGUGGUGUGUAAGGGGCUGAAACUUGAUGGACAAUUCCAGUGAGUUCAAAAUAACUUGGAUUAUAGUAUUCUCCACCUCUAUCCGAUCUUAAGCACUUGAUAAAUGAUUCACACUGAAGUUCAACUUCAGAUUUAUAAACUUUAAAUUUAUCAAGCGCUUCAUCUUUUGAAUGCAAUAAAUAUACAUAACAAUAUCUAGAACAAUCAUCAAUAAAAGUAACAAAAUAUUUCUUUCCACCUAAUGUAGGAGUAUUAUGCAAGUCACAUAGAUCACUAUGUAUCAAAUCAAGCAAUUUUGUUUUCCUUUUAACCUUAGGGAAAGGAUUUCUUGUAAUUUUAGUCAACAUACAGGUAUUGCAUUUUUCAAUAUUAUUAUUAAAAACAGGAAUUAAAUCUAAUUUAUACAUGUCAUUCAAUUUUCUAUAAUUCAAAUGACCUAAUCUAUAAUGUCACAAACAAAAUGAUUCAAUCAUAUAAGUAGAAAUAGUAUUUUUAUUCUUAUUAAUAAUAUUAAGUUUGAACAUGCUUUCAUACAUAUACCCUUUUCCCACAAAAAUUCCUCCCUUAGACAAAAUAAACUUAUCUGCCUCAAAAACAAGUUUGAAACCAAACUUAUUCAACAGACUUCCAAACACUAAAUUUUUCCUAACUUCUGGUACAUAAUAUACAUCAUUUAAGGUUAAAACCUUUCCAGAAGUGAAUUGUAGUUCAACAGACCCUUUGCCUUUAAUUGUUGCGAUGGAAGAAUUUCCCAUGUACAAGACAUUGUCAUUUUCACAUUGUGUGAACUUUGUGAACAUGCUUUUGUCUUUGCACACAUGUUUGGUUGCUCCGGUAUUAAUCCACCAUGUAUUAUCAUCUUGUGCCAUAUUAAUUUCAGAUAUCAUUGCAACGAACUUUUCGUUAUUAUCAGCCUUAGAAGAUGAUUUCUUCUUUAAAAAUCGACAUUCAUUCUUGAAAUGUCCCGGCUUUCCACAAUGAUAGCAUGAGCCCUUUUGUUUCGUUUGAACUUAGGUGCUCUAUCAGUCUGAUUGAACUUUCUCUUGAAUGGUUUAGUAGUCUGUACUUCCUCCGUAACAUGUACUUUGGCAUUUUCAGAAUUUAGGUUCUGAUCUUGUUUUCGAUACUCUUCUUCAAUACGAAGAUGAUUUGCCAAAGCCUCAAGAGAUAUUUCCUCUUUCUUAUGUUUUAGACUUCUUUUAAAGUCUUUCCAAGAUGGAGGAAGUUUGUCUAUUAUGGAGGAUACCACAAUCAUUUCAUCCAUUUUCAUAUCAUAUUGCUUAAAUUGAUUCAACAUCUUUUCAAUAUCACGAAAUUGUUCCAUAACAGAACGACCAUCAACCAUUUGAUAAUUAUUGAAACGACUGACAAGAAAUUUCUUACUUGUAACAUCUUCGGUCAUGUAUCUUGCCUCCAAUUUGUCCCAUAAUUCUUUAGCGGUGACGUCGUUUUGGUAGGUGUCGAACAAACCAUCAGAUAAACCAUUCAAUAUGUGGCCCAUGCACAUGUAAUCAGCAUUGUCCCAUUUUUGUCUUUCUCGGGUUGCAGCAACAGAUUCAUUUUCAUUCUCUUCAGGUCUUGGAGUAUCCAAAACAUAAGCAAUCUUCAAAGUUGAUAACAAAAAGUGCAUCUUUUUCUGCCAUCGUCGAAAAUUGCCACCAUCAAAACGAUCAAGUUUAACAAAGUUGGAAGCCAACUCCCUUAGUGUUCCACUUUCAUGUGUUGUGGUAGUCAUCAUGAAAUAUAACCUUAAAAUUGUUAGUAUAAAAUUCCGGUAGGAAAAAACUCGAACACACGAUCGGAACUCGAAAAGAAAAAGAAGAAAUAGGACAGGCUCCAAGGCGUGUAUCAAGCCACUAUCUUUAAGGUUAUAUUCGCCCCCACUUAUCUUCAGUGUGCAAACGAGUUCCAAGCAAAUUAACCUCGAGGAUACAAUGAAGCCAAUGACUAUUUGCGUUUUGCACUGACGAGAAUAGUCCACUAUGCACUGAGUAAUGUAUAACAAAAACUCAAUUUCUACAAAGGAUUUCUGCAGCAAUACUUUAUAGAAUAAUCUAAUAAUAUUAAAAAAUGAAGGAAGAGAAGAAAUAAUAUUAAAAUUUGUUGAUAUGAUUUCCAAAUGAAAUCUCAUUUCUAUUUAUAGGAAUUUUCAUGUCUCUUCAUAGAGACAUCUUUCAAUAGGUGUCUUUAUGAAUAAAUAAAUAAUAAUAAUUAUUCAUUUAAUUUUGUAACUAUUCAAAUAAUAUUUUUUGAAUAGUUAUAAUUCUUUUUUUAAAAAUCAAAUGAUAUAACUUUUGACCAAUGACCAAAAGUUUUAUCUUUUGAUUAAUUACACCCAUUCAUUUAUAGUUAUUGGGAUACUAUAAAUAUUUAAAAAUAUUCCAACAAUCACAUCUGACACAGAGUUUUGAAUGCUUGACAUGGCUUUGUGCCUCUUGGUCCUUUCAUCAGCAUGUUGCGUCAUUUGGGCGACUGUUGGGUUGGCUUUGAGUGGUGCUGGUUCAACAUCUGAAUUGACCACCUCUCAUAGGUCGAAUGCCUGUAGGUAGGUCUUCAUUUUAACCACCCAUAUGUGAUAGCCUUCUUCAUUGAAGACUGGUGGUGCAGCUGGUGAGAAGCCUGAUGUAGCCAUUGUUCUGAAGGUUGAAAUAUGAUAGGUCCACUAAGAAAUGAGCUCUUGAUACCAAUUGUUGGUGUUUGACACACUUUAUCUGGAUGAAAUAUGAACUUCAGUCUGGAUCUUAAACAACAGCGUAAUAUAUCCGGAUGAAGAAUGAAGAAAACUUGAGAAUCAGGUUUGGGGUUUUUUAGUAAAACAGAAACAGAAUUGAAAAGCGAAGAAAAUAAGCAAAGGAAAUGGAGAGGAUAUUGAAUGAAAAAGAUGAUGAUUUUUCAUUAAUUUGACAUUGGCAAACUGCCAUUACAUAUAUCAAACAUGAGAUGAUCAUUACAAGUCAAAAUGCUACCUAAACAUUUACCUAACACCACUUAAAACAUUGAAAAUUGCUAAACUAGCUUGCACAAGUUGCUUUGCUGAACUUUCAGUCAAUCAACAUCUAAAAUACAUCAAAAAGUUUACCAACUAAGUUCUAAAAGAACUAAGUUACAAACUAUGAAUUUAAGGUAACCAAAAUGAGUUGAAAUUGGACAGCAUCAGUACGCUUUUGCUUCUGUCUAUUGGUCUCAAGCUGCAUGGCCACCUUUUCUGGUUCAAGAUGCAUACUUCACCCGGUAAUAAUACAACAGUUUGAUCUCUUUUCUUUACAGCUGCAUGCAUGGCUCGGGCUGCUUCUUGACACUUUGGCUUCUUCACAUGCUGCAUGUAGGCCAACUUCAGCAUUAAAUCACCUCUAGUUCCUUGUUUACCGGUUGGCCAAAGGUGUUCAAUAGAACAACAUCCAAGGAAAAUAUCCUGUGGCAAGAUGCCUGUGGAAGGGUAAAUAGUAGAGGAGAUCUACGAGCAGUAACCUUAUACCAAUUGAGAAUCAAUAACCUAUGGUUAAAAAUCUGUCUUGCAUUAUUAUAUGAAACAAGCAACUAUGGUACCAUAUCAAAUGCUUAAGACUAUGAAGGCUGAAACUAAAAGAUCACUUACGGGUGAUAAAAAUAAUACAUUAUAAUACCAAAAGAAAAGUGUAACUGCUAUCAUUUAAGGGUAAAACUUGUAGUAAAGAAAUGUUUAGAACUCCUUGGUGUUUACCUUGCCACCAACAAUAUUCCAAAAGCCAUUGUCUUCUUCAAUAUCAGAGAUGGAAGACUCAUCAAUUGACAACCUUAGAGGUGGAUCCUGGCAUCAUAUUGUCACAUUAGAGUUCUAAACCUUAAGGUAAACUUACAUGCUAUAGAAAUCAUCAAGGAAACAUGAGAACUAUAAGUAAAAGCCACCUUAACAUACUGCUCCUUUAUAGACAAGGUUGAAGGCAAGACUUUUGCAUCAUGGAUAAAGCCCUGCAAAUUACUAUCACCAGUCAUACCAAUUAAUGUCCUCUUCCUAGAACCAUUUGGCAUGGAGUUGUCAUUUAACAGGGACGAGAGAUGCAGCUCUCCUGCAAUCUCCCCAUUAAUGUAAAGCCGCACAAAAUCAGAAGAAACCUGACAAGAAAAGAAAAACAGAAAUGUUUACAUAUAUGGUAAUAGCUAGUAAAUAAAAUUAGUAUCCAUCUAUCAAGUAUAGUUGAAAGUAUACUUCAGUAAAACCUUAGGCGGAAAGCUACGUGUAAUGCCUCCAUUUCAAAGUGAAAAGAAGAAAAACAAACAGGAGGGAUAUGCAAAUUGAGCACUGUUGCCUCAAACAACAUUUUUCCUGCACCUAUCAGAUGUUAAAUUUAUCUUGUUUUUACCCCUUUUUCUUUUUUUCUCUUAUGCCUUGGGAGGUUGGUCAUUGGUGAUGUACACUAUAUAACCUCACAGUUUCAUACACACACUUGCCUAAUUCCUCUUUGGUCUCUUUUUUCUUUUCGGUUCCUUCUUUUGGUGUUGCUCAUUCUCACAUGUUCUAAACAAUCAACCACUUAUCAAACCAAAACAGAAUAGAUAAAUUGUAGUUAUACAGGGAUGGAUUCUCAAAAGAAAAAGAAGGGGGGAUGAUGGUCUGAAUCUGGCCUUGUAUUUACAGAAUUUACAUAGAAAUGCUGUUUGUCUAGCCCCAAUUCAUUCGUAUUCAAUGUCAGUCCAAUAAAAUGUUUCAAGUUACACACAAAAUAGAUAACAAAUGUAAGAGCCUAUUAUCCAUGAAAUCAUGUUUAGAAACCCAGGCAACUAAACAGACCAAAUAAAUAUAAGUCCAUUUAGAUCACUCAUUCCCAAAACAAUCUCAAACAAUUCAAACAUUAUGGCAAGAUGUUAAAGCAACAUAUGAAGCUACAAAUCAAGAUGCAGCUCUCAAACCAAUCAUGUCCUUAUGUUAGUAAUUCAGCCGGAUAUUAAAGGCAUACCUCAUAUCCAACAUGUAUCCAGUUGUUUUGAGGGUGUUCAAUCUCUGCGGACAUUUUAGGAACUUCUGAAGGUAAAUCAGUGUUUCCAGGGCAAAGAGCUUCAUUGAGUAGACAAGUCAAUGGAAAAAUCAUCAAUGUCUUUUCAUUAAGAACAAGUAAAGGAGGACUGCUGUUAGUCUCUGCAUAUACCUAUAAACAGAAAACAAAUCAAGUUAUUAAAAACAAAUGGAAAUUGAAAGCUCUAGUAAAGCUACAUGAUGAUACAACUUUAAGGGGAAAAAAUCAUCACGAUAAUGAAAUUGGGAUGAUGAGUGUUGCUCUAAUAGAUAAUGAAAUAGAGCUGAAGCAACAAAAGAAAUUAAAAACCACAUUUGGAUGCAAAUUUUUCUUAUUUCUUACAGUUAAUGGCAGUUUCAAAAGCAUUCACAAAACCAUUAAAAGAAACACUAAAUUAGACAUGGGUAUUUUCUUAACAACCAAACAGCAAAUUUUGAGUGCGGGAAGAAUACAAAAAGGCAAAAGGAGCUGUUUUUAGCCCCCUUUUAACAAUUACCUUGAACACAAACAAUUUCUUUUAAUAAAACUCACACAAAAAAAUAAAAAUAAAUGAGCGAUGGGUAAUUUCCUUAAUCCAAAAAAGGUUAAAUUUUGAGAGAAAAAGAGAAACUCAAAUAAAAAAGGAGCAGCAGCUUCUAAACCUGUUUAAGAAUGCUGGAAGGAAAGGCAUUAGAGUUGAAAAUAUUAUCACGACUACCCAAAAUAAUCAUUCUAACAAAUGUGACUGUGAUUUUGUAUAGUAUUUUGCAACAUUCAUAUCUUAGCUACUGAGAUUUUAUCACGCCUUGAACUACAAAUAGUUCGUUAUUAUUCUUUCGGAUCCUAAUCCAAAUGACAUAAGAUAUUUUAUACAUUUUAUCAUUGAGUUUUAUAACGAAAAGAAUUUUAUAAAUUUUUAACCUUGGGUUUUACAAUAUUUCUCUCAUGUCGAACUUAUAUUUAAAGAUUUGGACAUCUCCACGUGCACACAUACUAUGUUCAAUUUUUUCAUUGAAUCCGAAUUACAUUUCAAGGAAAAGAUGAGUCCAAAUAAAAGUUGUAAACUAGAAUUUCAAGACAAUUGAAAUAAGAUAACUUGAUUUUGUACUGAAAUAGGUUACAACUGCACUUUAAAUUUAUUGAGUAAAUAUCAUUUGAAUUAAUUAAGUGGAUUUGAAAUUUUCAAUCCAUUAAUCUAAGCAUGGAUUUGGAAUCUUCGAUUCCCUUGAAUUCUUCUUCUUUUUUAUUUUUAAGCUUAUUAUCAUCAAGAUAUUGUUGGUAGAUAUAAAAAGCAAAUGUUCCAAAGAAUGAGAACAUGGCGAACCAACUCGGUUAAAUCUCGAAUUUGGAAUCUUUGAUUUCCUUAUAUUCCUUUUAUAAAGCAUAGCUUGCUAAACCAUCAAUUGUUGAUAAAAAAAUCCAAUUGUAUCUUCUUUCUUUCUUCUUGUUUGAUAAAUUUGGAACUUCUAGAUUAUAUUUAUCGUAUGAUUUGAUUUAUUCUAUUUAAUUUUACAAAUAAGAUAUCGUGGAUUACAUGUAUUCACAUGUUAUUAGUUGGUAAGAAUUAAUUUUUCCUAUUUUUUGCUUUGGAAGUGUAGGGAUGAAGUGCAACCAUUGUACUUAUAUCGUAAUAAAGAUUAUUGAGUUAAGGAUGAUCAUACCGAACGACGGAAAGGAUUACAUUGAAUACCAAUCAACUUGCACAAAAUGAGGAAAUAUUUGAAAAGGGAAAUGUGUCCAACGUACAUAUAUUCAAUUUUUUCAAAAAUAUGUAUAUAUUAAGGACAUCAUAUUCUCUUUUAUCUUGUAUCCAUAUCCAAAUAUAUAUCAAACACUUAUAUUUAAGGAAAAUGAAGAGUAGAAAUGACCAUAGACAACAACGUGAUGAAUUUUACAAGAGAAAAGCAUGGUCUUGCUUUGGCUUCUAAAUUACAUUAAGUACAUUAUAAUAAGGGUAAUCUACAAAAAUAAUCACUUUUGUUUGCCUCAGAUUACAUUUUAGUCAUUUAUGUUUGAAAUGUUACAUUUUAGUCACUUAUGUUACUAUUUUGUUACGAAGUGAUCACUCUACCGUUAAGUUCCGUUAUCUCUCUAACAGUAAUCCUACGUGAGAUUUUAGAUGCCAACUUAGAUUUCUAAAUGGGAUGAAAAUAGAUUUUUAAUUAAAAAUUUUAAUUAAUUAAAAAUUUUAAACCUAAACCUUAACUAAAAAAUUUGUUAAUCUCCUCUUUUUAAUUUUUCUUCAGUCUCUUCUUUUUUUCAAUGUUUUUUUUUCAUUUAAUUGGAAAAACUAUUAUUAAGAUCAAAAUAGUUGAAAUCAAAUUGACUACUUCAUAAAGAUGGAUUCAAUGGAGGGUUUAAGUAUGUCUUCUUUGCAUUCCUCUAUCUCUUUUAUUCAAAACUGAAAAAUAAAAAAUUGAAUUUUGUUUAAUGAAAACACUAAAUUAAAAUUCUUGAUAUGAAUAUUAACAAUUAAAAGAAUUUCAAAUCAGAAAAAAUGGAUACCCACAAAAGGAUUGUGAACAAACAAGCUGAUUCAGAUAAAAAAAUCGGAUUGAGAAACUAAUUAUUCAAGAACGUGAAGAGUUGAAAAAUACAAUGAUUAGGAAUAAAAAUGAUUACCGUCUUCUUAUUUGUCGACAACCACUUCAUUUUAAGUUUUAGAACAUAAAUUUGUCGGUGAAGAAGACAUACUUAGACCCUUCAUUGAAUCCUCUUUUGUUUUCGUACGUGAAUAAAAAAAAUUUAUGAUAAUAGCUUUUUUAGUUAAUUGAAAAAGAAAACUAAAAAAAAAAGAGAUGAACGGUUUUUUAAUUAAGAUUUAGGGUUUAAAAUUUUAAUUAAUUAAAUUUAUUUAAUAAAAAAUCUAUUCGCAUCCCAUUACGAAAUCCAAGUUGGCACUUAAAAUCUAGUUGGACUGUCACGUAGGAUUACCGUUAGGGAAAUAACGGAACUUAAUGGAAGAGUGAUCAUUUCGUAAUAAAAUAAUAACAUAAGUGACUAAAACGUAACAUUUCAAAUAUAAGUGACUAAAAUGUAACCUGAAACAAACAAAAGUAACUAUUUUUAUAGUUUACCCUUAUAAUAAAAAGAGAGAGACUCGAGCAAACUUAAGUAGAGAAAAAAAGAAGAAAGCACCGCAACCCAAACAAAUAAAGACAAGGCUAUGUCGGAACAAAGGUCAAUGACGUCUCCUUAUCUGCAAUUUUAUGUUUUAAAAGACAAAAAUUAAUGUGCAAUUAAAUUAGAUUGAAGGAAAUUGAAAUGGAGGAAGGGUUUCGUACCUUGCUAAUCCAGACGCCUCCCAUUCUUCCAAUACCAUAUCUUGCAACCAUUUUAUUGUAAUUUGAAGAAAACAACAAACAGUCAACCAGUCUGAUUUCAACAACCAUAGAUAUAUACAAGAGAGAAAAUAAUUCCAAAUCUCACCAUGUAACACACUUUCACACGCUACUAAUAAUUGGAGUUUUAAAUAUAGAUUUGAACCCGUGAAUAGCAGCAGCAGGUGAAAAAAUGGCGUCUUUACCUGAAAAGCAAAACUAAAUAUAUCAAUGUUUGAGUGACUUCCUUUAACUUUUAAUAAAUGUAAUUAUUCAUUGUGUGUUGACAAAUUGAGUGAGAAUGUGAGACAUUGUCAAAAACGGAAGAUAUACAAGAAGCAAAGAAAGUAGGAAACAUUUCCUAAACUAGAGGUUAUGAAAUUACCUCUCAAUUAUCAAUCAAUCUAGUAAUUCCACUAUUGGAAUAUGAUAAAAGGAACAUGUUUGACUUUGUAGAAAUCUUCUCCUCCUUCCUCCAAUUUAACUUUGAAUGACUUUGGCAUUGAUUCAAUCUUCAGUUCUUUGAGGGUUGUAAUGAACCUCAAUCCCUCUGGAAGCAUCUUCAACUUUCUGCAUUCCGCAAUCUCCAAUCGCUGAAGAGAAGGCAUGGCUCCUUCAUCCACCUUCCACUCCUCCAAUUUGCCUACAUUCAGAAGUCUUAGAGACUCAAGUCGUGGAAAACCCUGUCCAGAGCAACACAUUUCAUUUACUCCGAAACUUCCUUCGGCUUCAAGAAUCCUCAAGUUAGGUAGCUUCUCUAGUAUUGGAAUUGGAUCUUUCUCAAACUUGCACCAUUUCAAAUGUAUGUAAGCGAGAUGUGAAGAGAAGUAGUGAUACUCUGGUAACUCACCCAUCUCAAUCAUCUUUGCAUCUAUAAGCAACUUGCAAAUACUUGUACAACCUGAGAGGAGGUGGGCCAAAUGUCUUGGAUUUAUUGGUCUGGCUAUCCAAUUGCUAACAAUAGACAAGGAAUGAAGAUAUUUACUUCCGAUUAUGGGUGGAUUCUUGCCCAACUCCUCCUCAUUGAAAUUUUCAAUAUUGAAGGGCGAAUUCAUCACCAACUCUCUAAGAUUUGUCAUGUUGAUAAGAUCCUUCAGAUAACAAUUCUUGGUGUUGAAGUUCACAAGUGUUAGGAGUUCUCUCAAAGUACCCAACUUCAACUUAGUUCUGCUUUUACAUCUGCGAGGGAGAUAUAAAUGUCUUAGUUGCUCCAUCCUCCAUAUCACAUUAGGUACAUGAAUUCUUCUCUUUUCAACUCUUAAAUCCAAGGUUUGCAAGCACCUUAAGUUGCCUAGAGAUGAUGGAAACUUUGACCAUUUGAAGUCAAAACUCCUUAGACUCAAGAAUCUCAAAUGGAUGAGAUUACCUAUAUCACUAGGUAACUUCCACCCUGCAAAAUUAUAAGAUCUUAGCUCACAGUUUAGGACUCUUAGCAAUUUGAAGUUGUUGAACAUGUAUCUCCAAAUUCCCCAAGCUUUAAGAAGGUUGCUACAAACUACCGAAGUCACAAGAAUCCAAACAAGUGGAUUCCAAACUUCAUCUUCAUGUUUUUCAAUGUAAUUCCACAUUUCCAAGAGCAUAGAUUUUUCUAAUGCCUCCUUCGGAAAGAAAUCAUUAAAGAACAAAAGUGACCGAAUAUUUGGACUUUUAAUGCAUUGUAUGAAAAAAAACUCAUGCACAGAAACCCUACGAACGUUCCGAAUCAUAGAUAAUGAAGAUGCAUUUGAUCUAUCAACAAUGAAGACAAAAUUGUCUUGUUUUGCCUUUGAUAAGCAAAGAUCUCUCAUCAGAUCAUGCAUCUGAAUCGUCUUGACCUUUAAGGUUGCCACAUCUCUUUCUCGUACUUGAAUCAUGCACCUUUUCACAAGCUCCAUUAAAUAAGAUUCCGCCACAUCUGCCGC
rnacentral:lncRNA from 1 species